rnacentral:lncRNA from 1 species
UGGUUUUUUGUGUUUACAAAAAUUUGUGUUUUAUGGACAAUAGAUUUCGGAAAUUCGCAAACCUAGAUUUUCACAAUUUAUCUAUAUUAUUAUCAUAGCUAAAAAGAAGCUCCAUGAAUGUGUUUACGCAAAAUCAAAAUAAUAUCUUAUAAGAGCUAUACACCUCAUUAUGAAUUUUCAAUUUUGUUUAACCUUACUGUGUCUGUACUUAUUGAGAGUCUUUCUUAAACUAUAAGUUUAAGAGCAUCAAAGUUUAAACCAGAAUAUUUCUAUCAACGUAUUGGGAGAAGGAGACAUUCGACUAAAGAAUGAUCUAAAACAAAACAAUUUUUUUUUUCUUCCGCUGCAAAAUAGAAAAUGUUUUAGCUAAAAAUACACAAUUUAAAAUUUGAAUAUAAAUUUUACAUUCUUUCAAAAAAAAUAUAUCCACUUUCAAAAGUUCAAUCAAUACAGAAAUCAUUAUAAAAUAUUAAAUUUAUACAUUAUUUGCAUAAAAAAACUUGUAAAUACUUAAUUGUUAUGCAACAAAAAAUUUGUUCAAGGAGUAGUAACACACACCUAAUCAAUAAUAGAAUUUAGAGAUUUGUCUACUUUAUGUAACAAAGAUAGGUUUUAUUACACCUAAUGAUAUUUAGCAUUUGUCCUUAUUUGGACAAGUUGUAAUUUUUUAACUGACUUUCUUAUUUAUUGUUGUUUGACUUUUAUGUGUCGGUCAUUCUUUAUCAGUUUUUCCAAAAACAAUAUGAUUAAAAAUUACAAGUAGAUCGAGAGACUGUUGCAGAUUGCUCUUAAAUGACUUAUCUCGAUAAAAUCAUUUUUUCAGAUACAACAAACAAAGAGAAAAAGCCCUUUCAAUUUCUUUUUACAGAUUGCUUUCUAAAUAGCUUUGAGAAAUUGAUCUUCUCUUUAUCAUACUCAAAUGGAUUCUUCUUUUCUCUCUAGUUUUUGUGCUACAGCCAUAAUUUUCUUCACGCUUUUCGGUACAAUAUAUUUCAUGUUUUAUAGAAAAGUCAAAUCCCAUCAAGAAAACAAAACAAUAGCUUCUUCUUUAGCUCUUCCAACUAUUCCAUCUUCUUUGUCCCGAAAAUACGAUGUCUUUCCGAGUUUCCACGGAGCAGAUGUUCGCAAAACCUUUCUUUCUCACAUGCUAAAAGAGUUCAAACGAAAGGGAAUCGUUCCAUUCAUUGAUAAUGAUAUCGACAGGAGCAAGUCUAUUGGUCCUGAGCUCGACGAAGCUAUCAGAGGAUCAAAGAUCGCAAUCGUCAUGCUCUCAAAGAACUAUGCUUCUUCAUCAUGGUGCCUAAACGAGUUGGUGGAGAUCACGAAAUGUAGAAAAGAUUUGAAUCAAACAGUGAUGACCAUUUUCUAUGGCGUUGACCCAACAGAUGUAAAGAAGCAGACAGGAGAGUUUGGGAAGGUCUUCGAAAGAACUUGUGAAAGUAAAACAGAGGAGCAGGUUAAGACAUGGAGAGAAGUUUUGGAUGGUGCGGCAACAAUCGCUGGAGAGCAUUGGCACAUCUGGUUUGCCUUCUUUAUUUAGUUUUUACUUGCUCUUAGUAAUAUUUCACUAUAUUUAUUAGUAUCUUUUAGAAAAUAACAAGACAAGCACCACAUAUUUGUUUUGGAUGUGUAUGAGAAAAAAUUUAUGAAUAAUUAGGGGAUGUAUAAAAUGAUCUCUCUAUUUUUGCUAGGGAUAAUGAAGCGAGCAUGAUUGAAAAAAUUUCCAUUGACGUUUCAAACAUUCUUAAUCGUUCCUCACCCUCAAGAGAUUUUGACGAUUUGAUUGGGAUGGAAGCUCAUAUGGAAAAAAUGAAAUCGUUGUUGAGCCUACACUCUAAUGAAGUGAAGAUGAUUGGGAUUUGGGGUCCUUCUGGGAUUGGGAAGACCACCAUUGCAAGAGUCUUAUAUAACCGUUUUUCUGGCGAUUUUGGAUUGAGUGUCUUUAUGGACAAUAUUAAAGAGUUGAUGCAUACAAGACCAGUGGGUUCUGACGAUUACAGUGCAAAGUUGCACUUACAGAACCAGUUAAUGUCCGAGAUAACCAACCAUAAGGAGACCAAGAUUACUCAUUUAGGAGUUGUACCUGAUAGGUUGAAGGACAAUAAAGUGCUUAUUGUCCUUGAUAGCAUUGAUCAAUCAAUACAACUAGAUGCUAUCGCAAAAGAAACUCAAUGGUUCGGUCCUGGGAGUCGGAUUAUCAUCACAACGCAAGACCAAAAACUUCUGGAGGCACAUGACAUCAACAAUAUUUACAAGGUGGAGUUUCCAUCAAAAUAUGAAGCUUUUCAAAUCUUUUGUACGUAUGCUUUUGGUCAAAAUUUCCCUAAAGAUGGUUUUGAGAAGCUUGCUUGGGAAGUUACAGACCUUUUAGGUGAACUACCAUUGGGACUAAGAGUUAUGGGCUCCCACUUCCGAAGAAUGUCUAAGGAUGAUUGGGUAAUUGCAUUACCAAGGUUAAAGACUCGCCUUGAUGCUAAUAUUCAAAGCAUUUUGAAGUUUAGUUACGAUGCUUUAUCUCCUGAAGAUAAAGAUUUAUUCCUUCAUAUAGCAUGCCUUUUCAACAAUGAAGAAAUAGUGAAAGUCGAAGAUUAUCUUGCUUUAGAUUUCUUGGAUGCGAGGCAUGGGCUUCACCUCUUAGCUGAGAAAUCUCUCAUUGAUCUCGAAGGUGUUAACUACAAAGUGCUAAAAAUGCAUAAUCUACUAGAACAAUUGGGUAAAGAAAUUGUCCGUUAUCAUCCGGCACACCACUCAAUCCGUGAGCCUGAAAAGCGUCAGUUUUUGGUUGAUACUAAAGAUAUUUGUGAAGUACUCGCCGAUGGCACGGUUAGUUAUAUUAUUAGUUUUAUGUUUUCUUGUUCCCUAAAAUUAAAAUCAUUUUAUAGCUUACUAUAUAUAUCUCAUUAUCCUCCUUUUUUGGUCUUUUUGCAGGGUAGUAAAAGUAUUAAAGGUAUAUGUUUCGACUUAGAUAACCUAUCAGGGAGAUUAAAUAUAAGUGAGAGAGCUUUUGAAGGAAUGACUAACCUUAAAUUCUUAAGAGUUCUGAGAGACCGAAGCGAGAAGUUGUACUUACCGCAAGGUUUAAAUUAUCUACCUAAGAAACUUAGAUUAAUAGAAUGGGACUAUUUUCCGAUGAAAAGUUUGCCUUCAAACUUUUGUACAACGUACCUAGUCAACCUACAUAUGCGGAAAAGCAAACUUGAGAAGUUAUGGGAAGGAAAACAGGUACAUAAUUAUUUUCAAUAUGGUUUUUUUUUUCAUCAAAAGGAGUGCUCUAAAUACUAGUAAUUGUGUUUCCUUAUGCUGUCUUUAUUUGUUUGUCCAGCCACUUGGUAACCUGAAGUGGAUGAAUUUAAGUAACUCGAGAAACCUAAAGGAGCUACCUGAUCUCUCAACAGCUACUAAACUUCAAGAUUUGAAUCUCACUAGAUGCUCCAGCUUGGUGGAGAUUCCUUUCUCUAUUGGAAACACCACUAAUCUUGAGAAACUGAAUCUUGUAAUGUGCACUAGCUUGGUGGAGCUGCCCUCCUCUAUAGGAAGCCUUCAUAAAUUGCGGGAGUUGAGAUUACGAGGAUGCUCAAAGCUAGAGGUUCUUCCCACCAACAUCAGCUUGGAAUCUCUCGAUAACCUUGAUAUCACUGAUUGCUCACUGUUGAAAAGUUUUCCUGAUAUCUCCACAAACAUUAAGCAUCUCAGCCUCGCGAGAACUGCAAUUAAUGAAGUGCCGUCGAGGAUCAAGUCAUGGUCUCGUCUUCGUUACUUUGUAGUGUCAUACAAUGAAAACCUCAAGGAAUCUCCGCACGCUCUUGAUACCAUCACAAUGUUGUCGUCUAACGAUACAAAAAUGCAAGAAUUACCUCGGUGGGUCAAGAAAAUCUCUCGUCUUGAGACGCUUAUGCUAGAGGGAUGCAAAAACCUGGUAACACUCCCAGAACUUCCGGAUUCCUUAUCAAACAUAGGGGUAAUAAAUUGCGAGUCACUAGAGAGGCUUGAUUGUUCCUUCUACAAACAUCCAAAUAUGUUUAUCGGGUUUGUUAACUGCUUGAAGCUGAAUAAAGAAGCGAGAGAACUCAUCCAGACCAGUAGUAGCACUUGUUCGAUCUUACCCGGAAGACGAGUGCCUUCAAACUUCACUUACCGAAAAACUGGAGGUUCCGUGCUUGUCAAUUUGAAUCAAAGUCCUCUUUCUACAACCUUGGUGUUUAAGGCUUGUGUCUUGCUGGUUAAUAAAGAUGAUAAGAAAAAGGAGGCCAAUGGUACGUCAUUUCAGGUAUAUUAUCGUAUAAUGGACAAACGCAAAUUGGGUGUUAUUGUUCCAUGGAGAUCUGCACACGGCUUUGUUGUGCCUCCAAUUUUGGCGGAGCAUUUGCUAACCUUUGAACUUGAAGCGGAUGUGAAAACCAACGAGUUUUUCUUCGAGUUCGAAGUCAACCGUUACGAAGUGGUGAUAAAAGAAUGUGGAGUACUCCAACUCUAAGUCCUCCAUUUUUUUGGAAGACUGGUUGGGACGCACUUGGUUGAGAACUUGAGAGAAGAACAAGACAGUGAUCUAUUGUUAUUGUUUCUUCCACUUACCUGAAUCCCACCUCCAGUUCCUCUAUAACAUCCAUGGCACGGCACUUCUUCAAUGCGUUUUUCCUAACAACCACCGUUUAAAGGCGGAGAAGGAGACGAGGUAAAGUUUUUUCCAUAGUAAUACUGUUUACUAAAAUUAUAUCCCUAGAUUGAGGAAGUUUGUUGCACAGGAAACAUAUAAUGUUAAGCUUUUGUGCCGCAAGAUUCCUUGCUCAAACCAUAUAAUGUUACUCAAGCUAACUAAAUGUUUUCUUUUUCUUAUGAUGUCGUAGAUUUGACCAGCACAGUAGUUUGUUAAGCUUUUACUCCUUCGAUUAUCCAAGGUGGAGAGUCUACAAGAGGAUGAAUGUUUUAAGGUCUAGGAGCAUCAAAAAGAGUUUGCGACAUCAGGUACGGUUGCAGGCAUCUAGAGUUUGGACCCUAGCCUCCUUCUACCAUCUUCUUUGGCCACAUUACAGGGUUUAUCUUUCUUUGUAUUUUUUAAUCAUUGCGCUUUCAGCGAUAUUAAUUUUAUUACAAUUUUCUUGAGUUUAUUUUUGGCUUUGUGAUUCUCUCGUCAUUGAAUUGUUGGCUGCGUCUUAAGAAACUCAGAAUUGUUAAAGAAAAUAAGGUUAGAAAUAGUUUCUUGGGUUACAAGCAAUACCAAUCCUCAACACUAGACACUUUUUAAGUUAUAGAAAGCUUUCACUCAAAUAUCUAAAUUUUUUGGCGGAGCUAAAACAUAAAUGGAUAUAGUAAAAAUACCUGCGAAACAUGUAACUUAUUGCAAGAUACUUGACUACUUCUCAAAUGGACUGGUAAAUCGACUUGCCUACAAAUUGGAUAAGAUUUUUACUUUUUUUUUUAUAAAUGUAAUGUUAAAAAUUAUAUUCCUGAAUAAUAACAUUUGUUACAUCAAAUGGAAGUUUUCUGAAUAAUUUGAGAAGGUAAAAAAAUUGAUAAAAGAAAAACAAAAUUAAAAUGCAAACCAAGCUUGGAGGCAUGGUUCGUAUCUCUUGUCGUCCGUAGCCCGAAUCAUUGAGAAUUGGUUUCGAAUUUGUUUGUCUAUCCAAGUGAUGAGUUUUGUGGCUGGAGUUGAUGUCUCACCAUGUCUCCUUCCAUUGUGCUCUCUCCAUUAUGUGUUCCUCGUAAUCUCUAUAUGUAUUUUUAAUGUUUUCAGACUUCACCUUGACUUAUAAAAUAACAGAAAUCAGACGAUCCAAAAACUUUUAAUAGUAUUCUCUAUAAUUUACACCUACUCUAUAUAAAAAAGGAAAAAAAAAAGAUUGGUUUUACACCUAAUUGAUACCCCUUAAGAAGACUGACCGCUAUUUAGCAUUUGUCUUUAAGUGAUCUUUUUUAUUUAUCUUUGUUUGACUUGUGUGGCUAAGUAAUAUGCGUCUUACCUUCGUAUUUCAUUGUCUAACUAACGUCUGCAAUUUUGGUUUAAGAUUGAUGAUCGCUCCAUUUUCAGCGUUAAAAUCCUUUUCUAAGAAAUAUACGCUACAUCGUUUCGUUCCAUCUUCGGCAUUCAUUAUUCUUUUUUCCUAGAAAAUUAACAGGAUUAGUUUUUUUUUCUUACAAGAUUUGCCCAUUAUACACAGAUUAUUGAACAGUUGAGUUCGGUUUAAGUCAAUGAAUCUAUUAUUAAUUCCAAGUGGGAUAUAUAAUGUUCUUUGAAGGUUCCUUUGUGCCUAUCUCAAAUAAAAGCAUUUUCCAGACUCAACCAACAAAAAAGCCUUUUCAAUUUCUUUUUACAGAUUGCUUUCUGAAUAGCUUUGAGAUAUUGAUUUUCUCUUCAUCAUACUCAGAUGGAUUCUUCUUUUCUCUCUGGUUUUUGUGCUGCUGCCAUAACCUUCUUCACUCUUUUCGGUACAAUAUAUUUCAUGUUUUAUAGAAAAGGCAAAUCCCAUCAAGAAAACAAAACAAUAGCUUCUUCUUUAAUAUCUAUUUCAUCUACUCCAUCUUCUUUACCUCGAAAACGGAAACACGAUGUCUUCCCUAGCUUCCACGGGGCAGAUGUUCGCAAAACCUUUCUUGCUCACAUCCUAAAAGAGUUCAAAGGGAAAGGAGUCGUUCCAUUCAUUGAUAAUGAUAUCGAGAGGAGCAAGUCUAUCGGUCCUGAGCUCAUAGAAGCUAUUAGAGGAUCGAAGAUCGCGAUCGUCUUGCUCUCAAGGAACUAUGCUUCUUCUUCGUGGUGCUUAAACGAGUUGGUGGAGAUCAUGAAGUGUAGAGAACAGUUGGGUCAAACAGUGAUGACCAUUUUCUAUGACGUUGAUCCAACAGACGUAAAGAAGCAGACAGGAGAUUUUGGGAAGGUCUUCAAGAAAACUUGUAAAGGUAAACCAAAAGAGGAAAUUAAGAGAUGGCAAAAAGUUUUGGAGGAUGUGGCAACAAUCGCUGGGGAGCAUUCCCGUAACUGGUUAGCUUUCUGGAUUUAUAUUUUGCUCUGAUUCAUAAUUCAUUAACACAUCAAACUAAAGAGGGAUAAUUACCGAAAAAACCCGAUUUAUUUAAAAUCUCCCAGAAAACUACUUGAACUUUUGGGUUGGAAAUAAAAUCACGAUCUAUUUUUUUUUUUUUCAAUUACCACCCUUCACCGUAACGGACCGUUAACAACGCUAACCAAAUCGUCGAACCUAACGUAUUUAAUAUUUGCCAAAAAAAAACAUGAACUUAUUUGUUGUAAUAAAAAUACCCAAACUAACUUAACUUGGAGAUAGAAAACACGAUCUAUUUUUUUUCCCCAACCAAAUUGUCAAAUGUUAUUAAUUUUAUUUAUAAGAUAUUCUUAAAAAUGGACUAUUGAAGAAAUCCUCUAAAAGCUUAAGUUCUUGAGUAAUAUCAACCAAAAUCAUGUUAUUGAUGGGUAAGUUUUAUCCUAAAUUACUAAUGUUGUUUUCACCAUCUAUCAUAUAUCUAGAUUUGAUGUAAGCAACAAUAAAUUAAAAAGAAUACCCCUUCAGUUACCGAAUGUUCUUAUUAAUUUCUUCAAUUUAUUGUGGUUAGCUUCUGAAAUGGAUAGAUGUAGUAUGUUAAAACUAGAAUUCAAAUUUGGUCCAAAAUCGAUUAUGAGUUUAAAGGGAUAAAUCGGCUUUAUAUAUAGCCAUUCUCAUUUAUCACGUGCAAAGAAAAUGAAAAAAGUAAUUGUAAUUUUAUUUGGUUAACUCUUUUGAUAACCAUUACGACAAAGUGGGUGAAAUUGAAACAAAAAACUAGGUCAUUCUUUUUAUUUCAAUUUUAAACUAAUCAAUAAAUUUAUGGCAGCGAAUAAAAAGUUUAGGCAUUGUUUUGGCAAAUAUUAAAUAAAUCGUGUUUUUCAGGAAUUUUCUAUAAUAAAAUUAAAAAUGUUUGACGAUUUGGUAAAACGCCAUUAAUGGCCAUUACAUCAAAGGGAGGUAAUCGGAAAAAAAAAGUAGAUCGUGUUUUUUAUUUCCAACCCAAAUUUGUUUGUAUAUUUUUCUGCCAGCGAAAAAAGUUCAAGUAAUUUUCUGGCAGAUUUUAAUAAGGGAAAUUUCCCAAACUAUAUUUAUUGGUAGCUUUUAAAAAAGGGAAAUUUACUAUAGUGACAAAUAUUUUGUGUUUUAUAACUGGCAUGUCAAAAAUACAGAUUUUUUAUAUGUAGUCUAUACAGGUUUUUCUAAAACUUUAAUAUCUUGAAUGGUUGUGUAACAUAUCUGCCACAUAUUUAUUUUGUAACCGUAGAUUUUUAAUUGUGUUGGCAACAUAUUUUUUGAUUUAAAUAAAAAAAUGUCGCUUAAUAACAGAUUUUUAACCAAAUAAUAAGAAUAUAUAAUGAGGACAGAUUUAUUUUAUGUAAUCACAAACUUCUAAAACUUGUUGAUAAAUCUAUCUGACAUUUUACGAGAAGUUUUUUUAAAAAAAUUACUACACACUCACAUAGUGAUAACAUAUUUUUUUUUAGUCAUUACAGUUUUGUUUUUCGGGAUCUAAAGCAUAACAGAUUUUUUCAUGUCCUGUUAUACCCGAUUUUUUUAUGACUUAAAUAACCUUUUUAGUAAUGACAGACUUUUUGUUGGCAGAUUUGUUUUUGAAAUUUUGAUACAUCUAGUUACAUGAGAAUUAUUAUAUAGCCUCACGUAAAACUAAAGUUCGACGACACAACUCCAAAUCUUGCGGUUUGAUUGUAUCUUUAAACAGGUUCAUUUUUUUCUUCAUAAAAACGGGUUUGACUGCAUUUGGUUACGAAAUACUUUUAAUAGAUCCGGAAGAUAUGUUUAAUUUUUAGAAAUCAAAAAUGUUUUUAUUUUAGGAGAAAUUUUAUUAAAAACGUGAUUAAAGAUUAAUUAGUCUUUUUACACAUAUUUGAGUUAUAAUAGUUUUUGACUUGGAUUGGGAGUUAUUUAUGCUAAAAUUUGAGUCAAUUUGGGCAAAUCUAAGUUUUAAAAAUAUUAAGACAACCAAUACAUAAUUUUUGGAUGUGUAUGUGAUUUUUUUUUUAUGAAUAUUAAUUGAUGUAUUAAUUGAUCACUUCAUUUGUUAGGGAUAAUGAAGCAACUAUGACCGAAAAGAUCGCUACAGAUGUUUCUAACAUGCUGAAUAAUUACUCACCGUCAAGAGAUUUUGAUGGUUUGAUUGGGAUGGAUGCUCAUAUGAAAGAAAUGGAAUCGUUGUUAUGCCUAGACUCUGAUGAAGUAAGGAUGAUUGGGAUUUGGGGUCCGUCUGGGAUUGGGAAGACCACCAUUGCCAGAGUCUUAUAUAGCCAAUUUUCUGAAAAUUUUGAAUUGAGUAUCUUCAUGGGGAAUAUCAAAGAGUUGAUGUAUACAAGACCAGUGUGUUCUGAUGAGUAUAGUGCGAAGAUUCAGUUACAGAAACAAUUUUUAUCCCAAAUAAUCAACCACAAGGAUAUGGAGCUUCAUCAUUUAGGAGUUGCACAGGAUAGGUUGAACGACAAGAAAGUGCUUAUUGUUCUCGAUAGCAUUGAUCAGUCAAUACAACUAGAUGCUAUUGCAAAAGAAACUCGGUGGUUUGGCCAUGGAAGUCGGAUUAUCAUCACAACACAAGACCAAAAACUUUUGAAGGCACAUGGAAUCAACCAUAUUUACAAGGUGGAGUUUCCAUCAGCAUAUGAAGCUUAUCAGAUGUUUUGUAUGUAUGCUUUUGGCCAAAACUUCCCUAAUGAUGGUUUCGAGGAGCUUGCUUGGGAAGUUACAAAACUUUUAGGUCAUCUACCUUUGGGACUAAGAGUUAUGGGUUCCCACUUCCGAGGAAUGUCUAGGCAUGAGUGGGUAAAUGCUUUACCAAGGUUAAAGAUUCGCCUUGAUGCUAGUAUUCAAAGCAUUUUAAAGUUCAGUUACGAUGCCUUAUGUGAGGAAGAUAAAGAUUUGUUCCUUCAUAUAGCUUGCCUUUUCAACAAUCAAGAAAUGGUGGAAGUUGAAGAUUAUCUUGCUUUAAGUUUCUUGGACGUGAGGCAAGGGUUUCACCUCUUAGCCGAGAAAUCUCUCAUAAAUCUUAAGUUUUUAUCUACUAACUGUACACGUAUAGAGAUGCACAAUCUACUAGUGCAAUUAGGUAAAGACAUUGUUCGUCAUAAGCCUGGGCACCAAUCCAUUUGUGAGCCUGGGAAGCGUCAAUUUUUGAUUGAUGCUAGAGAUAUUUGUGAAGUACUCACUGAUAACACGGUAAGUUAUAUUAUUAGUCUCUUGUUUCCUUGUUCUUUACAAAUUAAAUACGUUCAAUAGCUAAUUAUCUCUCGUUUUCUAACUUUUUCUUGUCAUUUUACAGGGUAAUAGAAAUGUUGUAGGUAUAUUUUUGGAAGUAAGAAACCUAUCAUGCCAAUUAAAUAUAAGUGAGAGAGCUUUUGACGGAAUGUCAAACCUUAAAUUCUUAAGAUUCCAUGACCCAUAUGACGACGAAAGUGAUAAAUUGUACUUGCCACAAGGGUUGAAUAAUCUACCUCAGAAACUUAGAUUAAUAGAAUGGAGCCGGUUUCCGAUGACUUGUUUGCCUUCUAAUUUUUGUACGAAGUAUCUAGUCGAGAUACGUAUGAAGAACAGCAAACUUCAGAACUUGUGGCAAGGAAAUCAGGUACAUAAUUGUGGUGUUUCUCUCCAAUUUUAUAAUAUUGGGUUUUUCUUUCUUACAUAUUUAGGUGUCAAAAAUGAGAGAUCUCCCGGUAUUAUUUCUUAGAAGGCUAUCUCUUGUAAUCUUUAUUAUGCUUGGUGACUUGUAGUAUCCCUCCAUGAUUAUUGGUUAGUAUCAUACUAUCGUUGGUGAAUUGUAGUAUCCCUCCAUUAUUAUUUGAGUUUAAUUUUAAUGUGUUUCUUUAUGUUAUCUUUAUUUUUUUGUGCAGCCCCUUGGAAAUCUCAAGAGGAUGGAUUUGAGUGAGUCGAAACACCUAAAAGAACUACCUGAUCUCUCAACUGCCACUAACCUUGAAUAUUUGAUUAUGUCUGGAUGCAUAAGUUUGGUGGAGCUCCCCUCCUCUAUUGGAAAGCUUCGUAAAUUGCUAAUGUUGAGUUUACGAGGCUGCUCAAAGCUAGAGGCUCUUCCAACCAAUAUCAACUUGGAAUCUCUCGAUUACCUUGAUCUCACUGAUUGCUUAUUGAUCAAAAAAUUUCCUGAGAUCUCUACAAACAUUAAGGAUCUCAAGCUCACGAAAACUGCAAUAAAAGAGGUACCUUCGACGAUCAAGUCAUGGUCUCAUCUUCGUAAACUGGAAAUGUCAUACAGUGAAAACCUCAAGGAACUCCCGCAUGCUCUUGAUAUCAUCACAACGCUGUACAUUAACGAUACAGAAAUGCAAGAAAUUCCUCAGUGGGUUAAGAAAAUCUCUCAUCUUCAGACACUUGGGCUAGAGGGAUGCAAGAGGCUGGUAACAAUCCCACAACUUUCAGAUUCCCUAUCACAACUAGUGGUAACAAACUGUGAGUCAUUGGAGAGACUUAAUUUCUCCUUUCAAAAUCAUCCAGAGAGAUUUCUCUGGUUUCUAAAUUGCUUCAAGCUAAAUAAUGAAGCGAGAGAAUUCAUCCAAACUAGUAGUACCCAUGCGAUCUUACCUAGUAGAGAAGUGCCUGCAAACUUCACUUACCGAGCUAAUGGGAGUUCCAUAAUGGUAAAUCUGAAUCAUAGGCCUCUUUCUACAACUUUGAGAUUUAAGGCUUGCGUCUUGCUAGUUAAAAAAAUUGACAAUGAUAAGGAGGAGGCCGCUGAUAGGAGAACAACUGUAAUUCCUAGAAUCAGGGAGAACGAUAAAAUUGGCGUCGAUGUUCCAUGGAGAUAUCGCUUUCACGUGCCUACCAUUUUAGAAGACCAUUUGCUCACCUUCCAAAUUGAAGCUGAUGUGACGUCCAACAAGCUUUUAUUUUCGUUCGACAUCAAGGACAACAACCAAGCGGUGAUUAAAGAAUGUGGAGUACUCCAACUCUAAGUUCAUUUGGGUCUCUUUCGGAUUUUUGUAAAUAGGAUUUGUUGACGUUGAAGAAACCUUCGGGAAAUCACGAGCUCUCACAAGGAGUCCGGACCGCCUCCAGGAAUGGAGAAAUCCAAAUCGAAGCUGAAAAUAUGGCUACUCAACGGAUAUGGCAAAAAUCAUGAGACAAUGAGAUUUUUGGACUGUGUUUGGCAUUUUCUUGCAUUGUUAUUAAUUUUCUCGAGAAAAUGAGACUCUUAAUUUCUAGAUACUAGAUCGACAAUUUGUUUUCUUCAACACUGAUCAUCUUUUUAGUAUCCGCAAACUAAAUCAACACUUCACUUUUUUCUUCCUUUUAACUAAACAAAAAAAAAAUAGAGAAGCAACUAUCUACACAAAUAGUCCAUUAAGCAGAUAAACUCCCCGGUUUAGAUAAAUCACAUAGCCAACUCAAAAGAACCUUAGCACCUUUCUCCCAUGAACAAUCAAGCAUCAUGUCAUGAGCAACACCUUUAAUACAAACCGGUUCAACCUCAUAAAACCUCCCGGUUUCCUUCAGUCCUUCAUCGUCCUGGAAAUCCAUAACCCAUUUCGGUUUAAUACAAGUACCAAGAUUGAAAAACUUUCAUGUUUGGUGAUGCGUUCUUAGUUCUUACCACUAUGAAGUCAUCUUUGGCACCUAAAACAAGAACCUUGGUCGAAUUCUCCAUUGGUUUUGGUACUGGAAGUGAUGCGUUUAGCUUUCUCAAAUCAAACAACGGUAUUCGUGAACUCUCACUCAUAAGAUCCUGGUAACUAAAUCGAAAUAAGAGAGAAAACAAUCUCUUUAGAUUAUUGAAACGUGAUUUAGAUUCAAGUUGACUAUCGAGCUAGAUUAUACCGCUUCACAAGUUGAUCAUCCAUGGCUUGAGAGAAGAAUGUUUCUCGACAAAGAGGAAUAGAUUUCUGAAAACCUUUAGCAGCUAAACUGAGAGUAACCUACUCAAGAACAAACAUUGUUGAAAACAUGACCCUAGCAAGAUCAAAGGCAGAACAAGAGCUUUACCUUAAAAGCAGCCACAGGUUUAGAAAAGAGAUAACGUAACACUAAGCCGCUGAACAAAGAAAGAGAAUCCCAAACGUUACAUAUAAGCUAGCUAAAAGAAGAAGAAGUUCUCUGAUAUAGGAAAUAGCCAAUGGUUGUGACAAGUUACCUAUUACCGGAAGGUGGAACCGAGCAAACCAUUACCGCCCCUGAAAGCUCUGGAAACGCAUUUUCCGUACCUGAAUACGAAACAACAAACUCAUCGGUUAUCGUAUAGGCCUGAUCCUAAAAACGCAACUCAUUUCGAUGUAUCUACACCUUACCUAAUGAACGCUUGUUUACAAUAUUUGCCAAGUAAUAUUGAACAAUGAGUCCUCCAAAAGAAUGACCAACAAGAACAGGAGGUGAAGAGCCAAGAUUCGAUUCUAUAAAAUCUGCAAUAUCACUUGCGUGCGUCUACUACACAAACAAGUAAUACAAAUCUUGCUGAAUCAAGUAAUGAACCAAUGAAGACAAUGCACAUUGCAAUUUUCAAGUACCUGAAGUGUUCCAGCAACUGUUCCCAAAGGUUCAUCACUUUCACCCUAAAAGAUUCAAAGAUGACAACAUCACAAUUCACACACAAAUCACAUAAUUUCAAUUCAAAGUUUGAAACUUUAUGUUCUUGAUAGUCUAAAAAUCAAAAUUUUGGUCAUUUGAGAAUUUACCUGACCUAAUAAACUAACAGCAUAAGAAUCAAACCCAGAAGAAGAGAAGAAAGGUAACCAAUUUUCAGCCCAACACCAAGCUGCGUGAUAGCUUCCAUGUACAAACACCAAUGGUGGAUUCUCUCUUUCGGAUUUGGAUUUUCUCUGCUCGAUUACCUCCAUUUUUAGACCAGAGGGAAGCUUGUGCAAAAGGCGGGUUUGCCCCUUUUUCAGGUUGUAUGGAAUCGUUGUUCUAGGGGAAUUGGUGAGAGCUGCUAUGGGCAUUUUGAAGUAGGAUAGGCAUGGGAACGAGGGAAGUGAAGAAGACGCCAUCAUCGUUAUUCGUUAAGCUCAGAGCUAUUCUGAUUUCUGAAAAGGAAAAGCUCUCAAGAACUUUUUUAAUCUGAAGUUUUACUGUUUUACGUUAAAUAAAUAUUGUAAGGAAAAAACUAUAGAAUAUAAACACUGUUAAUAUGCUUGAAAAUUAUUUUGAAAAUACUCUAAAAUUUCUUAAUAAACUCUUGAAAAUUCGAAAGUCCAAAAGAUAUGUAUUUCAUAUAUCUUACUCCGAGUUAUUCAAUUUUACACAUAACUAACUAAAAGUAAAUAUAUUUUUUAGUAUGAAUCUGAAAUUUAAGAGUUUUUUUCAGAUUUUUUGGAAUUUUUCAAGAAUUUAUUCUCAUAUUAGAAAUAAAUUUCUUAUUUCAAUAUUAAUAUUUUUGAUCGAUAUUUAGAAAAGUUAACAGAAAUUACUUUCGAUCAGCUUUUGGGUGUUAAAUCAAUACUAUUUAAAUUUUUGUGUAUUAUAACAAAUUAAUUUAUGGUUUUCUUGGACCCAAAAGGAUUUUUCUUGUCCUUUUCUCUCUCCUGAAGCGACUUUUCUGGCGAUUGUCUUCUUUCUGCCCUAGCGCCGCCGUUGGUCGGCCUCUCGCCGGCAUUCGUGCCCGUUCCGAUGCCAAAGAAAAAGAAGAAGGCCUCUCGCCUCUUCCCUGUUCAUUCUACCUCCAAAUUUGAGCGGGUCCUCGCUUCCUCUGCGGGCUCGUCUUCGCUUCCAGCUUCCCGAGAUGCUCUCGUCUCUCCGCUGCCUCUCAUCUCUGCUCCAGCGUCCGUCAGUUCGUUUGUCGCAGCGGUGUCGUCUCCUUCAGUCGAGAUUACGGGAUCUCUUCUCGGUUCUCCUGAGUCGCAUUUGGCCUCUGUUUCCCCCGGAUCUGCUUUGGGCGCCGCCACUUGUCCCUUGAAGGAGGGAUCUGUAGCCUUGCUCUUAGAGUCGUUUGUGCCUGUUAUCUCCGUUGUGACCCCAGCGUAUAAGAUCUCCUCCGUUGUUGUCACUGGUUCUAUUUUAGGAGGCUCGUCUUUGGCUGGAGCGGACCUGCAAUCCAUUACUCCUUUAGUCGAGGCAGCGAGUUGUGUCUCCAAGCUUCUGGGUUCUUCAAAGCCCAGUACCUCUAUAGUGGUCCCAGCGUCUGAGAUCUCCUCCGCCGGGGUCCAAGUUCCCUUUGUUGUCGUCCCAGCGUCUGAGAUCUCCUCCGCUGGGGUUAACGUUACCUCUGUUGUUGUCCCAGCGUUUGAGAUUUCCUCCGCUCGGGUUAACGUCAGUACUUCGGGCUGCUUGCUUUCAGAUGGAGCUACUCGGCAAAUCAACAAUUCCUCUGGUCAGAACAAUGUGCCUUCUUAUGCUGAAGCUGCCAAGUCUCAAAGCUCAGAUCGUCCUUGGGCUGCCAAAUUCAAGGACUCUCUAAGGAAUCUUAAACAGAUGGAUCUCCCUUCCUUCUUGGAGGAUGGUACCCCCGUGGUUGUAGCUCCUCCGUCGAUUCUUCUAAAGACUGCGGAUAUGUGGAAGGGUCAUCUAGUUGCCCAAUUCCACGGUCUCUGCCCUCCAUCGAUGAAGAUCUUCACGGACCUUAAUCCAAUUUGGGGUAAGUUUGGUAAUAUCACAGUGCGGAUCAUCUCCGAAACAGCGGCUCUUAUCUUCAUUCCCUCGCAGGCUACUCGUAAUUGGGUGGUGGAUAUUGGCUUUUGGCACGCUGGGAACUGCUCGUGUACUGUGUAUCCUUGGUCUCCUGAUGGGCCUCUCGAAUUGGAGGAGCUCCAAUUUGCUCCCACCUGGGCAGUCCUUAAAAAUGUCCCCCCUCACCUCUAUUUUUUGGAAGGUAUCAGUGUCAUUGCUAGUGGCAUAGGAGAACCCCUUCAUACUGAGAAGUCUUGGUUGGAUCCGGUUAAUAUUGGGACUACUAAAGUAAAGGUUAUCAUAAAGUUGGAUUCAGUUCUCCCAACCACUGUGGUUGUCCGCGAUAUCCAAGGAAAUUCUGCUAGGGUUAAUGUUGAGUAUCCUCGCCCUCCUCCCAAGUGUCUUAACUGCGAGAGGUAUGGCCACUUACUGAGUCGAUGUCCUAAACCUCUAAUGAAAAAACUCCCUUUCAAGACAGUUAAGGCCGCAGGCUCCAGGGAAGUGUCUCAUCCUUCCCUUGUUUUAGCUGCUUCAGGGUCUGAUUCAGGAGUUGAGACGGCUAGUGUGGCUCCUAGGGAUUCCCGACCCCUAAAGUUAAGAGAAGGUGCUCCCGUUCUAAGAGAAGAGCUACUAGUCUCCCUCCAAAAGUCACCGGUUCCACUGCUGUUGAUAAGGGGAAGAACAUUAUGUAAUCUUCUUCUGUUCUAAGUAAGAAGUGGGUGGCUAAGGUUAUCGUUGAUCAGGGUAUUAAGAUGCUGCCACCUUUGGUGCCAGUGGCUCCUGUCAGCUUGCAGAAGGUUUACUCCUCUUCCCCCCUGACUGUUGAUGUUCUUGACUCGGAUUUAGUCAAGAGGAAGGUAGGCAUUGGGGUCCCGGAUAUGGCAGAGUUGUUGAUCGAUGAUUCCCUGUUUCCAACCCCUCCUGGUUGGGGGGCUAUGACAAAGAAGAAGAGAAAGAAACUAAUGAAAAUUUGGCACAACAAGAUGAGAUCCGGAGCUCAAGCUAUUGCAAGAGGAGAUCCCUCCUCGAGCAAGGCUGGAAUUCAUUGAGACCUCGUUUCAGUUAAUAUCUUUUUGGAUAGUAUGACUAUUUUUUGCUGGAAUAUUAGAGGCUUAAAUAGCCAUUCUCGUCAGCGAGUAGUCCGUAGCUGGAUUGCUUCGAAUAAAUUACUUGUAGGCGGCUUUUUGGAAACUCAUGUUGCAAAGGAGAAUGCUGCAACUGUUUUGGCGUCCACCCUACCGGGUUGGAAAAUGGAUAGCAACUAUUGUUGCUCAGACUUAGGGAGGAUCUGGAUUGUUUGGGACCCUUCGGUGUCUGUUUUGAUCUUUAAGAAAUCAGAACAAAUGAUCUUAUGCAGUAUAAAGGUGCCUAAUGUCGCAAUUUCUUUUGCUGUUGCUUUUGUUAAUGGAAAGAAUUCUGAGUUUGAGAGACGGAUGGUAUGGGAGGAAAUUAGCGUUGUGGCUUCUUCUUCUCCGCUGAUUUUUACCCAUUGGUUGCUGAUGGGAGACUAUAAUCAGAUUGCUGCAUCGUCUGAACACUAUUCUGUGAGUCAGUCAACCUUUUCCCUUAGAGGCCUUGAUAUUUUCCAAGAGUGUUUGAGAGAUAAUGAUCUGGCUCAUCUUCCAAGCCGUGGAGUUUUCUAUACCUGGUCAAAUCAUCAACAAGCUAAUCCUAUUCUCAGAAAGUUGGAUAGAGCCUUAGGCAAUGGAAUGUGGUUUAACUCAUUCUCAACCGCCAUUGUUGUCUUUGAGCCUCCAGGUGAUUCUGACCAUUCUCCUUGUGUUAUUCAUUUGGUAAAUCAAUCUGUUAGUUCAAAGAAGUCCUUAAAGUAUUUCUCCUUCCUUGCGACUCAUCAUUCUUAUCUGUCUUCUAUUGGAGAUGCUUGGGAGAAGAAGACUCUUAUUGGUUCUUGUAUGUUCAUGUUGAGGGAGCGGUUAAAGCAUUCAAAGCUUGCUUGCAGAGCCUUGAACAUGUCAGGUUUCGGAAAUCUCCAACAGAAAACAAAAGGCGCCUUAAUUCAACUUGAAGACAUUCAGAGGAUGCUUUUCUCAAACCCCUCGGGUUCUCUCUUCAGACAAGAGCAUGUUGCCAGGAAAAAUUGGGACUUCUUUUCAUUGGCCUUGGAGUCUUUUUACAGGCAAAAAUCCAGAAUUCGUUGGCUGCUUGAGGGUGAUGCGAAUACGAGAUUCUUUCAUAGAGCGGUGAUUGCUCAUCAGGCUAUUAAUCUCAUCAAGUACCUCAGAGGUGAUGACAACUCUAAGAUUGAAAAUGUGAACCAGAUAAAAGACAUGAUUGUUGCUUACUACUCUUAGCUCUUCGGGAGAACAUCAAUACGGUUCCUUUUUCUGUUGACACUAUCAUGGCUAUUCAUCCCUUUCGCUGUGACACUUUACUGGCAGCCAAGCUUUCGGCUAUCCCGUCUGAUGAGGAGAUUACUCUUUCCGUCUUCUUGAUGCCUAAGAAUAAGGCUCCGGUCCUGAUGGGUUCCUGGCUGAAUUCUUUUGGGACUCUUGGCCUGUGAUUAAGAAAGAGGUUAUUUCUGCGGUGAAAGAGUUUUUUUCCACAGGUUAUCUUCGUAAGAAGUUCAAUAUCACAGCGAUUACUCUUACUCCAAAGGUGAUAGGGGCUGAUAAGUUAUCUCAGUUCCGUCCCAUAGCUUGCUGCAACACCAUCUACAAGGUCAUUACCCGAAUCAUAUCCACACGGCUCAAGCUUUUCAUCUCUCAGGCAGUUCAAAAUAAUCAGGUUGGGUUUAUUAAAGGUAGAUUGCUCUGUGAGAAUGUUCUGUUAGCUUCGGAAUUGGUUGAAGGGUUUCACUUGGAGGGGGAGGUUACUAGGGGCUGUCUUCAGAUAGAUCUCUCCAAAGCUUAUGAUAAUGUGAAUUGGGAUUUUCUUCUCAAUAUUCUAGUGGCAAUGGACCUUCCUCAUAUUUUCGUCAAUUGGAUCAAAGUUUGUAUCUCUACUCCGUCUUAUAGUGUGGCCUUCAAUGGGGAGCUCAUCGGGUUCUUCUCGGGAAAGAAGGGUAUUCGUCAGGGAGAUCCCAUGUCUUCCCAUCUUUUUGUCCUCGUGAUGGAUAUUCUGGCUAAGUUCUUAGACCGGGGCGCGGUAAAUUCUGUGUUUCAGCUCCAUCCAAAGUGCUUGGUUCCUAUGGUAUCUCACCUCAGUUUCGCUAAUGAUGUCCUUGUGUUCUGCAAUGGUUCUGAAUCUUCUAUAGCUGGUAUUCUUUCGAUCUUGGCUGACUUUGAAACUUGUUCUGGUCUAGGAGUCAACAAGCAGAAAACGGCGCUUCUCAUUGAUGGUGGUGACAUGACUGGUUUGAGAAAUCUUUCUGAAAGAUUUGGCAUCUCGCAUGGGUCUCUACCGGUUAAGUAUCUUGGAGUCCCGUUAAUGACUCAGAAAAUGCAUCCGCAUGAUUAUCAACCUCUUAUUGAUAGAAUAAACCUGAAAUUCUCUUCUUGGACUGUGAGGCAUAUGUCUUUUGCAGGUAGACUGCAACUCCUGAAAUCUGUAAUUUAUUCGACGAUCAACUUCUGGACCUCUAUGUUUAUUCUUCCCAAUCAAUGUCUCCACAAGUUAGAGCAAAUGUGCAACUCCUUCCUUUGGAAAGGAGCCCCGAACUCGGCCCGCGACGUUAAGAUUGCAUGGGAUGUCGUUUGUACUUCUAAGGAAAGUGGAGGGCUCGGUCUCAAGCGGUUGGUUUGUUGGAAUAAAGUGUUUGCUUUGAAGUUAAUUUGGCUGCUCUUUACUAAGGCUGGGUCACUGUGGGUGUCUUGGGUUAGAAUGAACCUAAUUGGUACUAGGAAAUUUUGGGAUUUAAAUCCUUCAAACUCUGGCAGCUGGAUCUGGAAGAAGUUAUGCAAGUUGAGAAGCGUGGCUAGACCCUUCAUAGUCUGUGAAAUUGGUUCUGGUGAUACAGCUAGCUUUUGGAUGGACAAUUGGACCGAACUUGGUCCUUUGCUGAAUCUAACGGGCCAAACUGGGCCUCAAGUGGUUGGCCUUCCUCUUUAUUCUGUAGUGAGGGAUGCUCUUCGUGGUAACUGUUGGUGGAUUUCCUCAAGUCAGAGUAGGAAUCCCAUUAUCACCCUCCUCAAAAGUGUUUUACCUGAUGUGAGUAGUGUGUUUGAGUGUGUGGAGGAUGAUGUUUAUUUGUGGAAGCCAGAUCAUCAACCUCCAGCAAACUCUUUCUCUUCUCCUAAGACUUGGCUGGCUCUUAAUCCGCCUUCUCCACCUGUCUUUUGGCAUAAGUCAGUGUGGUUCAAGGAUCAUAUCCCAAAGCAUGCAUUCAUUUGUUGGGUUAUGGCUUGGAACAGGCAACAUUCUCGUGACAGACUUCGACUCUGGGGUCUUUCGAUCUCUCCGAUGUGUUUGCUUUGCAACGCCCACCAUGAGUCAAGAGACCAUCUCUUCUUUAACUGUGCAUUCAGCCGUGAAGUUUGGUCUUCCUUUACUACAAGAGUGAACUUGUCUCCUCCUCUGCUCUUCAUGGAUUGCCUUGGUUGGGUUAAUUCUGCUACUAGGGAUCCAAAUCUUUCCUUGAUUAUCAAACUUAUUUUCCAGGCCUCGGUUUACCUCCUUUGGAAGGAGAGGAACGACCGUAUUCACUCUCUCCAGCACAGGUCGCCGGCGGCUAUCAUUAGGAGUAUCAGCUUGAUCCUGCGGUCUCGUCUAGACCCCCUGUCUAGGAAGCAGCUGAAUGCCCCUCCAGGUUUUUCUCUGCUCUCCUCGUGAUUCAGGUUCUUCAGUUAGUGGGCCGGUUGUUUUUGGUUAGGGCCUGCUUUCUCUCUUUCUAGCUUUCUGUCUUUUUCUUUUUCGGUUUAGGGCAUGUGUGCCUUUUGGACCAUUGGUCUUGUAAGUUUAAGAACAGAGGCCUGCGUGCCGUUUGGGCUUUAGGGCCUUGUAAUGUUUAUUUGGAAAUUUAUGAAUUAAAAAAAAAAAAAAAAAAAAAGAAGUUAUUUUUGUUGUUUAGUGAAUAGAUGGUAAAUUUAUAUGAAUUUUACUCUUAAUAAAAUUAUAAGUUAAAACAUUAUUAAACAAAAUUUUGGAAAUUGACUAGAGAAAAAUAUGUUUAGACAACAAAGUUUUAAACAAAAUCAUAAUUUUGGGUUCCCGCUAAGCAAUAAGGGAAUCCAGCCGCGCUCAUACGACAUAGUUGGUGGUGGCACCAAAUUCGUUUCUUACAUGAACUUGUCGAAUAACAUUCGCACAGUUCCAUCAUUAACAUUCUUCAACUCAAACACCGGAAGAUGAUGAGUGUAUCUAUGUAAGGAAGUUGAUGAUGUACAACUUCAGCGAUAUGCGGAAUCUCAGUUGCACUCAUGAGGUCAACGUAUUCGACAUGUCUCUUCAUUUGUUCACACCUCCACUGGCUCUGUGGAUCGACCAUUAGUAGGACGAGACCGUCAUGCUCAUUUUUCAAGUGUUUAUCAAGUUGAAAAUAAGUCUCCGAGGAAUUGCAAUCAUCGAGAGGACAAGACCUCAGUUUAGUCAUUUUGAUCAAAGAAUAAAUUACUAAAAUCACAUCUUUCAUCUUACUUUAAAUUUAGAUAUUACUGCGCCAACACUAGUCAAAAUUAGAUUGAAAAUUGCUAAAAAAACUCAUAGAUUUUGCUUAGUUUAAAUUUAGGGAUUCUGUCGCUGCCACUAGUCAAUAUAAAGUUAAUAAAUUACUUAGGAGUUUACAAAAUUUCAAUUUUGUUUUACUUUAAAGAUAAAUUAUUCAUUAAUAAUACUUUAACAUAACUUGUUUGUUUCUUUUCUAACUGAUCACAUAUAUAUAUUUUAAUUUGCCUUAAUUUACAUAUCACGGCGCCAACACUAGUAAGCUUUAUCAAGUAAGAAUUUACUAAUGACACAUAAUCAACUAAACUUAAAUUUAGAUAUUACGGCGCCGGAAUUAAUCAAGAUAAAAAUUUGCUAAAGAAACUUUUAUGUUUCUCUUAAUUUGAAUACUACUUAUGACACAUAUAUUUACUUGAAUUUAGAUAAUAUGCCAUAUUUGGUGGUAACUUACUAAAUAAACAUACAUAUUACUUAGCUUUAUUGUAGACUAGAUCAUAACCCGUGCUAUACAGCACGGGCAUUAAUAUUUUGUAUAAAUUAAAUUGUAUAUUUUGUUAUGUUUGCUAUGUCAAAAUUAUUUGUUAUAUUUGUCAAAAUUUAGUAAAAUAUAUUCAAAUAUAAUUAAAUUUAUUAAAACUUAAUAAAUUUAAAAGUUUUUUUUGUUUGGAGACGCACUAUCUACAUACAAAAUACCCGUUUCUAUUUUUUUUAGUAUUUUUAGGGCCUAAAACUUUUUAUCCAAACCAACCCAAACCCAACUGGACCCGACCCGAACCGAAUAUUUAGAAUUAUUCUAUUAGGUAGUAAAUCAUAUACCCAUUAAUCCCAAACCCGAACUCGAAUGGGUUACUCAUAUGCCCAGCCCUAUUCUCUGAUUUAAUUAUCUAAAAAAUCCCAAUAAAACAUAUGUUUUGCUGACUACUUUUUAUUCAAAAAAAUUUACAUCCUCUUCUGCCAAAAUCAUUUCAUAAGACAUCCCAAAACCCAUGGAAUAAUGAUUCCAUGAAUGAAGAAUCCUAAUUUGAAUAUACCAAGAGGUUUUGAAAGGUUUUAAGUUUUUGAUAGGUGUGUAUGUGAGAAGGUACAUCCACAUCGUGAUGGUAAUCUGCUUAUUUAUAAUUUUAACUUGCAUUAUACAGCAGGUAGGCUUAUAUUUUAGUUAAACUAAAAACUUUUAUUGUAAAGUUGAUUAUAAAUAUAUGAUAUUAUUUUAUUUGAUUUUAAAUGUAUAGUAAACUGCGAGUUGUAUAUGUUUUGUUGAUAUUAUUUAUAUUGUUUAGUGUUUAAAAUUAUAUACUUGUAUUUUGAUUGUUAUUUUUAGAGUUUCACCUGUAGUAUAUCAUCUUGUAUUAAUAUUGAUUUAAACCCGUCAAUUCUAGGAUUUUCCAGCUUGUAUUAAAAAUUGAAUCACAUUAUACACAUUAAAAAAUCUAAUAUGUUAUUAAUUAUUGUAGUAUAUAUGAUUAUAAAUUUUAAAAUAAUAUGUAUGAAAUUAAAUAUAAAUAUUCAAAUUAUGACACAGUACUCAGUAAUUUUUUUUCUUAAAUCUACUUUUGACCCGUUAUAGUAUUUUUUCAUGUAUUGAACAGUUUAUAUUCGUUUUUAAAAAUUCAAAUUGUGGCAUAUGCGAAAAAAACUCUAAUUAUUUUUUUAUAACGAUGGUAUUAUUUUUCGCAAAAAUAGAAUCAUAUAAAGAUGAGAGGUGAACUAUAAUAAUUAAUAAAAAAUUAAUAUGAUAAUUUAGAUAUCAAAUCUAAUUUGUUGAUUUUAAUUGGUUACUUUUUUGGAAAUUAAUAAUGUAUUUCGUUUUUGAGUUAAAAUUAAUUAAAUUAGUAUUUGACUUUUUAAUUUUUAAAGAAAUGAAUUAAUUUACUCUUUAAAAUUUUAUUUCUAAUGGCAUACCUAUGUAAUUACUUAAAAAAAAAUAAGGUUAUAUUUAAAAUGUACUUCCCAAAUAAUAUAGUAGGAUAAUAUGUCUUUGACACUACUCCAAAAUUAAGAAACAUAUUUCUAAACAAUAAAAUCAUAAGUUUUAGUUAACUUAAAUUUAGAUAAUGCGUCCCUACCACUAGUUAUAAGAUAAGCAAUACAAUGCUUAGGUUGACAAAGAAAAUGUUAUGCUUAUGAUUUUUCUAGACAAAAAAUUGUUGGGCUUAGGUCGACCAAAGAAAAAAAAAAUUGGGCUUCUUAUUUUCAUGUAGAACGAAAAAAUAGAGGAGGGUGGUUAUGGUUAUUGAUAUUGUGAAGAAGAUGAAAGUAAUAAGACAAGUAUAAGAAACACAGACGAUUUUUAAGGAGAUAAGGAAGAGAAGGUGUGUGAAGGGGAAAAAGGGUUUUGAUGAAAGGUUCGUUGUGGAUUAUAUAGAAACCAAAUCUGAAGCAUCCAAGAUUUGCAAAAACAUAAAAUGAAGGAGUGCGGUGGCGGAUUCUCGAAGCCCAUCAUCGGAGCCGUGUCAGAUUGUUGAGUUGUUGCUAGCUCUGGUUUUUAGGUUUAAGUGUGUUUCUGAUUUAGAUAGGUUUGAAGAAGUGGUUAAUUCUGUUGGAAUGUUAGCUCUGUUCCAACUUACGUGAGAUUUUGUCUAGCCUUAGAAGCGAGUGUAAAUACGUUCACAGUGAGCAAGAGCUCCAGAUGAAACCGAAUAAUACUUGAGAUCCGAUUUCUGAGCAAGGCAAGAAAGUGAAAGGAUAUGAAGAUGUCUGAGCAAGAAGAGGGAGUGAGAGAAGACGGUGAGGUUUUGUUCACUGAGCAUAUGAGGGAAUCAAUUGAUGAUGAAUGAUGUGGUGGUAGUGGUGUUAAUUUGUCGUUAAGUAAAUGUUUGGAUCAUUUACACAGAAAAAGGCUAUCAUAUGAUCUGAAUUACGUUUUAGGAGAGCCUGUUAAGUUUUGAUCUUUUAGGGUUUUAGAUCUAAAAUUAACAGAGCUCUUUGAUUUAACAUUUUGGAAAUUGAAUCCCAUGUUAAUGUAGAUGAAGAAUCUACCCAAGUGUGUUGAAAUAUGUUUGUGAAUUUAAAAACUGAUUUAUUCAUUUUUGGAGGAAUAUUGAUAGUUGGUUUUGUUACAUUUGAGAACGUAGAACAAUUGUAGAGCGGCGUGUAAUUGAUUUUGUUAGUUUGUGUUGAACUUAUUUAUUUUGAGAUAUAACAAAGAAAUGAAAGACGUCAACAACAAAUUGGUCUUAUAGUUCCGGUUAUUUAUUCUAUUCUAGAAUAGAUUAUGUUGGCUUAAGAAGACAUUUAGACUUAAGAGUUAUUUCCUCUGUUAAAAUAUAUGUCCUUCAUUCUUCCAAACGAUUAAGUGAUUUUAAGUUUUGUUUUUGAAAUGAUUAAAUGACUCUGAGUUUUGUUCUUCCAAAUUAAAUCAAAAAUAUUAACAACAUAAUCUGUUCUUAAGAAACUGAUUAGCGAAUCUCAAGAAAUACAUAUUUGUAAACAAGAAGAAUUUGGAACGAGAAUAAUAUAUUUAUAGGUUUCUUAACAACAAGAAUUUGGAACGAUAGAUUGUUUGGCUACCAACAACAUAAACAAAAAAACAAGCAAACGGAUAUAGUUCCAAAAUAAAUAAUUUUAUAUGGUCAAAACUACUGUUGCUAUAUAAAGCACAAAAACUAUAGAAACCCAACUCAACAAUAAUUAUCCUGUUACUUUUUUUGUUUUUUUGCUAUAUAAACUAAGCAAAAUUUUCAUAAGUUUGAACACUCAUAAACUCAUCUCUUCAAAAUAAUGGCAACUCAAACAAUAAAAAAGAUAUACAGUGUUUUGAUGAUUGUAGUUUUAUUUACGAUGAUGGUUUCAACCAACGCGAGUACGGUGGAAGUGUGUGUUAAGCAUUGUGUCCCGAACCAAUGCAUGAAAGUUUCUCAGAAGGCAACUCUUCCAUUAUGUGAGACUGCUUGCACAAAACUCUGCAAUGAAAACAAACAUGAGGAAUAUGUCGUGCCUCGGAGUUACUGUGAGGGAUUAUUUUGGUUUCUAUGUGAUAAUUGAAAUUUAAUAAAUAUGCAAAGUAAUAUAUAUGUAUUUUUUAUCUGUAAAAAAAUAAUCUAUAAUGUAAAAAUGUACCUUUAAUCAAUAUACUAAUUUCAUGUAAUUAUUUUAUUUAUACUAAUCAAAUUGACACAUCAAAAUGCUGAGAAGUUAUCUAAUCACCCAACUAAUAAAAAUCUUAUAAAUGCAAUAUUGUUCUCAUCAUCUCUCCACAUCAAUAUUUAGAUCGUUUUGUAAUCUCUUGCUAAAACUAAUCCAAUCGGUUCUCUAUCGAACCAUUAAGUUAUGAGUUUUCUCUUUACAAUUUUGUAUGAAUGACUAGAAUGAUUGUGAAAGAGGAGAGCAAUCUCGAGUUAUCUAAAUUUUGUUUUGUCACUUGUUCAUAACAAUAACAUUUUUGUGCUACGAAUGUCAAAAUUUCAGGAUUUGUUAAGUAUUAGAGAGGAUGAAUUUAAUAGUUUUUUUUGUUUUUGUGUUUUAUUUUUGGGUUUUUAAUAGAAUUUAAUAGUUCAUGUAUUGUUUAAUACAAUGUCAAAAUUGUGUAUAUAUUUAAGAAAGAUAUUAUUUAAUUAGUGUACAAAUAUAUAUUUGUAAACUUAUGGUCAAUGAUGUAAAAAUUUCAAUUAGUAAUUUUGAGGCUUGUUUUUUUUUUAGAUUCAAGCCACUUCUUUAGUGGGCUUAUCGAAGGCCCAAUACCAAAUUUACGUCUCCUCUCUCUCUCUCCGAUCUCAAUAGAUCGCUGGAGUUGAGAGAGCUUCGGGACUUCGCGUUCCUUGACGAAGAAGACGAUACUUCUUCUCCUUCCAUCACAGCUUCACGCAAAUCUUUCUGCAGUUACAUCUUCUUAAGAUUCUGAGUUCCGACUUAUUUCGUGGAAGGAUUUUGAUAUUUCAACAGUGAUUUUAAUUUUAUACUGGAACUUAAGCAUCACUUAAUCUUCCGGCUAAAAUGAUGUCGCCGAAGCAAAUCUCCGACGAUCGAGGAUCUUCACAUUUCAGGUACCUUCAUACCCAAUUUUUCCAUUAAAACCUCUCUGCUAUUGUGUGUGGUUUCUUCUUUUGCUAGUUUUGAUUUGCGUAGAAAUCAAAUGAGAAAAAUCAAAAAUCAAGAACGAAGUUUCUUCUUCUUGCUCCAAUGGAGUUUCAUUGAAAUUACAACAAAAUGUGUUCUGUUGCUUCAUUUUCCUGAAGAUAAUGCAGUAACAUAAUUAGGUAGAAUCACUGAUUUGAGUCAUAAUUAGGUUAAGAUUUUAGUUCAUUGGGUUUUGAUACAAUACUAUGUUGAAGCAGUGCUGUGAGUCCUGAAAAUUGUCAUUGGCUUAGAAUUGAGUAAUCUGCUACCUAAUUUUUUGUAUUGUUGACUCUCUUUAUUUGCAGGCAUACACCAUUCCAGAUAAUCCACCUUAUUGGGAACUUUUUUAGGAUAUGGUCAGUAUAUUCGAUGUACCGAUACUUGAAUCAGACGGGAGCGCCUGUUGUUCUCUUUCUCUUCUGCUGUCUGGUGCCUUCAUCAAUCAUCUUCUUGAUAAUUCAAAAGCCAUGGAAAGGAAGGGCUCUUUCUAAUCAACAGGUUUACUUUAGUCAUAUCUAAUUUCUUGCAUGUAUAUUUAUGUGGAUAGUUUGGACAUAAAUUAUAUCUUGACUGUUUCAGAUUGUACCUUCUCUUAUCAAUGGAGUCAUCACGGCUCUAUACUUCAUCUUAUGGGGAAAAGGUCUCAAGUCUUGUGGACCUCUUAGGUAUUUGAUUAGUUAUUAAGCAUUCAUACUACCGUAAAAUUCUCCUCUGGUCUUAUCUGUAUUAGGAGUUCCCGUAGAUAUUGGCUUUUGAAAGGUAGAGAAGUUGAAAGUUUACCUAUGAGCAAUUUGGUCCCAGUUUAGCAGUUUGGUUCAAUACUAGACUUACAAUCCUCUCCUUGUCCUUCAUUUCUGCAAUCUUCGUAUUUAAGCUACAGUUUCUGUCAUUUGGUCAAAAAAAAUAUCUUCAGUGAUAUUUGAUUAUCCUUGCUUAUGAUUCUUUGUAUAUUAUUUUCAGAGCUAUCUUGUCAGAGUAUUCUGGUGCUGUUCUUGGAGUACUUUCUGGAGUAUUAUAUGGACGGAGAGGCCAUGUGUGGAAAAAGGUAUUCAUCUUACAUAGCAUCUCAAGUCAAUGUAACCAGUUAACUAGCACGAUUUACAUAGUUUUACCCAUAGUGUUAUUUUGUUUAGUACCCUUGGCAUGCAUCAGCUCACUUGUCUCACUGACCAACUAUAGAGCUGUGCAAUAGUAUCUAGCAUUUAGUGAUGUUUCUUCUGGCUAGUCCAUAUACUUAUAUUGCUUGCAGUAUAAUUAUUGAUAUGAAUUUUAAUAUGGAAAUAUCAAAAUUUAUGUUUAUAUAUCAACAAGGAUACUUAUUCAAAGAGUAGGAAAAUAUUUCUCUCAUAUUUUGCAAAUCAUGAUAGGUAGGUGGCCUCAUUGCAAUGCUGGUAGCUCUUUUUUUCUUGUCUCAAGGAUGGGCGACAUCAUCUCUCUCCCCUUUUUAUAUCCUUUUUCGCAAGUUCCUUCUUCUUAUCUCGAUCUUGAUCUCUAUGUAUAUAUAUCUUGCUCGUUUUUAAUGGUGUGGAUAGUUUAACUUAACAACAAGCUACCAACAAAAGAUAGUACUGAAACCAAAGAGGAAGAAGUACAAACAGAACAAGCACUAGGUAUGAUGGGAAUGAUGAUACCAGUUUUUGCUGGAAUCUUAUCAGCAUUAAGGCGGGUUAUCGCACGCCGUGUUUCUCUAAAGGUAAUGCUCUCAGAUUCCUUCGAUUUCUCCAGUCAUUUCUUUUCUUAUUUCUGCUUCCUUUGUGAACAAUCAAUUUUCUUGUUUUGCAGAACCAGCAGAAGAAACGACUACAUGCGAUAACCAUUACUUCUGCAACCUGUUUCUUGUUCCCUGUGGCCAUGUGGGACCUUAUCAUAGUAAGUGUUGCUACUCUUUUGCAAUGAGAAGGAUUAAUGUAUCAAAGAUGGUGUUUUCUCAAUCACCCAAGGCCGGUUUGGUUCACUAUAAUAACAAAAUUUCACUUCAGGGGUCAUCUUCUGGGAAAACAUCCGAGUUACCAUUUUCUGCGUGGGCUUUCCUUAGCACCAUUAUUUUCGGGAUCAUCCUAAUAUUCUACGUUGAUAAUAUCGCAGAAGAGAGGUUUCGUAAAGCUUUACCCUUAAAUCAUCUUUACAUUGCAUUUUAACACACAAACAUAUGCUUUAAACGAAUAUGUUCUGUUUGUCGCAGAUUGCAUAUGGUGUUUUCUUCGCCGAGGCAUUUAAUGGUAGCAGGUGUAUGCAUAAUAGUCAUGGAGUUAGCUUAUGAGAUGGAUUUUUCUCUUCCCGGUUUCAUCGUUUGUUGCUUAGUAUUAGGGUUUGGAAUAUUCGAGGCAACAUCUCUAGAACGGAACAAGAAAGACUCUUCGUUGAAAUCAGAAGAUCCAUCAAACGGAAUCCUUGGUAAUAAUGACUUUGAUACUUCUCCAAUUCUUCCCAUAUAGCUCACCAAUCUUUCCCUACACUAACGACGAUGUACUGUUGAAUGUACUUGUCCUUGACGAUGUAAAUCUGUCUGGUUUUAUUCGUUUCUCAAUCUUUGUACCUUCAUUUUUCAGCUUUUUUUGUUUUCUUGGUGAAGCAUAUGCAAAUAUUUUGGUCUAACGUAGACAAAGAUGAUAACCCAUGAUGAUGAAUAUACUUACGGUUAUACGAAGAUAACUCUGUAGAAUGAUCGAAUUGAAAUUUCUUCGAUAUCAAAACAUGUCACGGUUUGACAAUAAUACGAAGAAAACCAAACCGAUCAGGACCAAGAGAAUUUAAACCAAACCAAAUUUCUUAUGGUUUGAGUUAGCAACGUGUAGUAACCAAACCAGUCAAGCGUGAAACGCUUCGUUUCCUUCUCUUUUGGUCUCUGUCAAUUUUGAUGUUUCGCCGAGAAAAAAAAAAAACAAUUAUUGAUGUUUCAGCUUCUUCUCCGAUGCAUUUGCUUGCCUUCGUUGAAGCUCUUUCACGUUGGUCGUAGUAGUGUUGUUGUAGUUAAGACUUAAGAAGAUGGAUCUCUCUUUGACAUCAAUGACUCUUGUCUUUCUACAUCCCGAAGAGGGUAAAUGCAUUGAAUUCUGGAGAACUUCGUCAACAGAGUAUUUGCUUUCCUAGGUGUUGAUUUAGAUUGCAUGAAUCGUUGGAUAUGAAAUAUUGAAAUGUAACGCGCAGCAGCGUUGGUGUUUCUUAAAACUCUAGUAGUUUACUCAGUUUGGUUUUCUAGUGUUAAGUUUCAGGUGCUACUUUCUGGUUGAUGAGGUAAAUGAUGAAAUCAAUUCUUUGAACUCUUUCUUGUGUUUGUAGGAGAUGGAUAUAUACACUAAAGAGAAUAAUUUAUAGACCUCAAAGUCUCUGGAAUGUUUAACGUUGUAGCAACAAGUUUCAUAGUUUUGAUAUUUAACAAGUGGACUAGUGCACACUAAUGAGUCUCAGUGUUUCUUCAGAAGCUAAAGUUUUAGUUACAUAUUUUGCUCUUCUUUGGUCAACUUUUGCUUUCCUUCUCUGAGUUCUCUUCUCUUUAAGCAAUACUUGUAAAUUUUUGCCUAAAUCUGUUUAAUCCCAAAUAUCAAGCCGUUCCGGUUUAUCGAAACUAAACCGGUGAUUUUAUAGAACAGGAAGAAACAAAACCCUAUACAGUAUUUUGUUUGCUUGCUGGUAGAGCCAUCGAAUUCAAGGGACUAAGUAAAUCCCAACUCUCUUUUUCACUGAAACCCCUAAAUAUUAGGUCUUGGAUAAAGCUUUUGUAACAAGGUAGGUUUCGAGGUUUUACUGAUUAUUUUUUUGGGGGUUCCUUAGUCCAUAAGAUUCCUAUUUGCGUUGUGAACUCCAAGUUUCCCUCUAUGCAAAGUUCAUAAGAUUCCUGUUUUACCAAUUUAACGUGUUUCAUUUGCACUUGCUUGGAUUUUACAUGAAUUGAAACUUUAAAACUAAUUGAAUUUUUGUCGCCCGCGGUUGUUGGCGGACCGGACCACCGCAGAGUGAACAGAAGCAAGGUCCGUCGCGAAGUGCCCGUUUGGUCGCGGGCUCGCCUGUCUGCCACCCCUAUUCAUCUCUAUUACUUUUAUAUUUAGACUUUACAGAAUCAAUUAUUUUGGAAUUUCUUUAUAUUUCCAUAUUUUUUCUUAUAAUUUUGUAGACUAUAAAUUAAUUAAUAUUAAUUACUACUAAUUCAAGUUUUCGAAAAAUAGACUACUUUUUUAUCAGAAUAAUCAGAAGAAAUUUAAAUUAAUAUUUUGAGAAGAUUUUGUUUCCAUAUAAAUGUAUAUAAUUAUAUUUAAAAUAAGUAAUUUAACAAAAACAUGUAGAGUAUAUGUAAGAAAUAACCAUUGACUUGAAAAGAAUACACAAAAUAACCUUGGACCAAAUAGUAUUUGUCGGCUACAGAAAUUUUGGUAAUAUUUAGUCUAUUUUAGCCUUUCUCUUUCUUAUUCCUUCUUUUGUUUUUUUUCCAUGUUCUUUACGAGACUUUAGUCAUAGAGUUCUCUUUCUCUCUUCAUUUUUAACACAAUUCAUCUUCUUCAGAUUCACCAUGUCAUUUUCUUUUUCUAUUUCUCUCUUCCUCUCCUAAAAUAAUCUUCACCACCUUUCAUAAAAUAUAUCAUCAUAUCUUUUUAUUUUGUUCACCCACAUGUUCUCUCUUUCUUUUUCCAUAGAAAUCUCUCUAUCUCUCAUUCUUUAUUUUAUUUUUUACCUGAAUUCUCCGUCAAUGUCGUUGUGAUAUAAGAGAUUAGAUUUGAUUUUAAAACAAAUGUCUGAUUUUAAAAUGCAUGUAUUUUAAGAACAAAACAUGUUAUUAACACUGAUAUAUUAAUAUUUGUCAUGCUAUCCCACAAAAACUCAUGAAAUAAAUAAAUAUUUGUCAUGUUAUCCAAUAAAAACCCAUGUAAUAUUGUAACAAUUCUAUAUGUUUUUUUAAACUUCGCGAUCGAUAAGAGAAUUGUAUGCUUUUUAUAAAUAUUUUGUGCUAUUUCAGAAAAACACAUUAUUUCAGAGAAACAUAUAUAUCGUUUUGUAUGUAUUUUAAAGAAUUGCAUGCUUUUUUGUAAAUAUAUCAUGUUAUUUUAGACAAAUAUAUAAAAACUUUAUAACUACAACCACCGAUAUUUUUGUAAAAACAAGAAAAUCUAAAGAUAUUUUAGUAUUUUAUCCACCAUAGAAAAUGUUAUUUACCUAAGUUUCCUGACACAAGGCUAUUGUCUCAAUUCUUUUCAAUUCCAUGGUUACUCUCUAAUAUUACCUUUAGAAUGGUUUUCCCUACCCUUAACCUUAAAACCUUUCUUUCAAGCCUAUGUACUAUUUGUGAGUGAGGCCUCUUGUAUGAAAAUGCUAUAGAUUUUGAAAUCUUCAAAGUAUUGAGAACGACAAGGUUUUAGCUCUUGUUUUUAGCUAGCUUUUGGAACAUCUUUGGACUAGCUACUAGGUUGGGAAUGAAAGAUUUAAGUGGUUAGAUUGAAUACUUGGGAUUGGGUUUGAAAAAAAAAAAAAAAAAAAAAAAAAAAACCUCUUUUUCUCUUAGUUUUUGUUGCUUUGCAUUCAUAUUUUGGCAUAUAGUAUUGCAUUUGCAUUUGCAUUUGUUUUUUUUAGGUACAUGAGUGGAGUUUAAAGUUUUGGAAGUAAAAUGGAGCAAAUGGAGCAAACAAAGGAGCUAAAAGAUUGCAAAGUGGCCAAAGAAGAGAAGCUAGUAGGAAUCUACCAAACUGGUCGAUUGCGUGGUCGAUUGGUCAGGACCAGAGCUACGGAGGAAUAUGAAUCUACCAAAGUGGUCGAUUUCGUGGUCUACUGGUCAAGGAUUAAUGUUGCGGACGAUAUUGAAUCUACCAAGUGAUCUAUUGCUUGGUCGAUUUCCUUCCUUAACCGGAUCAAAACCCGGUUUGUUCCGGGUUAAUCCGGUUUAUUUUCUCGUUACUAUAAAUACUCUUAACCUAGUUUUAGAGAGAGGGAGCUUUUGUUUAGGGAUAAAAACUUCUCUUGAAGGUUCUUUAUCUAAGGUUUUUGUAUGAAUGUUGAGUUCUUAAGUUUCUAUAUCAAGUAUUUCUUUUAAAUUUCUCAUCUAUUCUCUAAUGAUUAUGGCUUUACAAAGAUCAAACCAAUUCCUUUGUAUGAUCAUGAUCAUGAGUGAGUAGUCUCCUAGAGUUCUUUGGUUAGGGUAGAUUAGGAUGGUUUAGAUGUUGGGUUAUGGAGUUUAGGGCUAGAUUACUUAAGAUUCUUACUUAUUGGUUGCUUUUAAGGCUAGAUCAACCUUGAUCAUGAUGAUUUAGACAUUAGGAAUUUCAUGCCCGGAAGGUGUUCGAUGAAAUUCCCAAACCAAAAUCUUUAAGUGCUUUUCAUACCUUACCUUUGGAAAUUGUUGAUUAGGGUGAUUAGUGGCUAGAUAGACUUGUUAUUUAUGCUUAUUGAUCAUUUGAUUGCCUUUGGAAAUUGUUGAUGAUUGAUUGAUUAGUAAAGGGAUUAAUAUCAUGGAAAUGUAUUAGUCUUGUUUAGUGUUCUAUGGCCUAAGGAUCAUUGCUUGUUAGAAGUUGUUUGUUGCUCCAUAAUCCAUCUCUUUAUCAUUUCUAAUCGAUUACCUUAACCCGAGAAUUCGUCUUUAGUUUUCGCUUAGUAAUUUGUUAAUUUCCCGCUUUGUUUACUUUCGAAACUUGUUGGUCUUUUGUUUCUUGCUUUCUCUUAUCUUGUUUUGCAUUGUUUGUUUAAUAAUGCAUUGUUACUAAGAUUUAGAAUACUCAAAAUCAUCUUGUUAGCUUAGAUUAAGCAAGUGUGUGUAUUCUUGGUGAGUUGAUUAAAUUGCAAAUUGUGGUUCGAUAAUUAAUUGAAAGAAAUGCUACAUCAAUUUGGCGCCGUUGCCGGUUUGCAAUAGUUAUUAGCCAUUAGGAUUUCAUAUUUGUUUGAGACUAAGCCUUUUACUUUAGUUACUAAUCCUUUAUACUUGAUCUUUGCUCUUGUUUUAAAGGUGUAUGAACCUACGAAGUCACGGUCGAGCAAACUUAGUAGAAGAGAUUAGUGACAUCCGCCGGUUUGAAAGAGAAAACGCUAGAGCAAGAAGAGAACGAGAACGACUUGAACACCUUGCUCGGUUAGGCGUCAUGAAUGAACCCGGAAUUGAGGGCCAUAAUGGAAAUGGCCAAGCUAAUGGGGAUGGUCAUAUGCCACAACAUCAACCAAGAGCUCAUCAACCAAUUGGAGCCUUUGAUGAGCCAAACAUCCGUGGAAAUAGAAACGGUAUUCAAGCUCCUCCGGUUGAGAACAACAACUUUGAGAUUAAAUCAAGCCUCAUCAACAUGGUUCAAAGCUCUAAGUUUCAUGGUUUAUCAAUGGAGGACCCUUUGGAUCAUCUAGACCAAUUUGAUAUGUUGUGUAGCACGGUGAAAAUCAAUGGGAUCUCGGAAGAUGCAUUCAAACUUAGACUCUUCCCGUUUUCUCUUGGAGAUCGAGCUCGUAUUUGGGAGAAGAAUCUACCUCAAGGCUCCAUCACCUCUUGGGACCAAUGCAAAAGAGCCUUCCUCUCAAAGUUCUUCUCCACAACAAGAACGGCAAGGUUGAGAAAUGAGAUAUCUAGCUUCACUCAAAGGAGUAAUGAAAGUUUUUGUGAAGCUUGGGAAAGGUUCAAGGGAUACAAAAUGCAAUGCCCUCAUCAUGGUUUCUCUAAAGAAUCUAUACUAAGUACCUUGUAUAAAGGAGUUCUCCCUAAAUUUCGCAUGUUGUUGGACACGGCAAGCAAUGGAAACUUCUUGGGCUAAGAUAUUGAUGAUGAUUUGUCUUUGGUAGAGAAUCUAGCUCAAAGUGAUGGUAACUAUGGUGAAGAUUAUGACCGCACUCCAAGAGAAAGUAAUGAGAUGAGCGAUCUACACCGCAAAGAGAUCAAAGCAUUGAAUGAAAAGAUGGAUAAGAUGAUUCUUGCUAAUCAAAAACCGAUCCAUUUUGUAUCCGAGAGUGAUGUCUACCAAGGUUAUCAAGAGAAUAUGGAAGGUUGUGUAGAGGGACAAGAAGAGGUCAACUAUGUUAGUGGACAAGGCUACAACAAAUUCAACCCUAACUAUAGGAAUCACCCCAACCUUUCAUAUAGGAGCAAUAAUGUGGAGAACCCACAAGAUCAAAGCUACCCACCUUUAAAGCCUCCCGGUUUCACACAACAACCUAACUAUCAACCUAAACCCCAAGGGAACUUCCAACCAAAGCCUCAAGCCUACCACCACAACCAACACCAAGGGAGUUCAUCAAAUCCUCCACCUCAAGCGAAUGAUACAAACGCUCUUCUUAAACAAAUUUUAGAAGGGCAAGGAAGAGGAGCAAUCGAUCUCGCCACACAAAUGAAAGGAAUGCACACCAAAGUCGAUGACCUUUAUGGUGAGCUCAAUGCCAAAAUAGAGCGUUUGAAUGCCCAUGUUUAUAGCCAAUCCUCAUCCACUUCCAAGCGGCCAAUGGGAACUUUACCGGGUAAACCGGAACCAAAUCCGAAAGAGUAUAUAAAUGCUAUAACCCUUAGAAGUGGUAAAGAGUUGCCGAGUGGAGAGCUCAAUAGAGACAUUGAGCCUAAACAAAAGGAGGGUGUGAUUGAGAUUGAUGAAGAGGAGGUAUUGAAUGAGAAAGUUUGUCAAGAUGAGAUUGAUGUUGAAAAAUGUAUUGUUGACAAAGGGAAGGGUAAAAUAGUUGAAGAGUCUAAAGAAGACAAAACCCAAGAAGAAAUCUCCAAGAAGGAUAAAAGUUUUGCUAAGAAAGAGACUCUAUUUGUACCUCCACCUUAUGAACCAAAGUUACCAUUCCCGGGUCGUUUCAAGAAGCAACAACUAGAGAAGUAUAGAGCAAUGUUUGAUGAGCAAAUGAAAGAAGUUACUAUCACCAUGCCUAUCAUAGAUGCGUUCUUGUUAAACCCGACUUACAACAAGUUUCUUAAAGAUGCGGUUGUAGAAAAGAAGAAAACAUUACAAGGUAUGGUCCUUUUGACUCAUGAAUGUAGCGCUAUCUUCCAAAACAAGAUUGUAGCAAAGAAGCUUGAUGAUCCGGGUAGCUUUACACUUCCAUGUGCUCUUGGUCCUUUAUCCUUUGACCAUUGCUUGUGUGAUCUUGGUGCUAGUGUUAGCUUGAUGCCUCUUUCGGUUGCCAAACGCUUAGGUUUCACAAGAUUUAAGGAUUGUAGAAUUUCACUUGUCCUUGCGGACCGUUCUAUUAGAACCCCGGUUGGUUUGCUUGAGGAUCUUCCGGUCAUGAUUGGUCAUUUUGAGAUACCAACGGACUUUGUGGUCCUUGAGAUGGAUGAGGAACCGAAAGACCCACUUAUCUUAGGACGCCCAUUUUUGAGAACCGCGGGAGCAAUGAUUGAUGUGCGAAGAGGAAUGAUUAAAUUGAACUUGGGUAAGGAGGUAUUAACCUUUGAUAUAAAAAAAACGAUGAAGAAACCUACCAUUGAAAACCAAGAAUUUUAUAUCGAAGAGAUAGAAGCUUUAGCGGAUGAGCUUUUGGAAGAGCUAGCAAUGGAGGAUCCACUUCAUAGUACUUUGACUAUAAAACAAGGAGAGUUUGGAUUACUUGAAAGUGAUAGUGAGGGGUAUGAGAAGAUACUUGAUUCUCACAAGCCUUCUAAUGAAGAUGGAACCUUCCUUGAGUUGAAAGAAGUUAGUCAUGAGGUUAAUGUUGUUGAGAUUGAAGAGGUGACAAACAAGGAGGGAGCUAGCAAUGGUAAGUCUAGCAUAGAUGGAGAUUGGAGUGAACUCAAGGCUCCAAAGGUGGAACUAAAACCUCUUCCCAAGGGGCUAAGGUACGCAUUUCUUGGAACAAACUCUACUUAUCCGGUUAUAAUUAAUGACGAACUUAGUGAUUUAGAGGUCUCCACCCUAAUAGAGGAAUUGAAAAAGUAUAGAAAAGCUAUUGGUUAUUCUCUUAGUGAUAUUAAAGGAAUUUCGGAAACUCUUUGUGUGCAUAGGAUUCAUCUUGAGAAUGAGUCAAUGACUUCCGUCGAACAUCAAAGGCGGUUAAAUCCUAACCUUAGAAAUGUAGUACGGGAAGAGAUCCUCAAACUCUUGGAUGCGGGAAUAAUUUACCCGAUCUCGGAUAGCACAUGGGUUUCUCCGGUUCAUGUGGUCCCAAAGAAGGGUGGAGUCACGGUUGUAAAGAAUGAUAAUGAUGAGUUGAUCCCAACUAGAACAAUAACGGGGCAUAGGAUGUGUAUAGAUUAUCGAAAAUUGAAUGCCGCUUCUAGGAAAGAUCAUUUUCCUUUACCGUUUAUUGAUCAAAUGCUAGAGAGGUUAGCCAAUCACACCCACUAUUGUUUUCUAGAUGGAUAUUCGGGAUUCUUUCAAAUUCCGAUUCAUCCAAAUGACCAAGAGAAAACAACUUUCACAUGCCCUUAUGGUACAUUUGCAUAUAGGAGAAUGCCAUUUGGUUUGUGUAAUGCUCCCGCUACAUUUCAAAGAUGCAUGAUGUCUAUAUUCUCGGAUCUAAUUGAAAAUGUGGUUGAAGUUUUUAUGGAUGACUUCUCCGUCUAUGGAGACUCUUUUGCCUCUUGUCUUUCUAAUUUGUGUAGGGUCUUGAAACGUUGUGAGGAGACUAACCUUGUGUUAAAUUGGGAGAAGUGCCACUGCAUGGUUAGAGAUGGGAUAGUAUUGGGUCACAAGAUCUCCGAGAAGGGUAUAGAGGUUGAUAGAGCUAAGAUUGAUGUGAUGACCAAUCUAGCACCGCCAAAUUCGGUUAAGGGAAUAAGAAGUUUUUUGGGCCAUGCCGGGUUUUAUCGAAGGUUCAUCAAGGACUUCUCCAAAAUAGCAAGACCACUUACAAGACUAUUGUGUAAAGAAGUUGCUUUUGUGUUUGAUGAGGAAUGUCUAGAUGCUUUCAAAAAGAUAAAGAAAGCUUUGGUUAGUGCCCCAAUAGUGCAAGCACCGGAUUGGAAUCUACCAUUUGAGAUCAUGUGCGAUGCUAGUGACUAUGCGGUUGGAGCGGUUCUUGGUCAAAGAAAAGAUAAGAAGCUUCAUGUCAUCUACUAUGCAAGUAGGACUCUUGAUGAUGCACAAGUUAAGUAUGCCACCACCGAAAAAGAGCUCCUUGCUAUAGUGUUUGCAUUUGAGAAGUUUCGAUCAUACUUGGUUGGUUCUAAGGUGAUAGUUCAUACGGAUCAUGCGGCAUUAAGACAUCUAUUAGCCAAGAAGGAUGCGAAACCAAGGCUUUUGAGAUGGGUUUUGCUUCUACAAGAAUUUGACUUGGAAAUUAAAGACAAGAAAGGGAUUGAGAAUGGUGUUGCGGAUCAUCUCUCUCGGUUGAGGAUUGAUAAUGAUAUACCAAUCGAUGACUCUCUUCCCGAGGAGCAACUAUUGGCAAUUAGGCUUUAGGAUGCAAGUCAUGAGACCUAUAAAAAACUUGAGGAGGUGAAGACAUUGAAUGAAAAUGGCCCAUGGUAUGCGGAUUAUGUUAACUAUUUGGCAUGUGGAAAAGAACCUCCAAAUUUGAGUAGCUAUGAAAAGAAGAAGUUCUUGAAAGAUAUAAACCACUUCUAUUGGGAUGAACCAUUUCUUUAUACUCUAUGUAAAGAUAAGAUCUAUAGAAGAUGUGUCUCGAAAGAAGAAGUAGAAGAAAUUUUGCUCCAUUGCCACGGUUCAAGCUAUGGAGGUCAUUUUGCAACUUUCAAGACGGUUACCAAGGUUCUACAAGCGGGUUUAUGGUGGCCAACGAUGUUUAAAGACGCACAAGAGUUCAUUUCGAAGUGCGAUUCAUGUCAAAGAAAAGGAAACAUUAGUAGACGAAAUGAGAUGCCCCAAAAUCCAAUUUUAGAGGUUGAGAUCUUUGAUGUAUGGGGAAUAGAUUUUAUGGGACCAUUUCCUUCUUCAUAUGGAAAUAGCUACAUACUUGUGGCGGUUGAUUAUGUGUCAAAAUGGGUUGAGGCGAUUGCUAGUCCAACUAACGAUGCAAAAGUUGUGUUGAAGCUAUUCAACACUAUAAUAUUUCCAAGAUUUGGUGUUCCUAGAGUGGUCAUAAGUGAUGGAGGGAAGCAUUUCAUCAACAAGGUCUUUGAGAGUCUACUCAAGAAGCACGGAGUGAAGCACAAGGUCGCCACGCCUUAUCAUCCGCAAACAAGUGGUCAAGUUGAGAUUUCUAACCGGGAAAUCAAAGCUAUUCUAGAGAAGACGGUUGGGACUACAAGAAAAGAUUGGUCGGUAAAACUUGAUGAUGCAUUGUGGGCAUAUAGAACCGCCUUUAAGACUCCGAUAGGUACUACUCCGUUCAAUCUUCUCUAUGGAAAAUCAUGCCAUUUGCCGGUUGAGCUCGAAUAUAAGGCUUUGUGGGCAGUAAAGCUUUUGAAUUUUGAUAUCAAAACCGCCGAGGAGAAGCGGUUGAUUCAAUUGAAUGACCUUGAUGAAAUCCGCCUUGAAGCUUAUGAGAACGCCAAAAUUUACAAAGAGAGGACUAAGGCAUUUCACGACAAGAAGAUCGUUCCAAGAGACUUUAAAGUAGGUGAUCAAGUGUUGUUGUUCAAUUCUCGUUUGAGAUUAUUUCCGGGAAAGCUCAAAUCUCGUUGGUCGGGUCCAUUCAAGAUCAAAGAAGUGAGACCCUAUGGAGCCUUGGUAUUGUGGAACAAAACGGGAGGAGAAUUUGUUGUGAAUGCUCAACGCUUGAAGCCUUACUUCGCGAAUCAACACAUUGGGGAGGGAACCAAAGUUUCUCUCUUGGAGCCUCAAUCCGCCUAAUUUGUGUGGAAACGUCAAGCUUAGUGACUUUAAACAAGCGCACUUGGGAGGCAAUCCCAUGGUAUCCUUGUACAUAUUUUGAUUCUAUUUAUGUGCUUUUGGUUUGAUUAAGUUUCAGGGAAGUAUUUGGAAAAUUUCAUAUCAAGACGGGCAAGCAAAACCAUUUCUGGGCAAGCGAAUCGACCGCAUGGUCGAUUGGACGGUCGACUCAUCCAUGUCCGCAAAUCCGUCAGAUUUCUAAUCGAGCACUCAAUAGAGCAGUCAAUAGACGAGUUGGUCGAUUGGACGGUCUACUGAUUCAUGUCCGCAAAUCCGUAAAUUUUCGAAUCGACCAAUCAAUUGAUCGAUUGGUUUUGAAAGCCCAGGUAAGUCAUCUCUUGACUUCGUCGGUUCACUAGAAAUUUUCCGGUUUAGUCCCUUAACCAACCAAAACCGAAAAAAAAAAUAAUAAUAAUAAUAAUAAUAAUUCCUUCUUUUUCCUUCUCUCACGACCUCUUCCUCUCACUUUUCUCUCUUUUUUCAAACUCACUCUCUCUUUUGUUUUCAAACACACUUGCUUGUUUUUAGUGAUUCAAAUCUCUUGUUCACUUUUUUUUCUCCAUAGAACCCGAAUUUAGCAUCUCCACUCUCAGAUUGACAAGGCACAAUGGUAGAAGGCACAAAGAGAACAAACCCCAAACGUUCUAAGACAAUGACCUCCACUGAACCGCAAAGUGAACCCGUUGCUCAUUGGACUAAGGAAGAUAAGAAAGCUCUCAAAGUCAUCUCUCCACUUCCUUCAUUUCCAACGCGUUUUGCAAAUCGCGAGAUCCUAGAGAAGAUGGGUUUGCUCGAGACUAUUGACGAGUUCUUCACAAAGAUGGGACUUGGCGCCUUCACCUCCAUGGAUCACCCUACAUUCAGUGAGCCUACAGUUGAUUUCUUUAGCACCAUGGAGUACACAUUUACGAACCCAAAGAUACCACUAGCUAAAGAAGGAAUCAUCAACUUCAAGGUCAAAACAAAGGCUUUCUCCAUAUCAAUUCCCGACCUUUGUGAAGCCUAUGGAUUUGAGAACAAAAGCGAGAUGAGCUUCCCGAAGUUUAAAGGAAUCCACUUCUUUUGGGGCGAGCUAGCAAGCGGGAAAUUCAGUUGUAACGCAAGUAUCAAGAGCGUCCGCCAUCCGGUAAUUCGUUACGCCUUGAAGCUUCUCGCGCAUGCUCUUUUUGGGAGAGGUGAAACGAGUUCUACUACGGUUUCCGAGAUGUGCUUUCUUUUUCAAGGAGUCAAAGAAUUGUUGGUAGAAGACGCGGACGAGAAUGGCGAUGGAAGGUUGGUACAUGAUGAUCUUGGAAAUGAUGUGAACUAUGGGUGCAUCUUUGCUUCUUAUCUAGAGGAUUAUAAGAACCGGCUAAUCAAGGGCAAGACGAAAUCCAUCUACAUUGGUGGUACUCUCACACCACUUUUUGUUAAAGCGGGAGUAGAUCUUUCUCCAUUCAAUGCUCUCCCAAAGCGUGAAUACAUUGACUAUGAGAACUUGGUGCGUUCUUGCUCUUUAAAACGUAGCGAUGAUGCUUUCAUCUACUUGUACACGGAUCGAGAGGAUAACAAGUUGGAAUGCAUACUACCCUCAAAGGAGAUCACAAAUGUAGAGAGUCAUGAAGACAUUAUGUUUUUGCCAAGUAAGGAAUAUCAAGUACCAAAUUUGGAGCAAUUUAUGGAGAUUGAAGAAGAAGACUUGCCACCAUCUCCACGAGAUGACCCUUACAACCUCAACAAGUGUGAUCUUCCCGAAUUCACAUUUGUGCCAAAGACCAAGAUGGAGAAGUUUCUUCAAUCCGUCAUCAAGUCUCAAAGGAAGAUAAACAAGUGGAAAUCUUAUGCAAUAGGAAAGCUACUUAAGAAGGUGAAGAAGCUCCAACCACCGGAUUAUGUCUCUUCCGAGGAUGAACUUGUUUUUCCUUCAAAUGAGGAGGAAGAUAGAGACAAUAUUUUGGAGAGUGAUGAGAAUAAUGAAACGCCCGCCACUUCAUCACACUCGUCUAGGAGGAAGAACGCCUCGAGAGACCACUCCUACAUGCCUUAGCCACUCCACGGUAUCACUUGUAUAUACGACUUUAUUUCUUUUAGUUCUAUUUAUUUAUUUUCGUUAGUCUUUUCCUCAUAUUUUUCUCUCACACCGAGACGGUGUGAAAUAAGUUUGGGGGAGAGACUAACCAUCUAACGUUGUGUUUUGUUUUGAUUUUAUUUCUUUGAGUCUUGCAUUGUCAAUAUCUAUGUUUUGAGAAAAAAUAAAAAAAAAAUCUGAAAAUUUUGAAAAAUCCAAAAAAAUCAUGUAGGUUUGCAUAUUAAUUUUCUCUUUUAGAAUUGAGUCUAGAAGCAUCUAGUGUGCAUUUGCAUUUGCAUAGGGGAUAAUGAUUUAAUUACCUUGUAGAAAUUCAAGCUUAGGAUUGAACUUAAAGCCCUUGAUCACAGUUAAUCGUUGCUUGAUCAUCUUGGAAAAAAUGGAAAAUCCAUGCUUAGACUUUUGCGUUUCUCGAAAGCAAUUUCUACUUGUGUGAAGCUUACAUGACUUUUGAAAUAUCUCUAUGAAUUUGGACUUAAUUUGAUAUUGAUUUCUCGCUUAUGGAUCCUAAAUGCAUUCUCAUGGUAGUCUAAAAGACUCAUUCGGGUUAUCUUAUUCGUUUUGCCAAUCUUUUGUUAACCCGAAUGGCCAUUCUCACCUUUAGAAUGGUUUUCCCUACCCUUAACCUUAAAACCUUUCUUUCAAGCCUAUGUACUAUUUGUGAGUGAGGCCUCUUGUAUGAAAAUGCUAUAGAUUUUGAAAUCUUCAAAGUAUUGAGAACGACAAGGUUUUAGCUCUUGUUUUUAGCUAGCUUUUGGAACAUCUUUGGACUAGCUACUAGGUUGGGAAUGAAAGAUUUAAGUGGUUAGAUUGAAUACUUGGGAUUGGGUUUGAAAAAAAAAAAAAAAAAAAAAAAAAAAAAACCUCUUUUUCUCUUAGUUUUUGUUGCUUUGCAUUCAUAUUUUGGCAUAUAGUAUUGCAUUUGCAUUUGCAUUUGUUUUUUUUAGGUACAUGAGUGGAGUUUAAAGUUUUGGAAGUAAAAUGGAGCAAAUGGAGCAAACAAAGGAGCUAAAAGAUUGCAAAGUGGCCAAAGAAGAGAAGCUAGUAGGAAUCUACCAAACUGGUCGAUUGCGUGGUCGAUUGGUCAGGACCAGAGCUACGGAGGAAUAUGAAUCUACCAAAGUGGUCGAUUUCGUGGUCUACUGGUCAAGGAUUAAUGUUGCGGACGAUAUUGAAUCUACCAAGUGAUCUAUUGCUUGGUCGAUUUCCUUCCUUAACCGGAUCAAAACCCGGUUUGUUCCGGGUUGAUCCGGUUUAUUUUCUCAUUACUAUAAAUACUCUUAACCUAGUUUUAGAGAGAGGGAGCUUUUGUUUAGGGAUAAAAACUUCUCUUGAAGGUUCUUUAUCUAAGGUUUUUGUAUGAAUGUUGAGUUCUUAAGUUUCUAUAUCAAGUAUUUCUUUUAAAUUUCUCAUCUAUUCUCUAAUGAUUAUGGCUUUACAAAGAUCAAACCAAUUCCUUUGUAUGAUCAUGAUCAUGAGUGAGUAGUCUCCUAGAGUUCUUUGGUUAGGGUAGAUUAGGAUGGUUUAGAUGUUGGGUUAUGGAGUUUAGGGCUAGAUUACUUAAGAUUCUUACUUAUUGGUUGCUUUUAAGGCUAGAUCAACCUUGAUCAUGAUGAUUUAGACAUUAGGAAUUUCAUGCCCGGAAGGUGUUCGAUGAAAUUCCCAAACCAAAAUCUUUAAGUGCUUUUCAUACCUUACCUUUGGAAAUUGUUGAUUAGGGUGAUUAGUGGCUAGAUAGACUUGUUAUUUAUGCUUAUUGAUCAUUUGAUUGCCUUUGGAAAUUGUUGAUGAUUGAUUGAUUAGUAAAGGGAUUAAUAUCAUGGAAAUGUAUUAGUCUUGUUUAGUGUUCUAUGGCCUAAGGAUCAUUGCUUGUUAGAAGUUGUUUGUUGCUCCAUAAUCCAUCUCUUUAUCAUUUCUAAUCGAUUACCUUAACCCGAGAAUUCGUCUUUAGUUUUCGCUUAGUAAUUUGUUAAUUUCCCGCUUUGUUUACUUUCGAAACUUGUUGGUCUUUUGUUUCUUGCUUUCUCUUAUCUUGUUUUGCAUUGUUUGUUUGAUAAUGCAUUGUUACUAAGAUUUAGAAUACUCAAAAUCAUCUUGUUAGCUUAGAUUAAGCAAGUGUGUGUAUUCUUGGUGAGUUGAUUAAAUUGCAAAUUGUGGUUCGAUAAUUAAUUGAAAGAAAUGCUACAUCAGUAGGUUUCGAAGUUAACUCAUCCUGUAUUUGGGGUUUCUUAGUUUACACGUUUCCUUUGGGGCAGAUCCCUAUUUGCUCUGGUUUAUCGAAAUUAAACCGGUGAUUUUUAAGAACUGGAUGAAAUAAAACAUGAAAACUUAAAAAUUGAAUUUUUCGAUUCCUUUGCAUGUCUUGUCGAAACCUGAAAGCUUGAGUAUUUUCUUUAUAUUUUUCGUUUGAGAGCCAAAAACACAAGCAAUUAAGCAAAUCCCAACUCUCUUUUUCAUUGAAAUCCCGAAACAAUUAGGUCGUGGAUUAAGCUUUUGUAACAAGGUAGGUUUGGAGGUUUACUCAUUAUAUUUUUUUAGGGUUCCAUAAGAUUCCUAUUUGCGUUGUGAGCUCUAAUUUUCCCUGUAUUGAAGUUAGAAGUUCCUGUUCUCAGUUUACCAGUUUAUACUCUCUUUGUUUCGUGCAGAGCAGAUGGAUCACUUAAGCAAUUUACCAGACGAGCUUCUUUGCCAUAUUAUGUCCUUCCUUACCACCAAGGAGGCUGCUUUGAUAUCGGUUCUCUCCAAAAGGUGGCGCAAUUUGAUUGCAUUUGUCCCUAAUCUUGAUAUUUUUGACUGUGAUAUUCUGCAUUGGGAGGUGCGUAAAGAGGAAAGGGACGAUAUUCGACAGCUCUUCAUGGAUUUUGUGGAUAGAGUUUUGGCAUUGCAAGGUAACUCUCCCUUAAAGAAAUUCUCCCUCUGUUGUGGCGGCGGUUCUUAUUCGGAUAGAGUGGAUUGUUGGAUACAGAAUGUGAUGGUGCGUGGUGUUUCGGAGCUUGAUCUAUCAAUGAUUUUUGAUACCUCUUAUCAUAUGUAUCCACAAGUUUUCGAGAACAAGAAACUAGUUAAGCUCCAUUAUCUGGAUUUGAUAUUCGUUGCUUGGAUGGGAGCAUUUUCUUACCAAUGCUUAAAACUCUCCUUCUUGAAUCAGUUUUGUUAUCUGUUGAGAAUUUUGAGAUUUUUCUUCGUGCUUUGCCUGCGCUUGAGGAAUUAGUCAUGAAUCAUAUAUACUGGAAAGAAUUGGAUGUGAAUGUGCAUGUAUCUGUAUCAAGUGCAAGCCUCAAGACCCUAACAAUAAAAUGCAUCGUUUGUUUACAUACUAAGUCAUUUGAUACACCUAGUCUUGCUUACUUAUCUUACUCUGAUUAUGCCAUGGGAGAUUAUCCCGUAGCUAAAAUGGAAAACUUGUUUGAGGCUCGAAUCAGCCUUUUUGUACCUGAAGACGAUAUCAGCCGAGUAAGAGCGCCAAACAAUGAUUUGUUAGAGGAUGAUGAGUACAAUCAUGCAUGUUCUCCGAUAUGAAAAUGUGGGGAAGCUUAUGAAUAGCAUUCGAAAUGUUCGGUAUCUCUAUUUCUCUCGUGAUACUCUUGAGGUUAGUGUUUUUGUUCUUUUCUCUAUUAGCUGGUCUUGGUAAAAUAAAUGAAAGAUAACCAGCACUUCGUCUCAAUUUAUGGAGCAUGGCAGUCAUGUUUGUUCAAGUCCUAUUUUUAACAAAUAAGCAAAAGUCUAAUUAUGGUUUGUCUUGUUAUCAGGUGCUUUCUCUAUGCUGUGAAUCGAUGCCAGUGUUCAAAAACCUCAAAUCUUUAUCUAUCAAGAGUGUUGAGAGUCGAGGAUGGCAAGCAAUGCCAGUUCUUCUAAGGAACUGUCCACAUUUAGAAACUCUAGUCCUUGAGGUAUAGAAAUAACUAAUUUACCAAACAUGUACAAAGAUAGAGUUCACACAUUGAAACCUUAAAUGUCUCCUUUAUGCCUUCAGGCUCUCUUGCACCAUGUAACUGAUAAAUGCGGGGAUGCUUGUGCCUGCGUCUCUCGGGAGGAGAAAGGUCGUUCGCUCAAAUCUUGUCCAGUAAAAGUGUUAGAGAUUAAAGAGUUUCAAGGAACAAUGAAAGAGAUGCACAUGAUAAAACAUUUCCUGGACUAUCUUCCGUGUUUGAAGGAGAUGAAAAUCUCCUAUAUGAAAAAGAAUGAUCAUACUACACAGUUCAGAGUCAUCCCUCAAGUUAUUGCAGAGAUGGUGGAACACUACAACAAGUUAUCUAAUUGCAAUGUCCAGCUUGUAGUGAGUGGUUAAUUUUAUAAAAAGUUGACAGCACAUUGAUUCAGCCAUUUAUGAUCUCGCUUGUGGUAUAAUCUUUCACUUCCCUAGCAUUUUGCUUUGAGUUCUCUUUACGUUUUAGAUUUUGUGGACGAAUCGUUAAGAGUGAAUUAUUUUAGAGCAGAACACCGAUGUUUAAUAUUUUUUUCCUUGGACAUAGUGCUCAAUUGUUUUGUUUUAUCGCAAAAUCACGGAUGCAAUACAUACAUGUUUGACACUAAGCGAUGUGAUAUACUUCUAAGAACUCAAAACUCAAGCAUUCCCGGUUUACCAAAAUUAAACCUGUAAAAGAACCGGAUAAAAUUGAACCAGACUCCAAUUUUGUUCAACUCUUAAAAUUGGAUGCCUUUUCGUUGUCGAACUCGAACCUGAAAGCUUGGGUCUCUCUUUUCACUGAAAUCCUAAUGAUCCUGCAAAGCUCAGUGUCACUGAUGUUUCUGAAGUUAUCACGGGGGUCGGGGGACAUGAUGGAACACUACGAAAAGUCAUCGACUUGCCAUGUCCAGCUCCUAGUGGAUGCUUACUUGUAUAAGAAGUGGACUGCACAAUGAAGUCUCUAAAGAGCAAAAGUCGCUCUCCUUGAAACUUGACUCAGUUUGGUUUUCUAGUGGUGAGUUUCAGAUGCUAUUUUUUGGUUUCCCUGCCCUUCCGGAAUUAGACAUAGCAGAGGUAUACUUCCGUCUAAAAUGAAGAAAGCAUUUCUCUGGACCUUUUCUUGUGUUUGUAGGAGAGCAGGGAUAUACAUAUAUAUACCAAAGAGAAUGAUUUUAUAGACUUCAAAGUCUCUGGAAUGUUUAAACUCGUCGCAACAAGUUUCAUAGUUUUGAUAUUUAAAAAGUGUAUGGAUUAGUGCACACUGAUGAGUCUCUCAUAGUCUAUUCUUUGGUUAACUUUGCUUUCGUUCUCUGAGUUUCUUUUUUACUUUAAGCAAUACUUCUACAUUUGGGCCUAAAUCUGUUUAAGCAAUGUAGCCCAAAGAUCAACCCGUUCCGGUUUAUCGAAACUACACCGGCGAUUUUAAAGAACAAAACCCUCAAUUUCCAUAUAUUUAUUUAAUUGGUUUUUACCUCUCUUUUUUGGCAAGUUUCUAUUACUUUUGGUAAUCAAAAUGUAAAUCCAAAACUAUCUUCAUUUAUAUAAUAGUAACAUUUUAUCAAAAAAAAAAAAAAAACUCACGUCUUCCUCUUAAAAAUUGGAUGCUUCUCUGAUGCCUUUGCAUGUCUAUGUCGAACCUGAAAGCUUGGGUAUUUGCUUCAUAUCUCCUCCUUUUUAAAGAACCGGAUGAAAUAAAACCCUAAAUUAAGAAAAUCCCAACUCUCUUUUUCACUAAAAUCCCUACAAAAUAGGUCUUGGAUAAAACUUUUGUAGCAAGGUAGGUUUCGAGGUUUACUCAUUAAUUAUGUUUUGGGGGUUCUUAGUCCAUAAGAUUUGUAUUUGUGUUGUUAGCUCUAACUUUCCCUCUAUGAAAGUUCAUGUUCGAAUCCAUAAGAUUCCUACUUUACCAGUUUAACGUGUUUCUUUGCACUUGCUUGGAUUUUACAUGAAUAACCUUUCUUGUUUGGUAAGAUUCCUCUUCGUUUCGUGCAGAGAAAAUGGAUCUAUUAAGCAAUCUACCAUACGAGCUUCUUUGCCAUAUAUUGUCCUUCCUUACAACAAAAGAGGCUGCUUUGACAUCGGUUCUGUCAAAGAGGUGGCGCAAUCUAAUUGCAUUUGUCCCUAAUGUUGAUAUUGUGGACCAUGAUAUUCGAGAGCUUUUCAUGGAUUUUGUUGAUAGAGUAUUGGCAUUGCAGGGUAACUCUCCCAUUAACAAAUUUUCCCUCGAUUGUUCCGGUGUUGAUUCGGAUAGAGUGGAUUGUUGGAUACAGAAUGUGAUGGUGCGUGGUGUUUCCGAGCUUAAUUUAUCAAUCUUUGUGGAUUCGGUUUUCGAAGAUGACUAUAAUCUCUUUCCAAAAGUGUUUGAGAACAAAAAACUAGUUAAGCUCGGAUUAAGUUAUAUUUCUUGGUUGGAUGGGAGCAUUUUCUUACCAAUGCUUAAAACACUCGUUCUUGAAUCAGUUUUGUUAUCUGUUGAGAAGUUUGAGAUUCUUCUUCAUGCUUUGCCUGCGCUUGAGGAAUUAGUCAUGAAUAAUAUAUACUGGAAAGAGCGGGAUGUUGUCGAUUUGAUUGUUUCAAGUGAAAGCCUCAAGACCCUAACAAUAAACUUCAUCGUUUGUACACAUACUUUGUCAUUUGAUACACCUAUUCUUGCUUACCUAUCUUACUCUGGUUAUGUCGUGGACGAUUAUGCCGAAGCUAAAAUGGAAAACUUGUUUGAGGCUCGAAUCAGCCUUCUUGUAGUUGAAGGCGAUAUCAGCCGAGUAAGAGCGCUAAUAAACAAUGAUUUGUUAGAGGAUGAUGAGUACGAUGUUCUCCAAUUUGAAAAUGUGUGGAAGCUAAUGAAUGGUAUUCGAAAUAUUCGGUGUCUCUAUUUGUCUCCUAAUACUCUUGAGGUUAGUUUUUUUUGUUCUUUUCUCUAUUUAGCUGGUCUUGGUAAAAUAAAUGAAAGAUAACCAGUACUUCGUCUCAAUUUACGGAGCAUGGCAGUCAUGUUUCUUCGGUCCCAUUUUUAACAAAUAUAAUAAGCAAAGGUCUAAUUAUGGUUUCUCUUGUUAUGAGGUGCUUUCUCUAUGCUGUGAAUCGAUGCCAGUGUUCAAAAACCUCAAAUCUUUGUCUAUCAAGAGUGCCGAGAAUCGAGGAUGGCAAGCAAUGCCAGUUCUUCUAAGGAACUGUCCGCAUUUAGAAACUCUAGUCCUUGAGGUACGUAUAACACAAUUCAUUAAUUUGCCAAACAUGUACAAAAUAUCAUACUUUGAAUUUCUCAUUGUCACUUUUAUGCUUUCAGGGUCUAUUGCACCAUGUAACAGAUAAAUGUGGGGAUGCUUGUGACUGUGUUUCCCGAGAAGACAAAGGUCGUUCACUCACAUCGUGUCCAGUAAAAGUGUUGGAGAUUAAAGGGUUCCAAGGAACAACCAAAGAGAUGAACAUGAUAAAACAUUUCUUGGAAUAUUUUCCGUGUUUGAAAGAGCUAAAAAUGUAUAUGGAAGAGAAUGAUCCUGCACAGCUCAGAGUCCCUGAAGUUAUCACGGGGGAGAUGAUGGAACGCUACAAAAAGUCAUCAAGUUGCAAUGUCCAGCUCCUAGUAGGUGGUAAGUUGUAUAAGAAGUGGACUCCAUGAUGAAGCCUCUAAAGAAGAAAAGUUUUGGAAUUUGAUUUUGGUUUAAAUUGGCUUGAAAAACUGUUUCAAACCAAGACAAUCGGAAAGCCGUGGGUAAAGGGGAUUCUCCCAUUAAGAAAUGGGUAAAGGGGAUAGGGAUAGGGAUUCUUGCUUUUGUCCCUAAUCUUGAUAUCGAUGACAAUACUUUUCUGCAUCCGGAAAUGGGUAAAGGGGAUAGGGAAGAUAUUCGAGAGCUCUUCAUGGAUUUUGUUGAUAGAGUAUUGGCAUUGCAGGGUGAUUCUCCCAUUAAGAAAGUCUCCAUCAACUGUGUCGGUGUUGAUUCAGUUAGAGUGGAUGCUUGGAUACGUAAUGUGAUGUUACGUGGUGUUUCAGAGCUUGUUCUUUUAAUCGUUUUGGAUGUCCAGUCGAUUGGUAAGAAGUUUUGGGUGCCUCCAAAAUGUUUCGAGAGCAAGAAACUAGUUAAGCUAGAGAUAGGUUAUGGAGUUGAUAUUGGUUGGUUAGAUGGAAGCUUUUUCUUACUGAUGCUUAAAACUCUUGUUCUUAGGUUAGUUCAGUUAUCUGCUGAUAAGUUUAAGAUUCUUCUUCAUGAUUUGCCUGCGCUUGAGGAAUUAGCCAUGGGUUAUGUAACCUGGAGUGAAGAUGAUGCUGUUGUGUCAGAUGCAAGUCUAAAAGAGACUAACAAUAACUUCCAACCAUUAUGUCUGCUAUUCUUAUUAUUAUUUAGACACUUUUUCGGUUGAUACGCCGAGUCUCACUUACUUCUCUUACUCUGACUUGUUGCUAAAGACUACCCUGUAAUUAAGAUGGAAAACUAAUACACUUCUCUUACUUCACUUACUUCGGAAUUUGAUUUUUGUGUAAUUGGUGUAUAUAUAUAUCUAUAAACCAAUAAACCCCUCCUAAAUAUUCUGAAAUUCUUAGUUAUAUUAAUCAAAAUAAUACCUUUUUUUGCAAAAUUUAACCAAUUUUUUAAGUUUUUUAUUUUAUUUUCCAAAACCGAUCCAAAUCCAACACUUAUCAAUAGUCUUAAAGCUGUCCCGGAUUAUACAUGUUUGACCUCGUCACGGGGCUAAUGUUGUGAUGUCCAAUUCAUGAUCUGCGAUUCUUUGCGCGAUCAAAUCUUUAACGUGAAAAAGCUUGCUCUAUGUUUUUACCAAAGUCCUGCCCUUCAACGUGAAAAAGUUUGCUUUCUUCUGCAGCCUAACUCAAGCUGUCCCGGUUUACCGAAAUUAAACCAGUGAUUUUUAAGAACCGGAUUAAAUAAAACCCUAAUUUUGUUUUCUUAAAAUUUGGAUGUUUCGGCUUCUCCGAUGCCUUUUUCUUCAUAAAAUCAAAGAAACCAGCGAUAAAGCAACUCCCAAAUCUCUCUUUUCUUGAAAUCUCCAAUAUUUGUUUCUUGGUAAGUAUCGAAGUUUACUCAAUUCGCUUUUUAAGGUUUCGUAGUUCACAAGCUUCCUUUCGGAUGUAUUCCUAGUUGCGUUGUUAACUUAGCGUUUCUCUCUUUUAGGGUUUACCAGUUAUAAUUAAUUGCUUCCUUCUACAUGCUCGAAUUUUUACAUGAAUCUAAAGACCAAACCUUUCUCUGUUUGUAGUUGAACUGUUUGGUAAUAUACGAAGCUUUUCUAGAGAAAAUGGAUCUCUUAAGCAAUCUACCAGACGAGCUUCUUUGUCAUAUAUUGUCCUUCUUUACCACAAAGGAGGCUGCUUUGACUUCUGUUCUCUCAAAGAGGUGGCGACAUCUGUUUGCACUUGUCCCUAAUCUUGACAUUGAUGACUCUAUGUUUCUAUACCCUGAAGAGGGUAAGCGUGAUAGGAACGAAAUUCAACAGAGCUUCGUUGAAUUUGUCGAUAGAUUAUUGUUAUUGCAGGGUAAAUCUCCCACUAGAAAAGUCUCCCUCAAGUGUAUAAGUAUGUCUGAUCCAGACCGCCUAGAUGAUUGGAUAAGUAAUGUGUUGGCUCGUGGUGUUUCCGAACUUGAUCUGUCAAUCGAUUUGUGUAUGGAUGAAUACAUUCUCUUGUCUUCAAAACGUUUCGAGAGCAAGAAUCUAGUUAGGUUGAAAUUACACCGUAUUUGUAUUGGCCAACCGGAAAACCCUAUUGGUUGGUUGGCUGGGGGAAUAUUAUUACCAAUGCUUAAAACUGUCCUACUUGAGUCAGUUGGGUUUUAUGUUGAUGAGGUUUUUCUUAGAGCUUUGCCUGUUCUUGAGGAAUUAGUCAUGGUUGAUGUAUUCUGUUCUGGAGCGUUAAGGAUGUCAUCGUGUCAAAUGCAAGCCUCAAGACCCUAACAAUGAGUUCCAACCAUUAUACGGGAACUAUGUCAUUCGAUACACCUAGUCUAGUUUACUUUUGUUACUCUGACUAUGUUGCUAAAGACUACCCCUUAGUUAACAUGGAAAACUUACUUGAGGCUAGAAUCAAACUUUUGUUAACUGACGAUCAAGUCGAAAGAGCAAGAGAGCCAAAUAACGAUGGCGUGGAGGCUGAUGAGGACGAUGUUGUUCUACAAUUUGCAAAUGUGGGGAAGCUCAUGAAUGGCAUACGAAAUGUUCAGUAUCUAGUGUUUUCUGCUAAUACUCUCGAGGUCAGUUUUCUCUUCUUCUUUUCUUGAAACAUCUAUGGCAAAAUGUCUAAUUGACGUGUGUCUUGUGUUCAGGUGCUUUCUCUAUGCUUUGAAUCAAUGCCAGUGUUCAACAACCUAAAAUCGUUAACUAUUGAGGGUAAAAAGAGGCGAGGAUGGCAAGCACUGCCAGUUCUUCUAAGCAACUGUCCAUAUUUAGAAACUCUAGUCCUUGAGGUAUAAAAAAAUAACUAAUUUGCCAAAACAUGAACCAAGAUAGCUUUCAUAUAUACUUUGAAUUGAAUCUCUUAUUGUGUCCUUUAUGGUAUCACUCUUUCAGGGUCUCUUGCACUAUGUCACAGAUAAAUGCGGGGAUGCUUGUGGCUGCAUUUCUCGAGAGGAUAAGGGUCGUUCACUCACAUCUUGCCCAGUAAAAGUUAUAGAGAUUAAAGGGUUUCAAGGAAAAAAGAAAGAGAUGCACAUGAUAAAGCAUUUCUUGGUUUAUUUUCCGUGUUUGAAAGAGAUAAAAAUCUAUAUUGAAGAGAAUGCACUUGAAGUGUCUAAAGUUAUCGCAAAGAGGAUAAAUCGCUACAACAAGGUAUCGAAUUGCAACGUGCAGCUCCUGGUAAGUGGUUGCUUGUAUAAGGAGUGGAGUGCACAAUGAAGUCUUGGAAGAACGAAAGUUGUUUUGGUUUGAUUUCAUUUAAUUGGCUUGAAAACAUUUUUUACCCUAAACCAAACCAAUCGCAAAACUGUUGUUCUUUCUUCUCUUGCAUUCUUGUUGAACUCAUACAAAGCACCAGUGCACCACUAUCACGCAAAGGUUAGCUCUCACAUCUCUCACUCUCAUAUGCUCUGUUUCUCUUUCUCUGUUUUAACAGAAGCAUAUAGUUACUCUCUCUAAUCUCUGCCUCUUUUGUCUAACAUUUUAACAAAUACAUAAACGUUUUCAAAGAGAAGAGAAACAUUGAAUGUCUACAUGUUGGUAAAACUUGGAUACACUCUUACAAGACACACUCACACAUACUUAUACUACUUGUACUUGGCACACUUACACAUACAAACAUGCCUUAAUCACAUAAUUAACUCUAGACUCUACUACCUUGAAACUCUAACCACAACACUUGCACACUGCUUUACUUUAAUUAAACUUCAACCUCAAGCUAACCCAAAAAACACACUUUACUCUUGUUUGGGCCUUAACGAAAGCUGCAGCCACACAAGCCCAACAUAUCUUUAUGUUGACUUAGCUUCUUCUCCUUUGGCUCGAUUUCGUCUUCUUUCUUCAUCGUCUUUCUCUUUUACAGGUUUAAUCAAAGGCUCAAAUCUUCUUUCGUGCAGAGAAGAUGGAUCAUGUUAGCAGUCUACCAGACGGUGUUCUUUGUCAUAUAUUGUCCUUCCUCACCACAAAGGAAGCUACGUUGACUUCCAUUCUCUCCAAGAGAUGGCGCAAUCUGUUUGCGUUUGUCCCUAAUCUCGAUAUUGAUGACUCUAUCUUUCUCCAUAAUGAAGAUUUUAAGGAGGAUAGGUACGACAUUUAUCACUUAUCAGAGCUUCAUCGAUUUUGUUGAUAGAGUAUUGGCAAUGCAGGGUGAUUCUCCCAUUAAGAAACUCUCCCUCAAGUUUAGAACUGGCUUUGACUCACACCGAGCAGAUGGUUGGAUAAGUAACACGUUGGUUCGUGGUGUUUCCGAACUUGAUGUGCUAAUCAGUUUGCAUGGAACAGAUUACCAUUUUCUGUCUCCAAAAUGUUUCAAGACCAAGAAUCUGGUUACUCUGAAAUUAAACAGUCUUGCUAUUGACUGGGACAUAUUCUUACCAAUGCUUAAAACUCUCCUUCUUCACUCUGUUACGUUAUGUGUUGAUAAGAUGUUUUCUUAGUGCUUUGCCUGCGCUUGAGGAAUUAGUCUUGUUUGUUGUGCCCUGGGGAGGUAAGUCUAACGAUUUCCUCUUAAAACAUUCGAUGUUUCAGCUUCUCCGAUGUCUUUGCCUGUCUUCUCCAACCUGAAACCUUUGUAUCCUUUCUUCGAAUCUUCGCUAGUAGCUCCCUAGGAACAAGGUAGGUGUCGAACUUUACUAAAUUCUCCUUUAUUUGAGAUUUCUUAGUUCAGAAGUUUCCUUUUGGCUAUUUACGUUGUUAACUAAUUAGGGUUUCUCUCUGUUUUACCAACUCAUCUUCGCGUCAAUUUAAUAAUCAAAACUUUCUCUAAAAGGAUUUCAGAGUCUAAAGAGAUUCGUGUUAUUCAUCACAAUGAGCAACAUACAACAUAUAUAGAGUAGAUGUACAACCGAAAGCGUAAAUCUAGGGAAAUCUAUCUAGUUCAGAAGAUCUAGUUACACAGAAUAUAUGAAUCUGUUAGAGUAUAUUCGUAGAUGAUUAUGCCAAGAAUAACUGAAGAUAACCGAGCCAAAACAAACCCCUAAUAUUCUCUGUUUGUAUCGCUGAUUUCUCACAAGAGCUUGUCUUCUUUCGUGUAGAGAAGAUGGAUCUCUUAAGAAAUAUACCAGACGAGCUUAUUUGCCAUAUAUUGUCCUUCCUUACAACAAAGGAGGCUGCUUUGACAUCGGUUCUCUCCAAGAGGUGGCGCAAUCUGCUUGCUUUUGUCUCUAAUCUUCACAUUGAUGACUCUAUCUUUCUGCAUCCCGAAGAGGGUAAGCGUGACAGGAACGAAAUUCGACAGAGCUUCCUAGAUUUUGUGGGUAGAAUAUUGGCAUUGCAAGGUAAUUGUCCGGUUAAGAAAGUCUCCAUCAAGUUUCUAUUUAAGCUUGAUUCAGACCGAGUUGAUGGUUGGAUAAGUAAUGUGUUGGCACGUGGUGUUUCCGAACUUGAUCUGUCAAUCGAUUUGUGUAUGGAUGAAUACUUUCUGUUGUCUUCAAAACGUUUCGAGAGCAAGAAUCUAGUUAGGUUGAAAUUACACAGACUUUGUAUUGGCCAACGGGAAAAAACUGUUGGUUGGUUGGCUGGGGAGAUUUUCUUACCAAUGCUUAAAACUCUCGAACUUGAUUAUGUUGGGUUUUAUGGUGAUUUGUUGUUUCUUAGAGCUUUACCUGCGCUAGAGGAAUUAGUCAUUGUUGAUGCAUUCUGGUUCACGACCUUUACGGAUGUCACCGUGUCAAAUCCAAGCCUCAAGACCCUAACAAUGAGUUCCAAUAUUUAUUCAGGCAGUAUUUCAUUUGAUACACCUAGUCUUGUUUACUUUAGUCACUUUAAGUAUGUUGCUAAAGACUACCCCUUAGUUAACAUGGAAAACUUACUUGAGGCUAGGAUCAACCUUGGGGUAACUGAGGGUCAAAUCAGACGAGCAAGAGAGCCAAAUAACAAUGACGAGGUUGUUCUCCGGUUUCCAAAUGUGGGGAAGCUCAUGAAUGGCAUACGAAAUGUUCAGUGUCUAGACUUGUCUGCCAAUACUCUUGAGGUCAGUUUUUCUUUUUUCUUUUCUCUCGAGGUGAUAAAAUAGAGAAAUCCACGACGGUUAUGUUUAUUUAGUCCCAUUUUAACGAACUAGCGAGAGUCUUGUUUAGAGACAUGUAAUGGCAAAAUAUCUAAUUGUGGGUUGUCUUAUUAUCAGAUGCUUUCUCUAAGCUGUGAAUCAAUGCCAGUGUUCAAAAACCUCAAAUCUUUAUCUAUCAAGAGUGCCGAGAAUCGAGGAUGGCAAGCAAUGCCAGUUCUUCUGAGGAACUGUCCACAUCUAGAAACUCUAGUCCUUGAGGUAUAGAAAUAACUCAUUUAUCAAACAUGUACAAAGAUAUAGUUCAUACUUUGAUUUGAAUCUCUUAUUCAUGUCUUCUUUAUGCUCUCAGGGUCUCUUGCACUUUGUCACAGAUAAAUGCGGGGAUGCUUGUGACUGCGUUUCUCGAGAGGAAAAAGGUCGUUCGCUCACAUCUUGUCCAGUAAAAACGUUAGAGAUUAAAGAGUUUCAUGGAACAAUGGAAGAGAUGUACAUGAUAACGCAUUUCUUGGACUAUUUUCCGUGUUUGAAGGAGCUAAAGAUCUAUAUUGAAGGGAAUGAUCAUGCACAGCGCGAAGUGUCUGAAGUUAUCGCGGAGAAGAUAAAACUCUACAACAAAUCAUCGAGUAGCAAUGUCCAGCUUAUGGUUAGUGGUUACCAUGAAUAAGAAUACGACUGCACUGCACAAUGAAGCCUCUGAAGAACAAAACUAAAGCAUAGGUUUUUACUACCAUGAGAAAUAAGCCUAUUAUUGGUCCCGUGAAAUCUAGCAGGUAGAACAGAAUAAUAGAAAACAACGCAAUCCCAAACAAUGCAUUCGAAAGCAGUCUGUUACCAUUUUUUCUCCUUCAACUCAAUUAUGUUUAUAAGCCAACAAGAUUUCACGCGUUAUUUAACUCAGGCCAUAAACUGAUGUUUAACAUUUGUAUGAAUGCUAUACAUCAUGAACAUCGAACAUAGAAGACUUUCCUUUGUUUCUAUAUUCAUAUAUAUAUAGACUGUAGUAAAUAUUUCCCAAGUAAAGCACGAGACAAUUUUAUUAAGAUAUAGUAAUUGAGUUUCACAAGUAAUUAGCUUAAGACCUUGAAUGUUUGUAAAUUUCUACAAUGGUUUUUUUUUUUUAUCAUUCAAGAUAAAGUAAUGGGAAUCUAGCUAGAUUUUUAAAGUUUCUACAAAUUAUCAAACAAAAGACCAGAAACCAAUUCUAUUAUUCAAAUUAGAUUCGUUUUUCGAGUUGAUAAAUUUAGGUUCGGUUCACACCUCAACAAGGAGCAAAUUUUGGCCUUUUCGGAACUUCCUAUGUAGUGUAAACCUUGAAGAAAAGUCAAUCAGAAGUUUUACGUAACGCAUGCAUAUAUGUCCUCGUACUCAAAAGAAAAGCAUACACAAGAUACAUUGCAUUUACACAAACGAAACGCUCGAGCACCAUUAAUUAAUGAUGGAUUUACACUCGACAACUUUCAUUAUAUAACCAAGACUUCACGUUAUAAUCCUCUUUUCAUCUAAAACUUUUUGUGUUAUUACGAAUCUUGUUCUUUUGAAUAUUGUGUUCGAUUCUUUCCUCAAAUUUAUUGUUUCCCCUUUUUUGUGUUCGAUUCGUUGCUCUUACCAUUAUAGUUUUUGGAGCUCUUUUGACUUAAAAAAGAAAGAAAGAGAGAAAGCAAUCAAAGCCGUUGGAGACUCAUACCUGUACCCAUAACAACAAUACACGUUUUAUAAAUGGGAGAUAUUAAGUCUGACCAUAUUAUUCCAAGUUAUAAAACAUGUUGAUGUAAAAAAUGUGUGAAUGCACGUGGAUUCUAUGAAGAGAGCUCGUGUAAGCGCGGUGUAUGAAGGUAAAGAGAGAAAUAGAUCAAGCAACGGAGAGGAAACUCGAAGGGAACAGUCUAAACACGCGAGAAUGACGGCAAAAGCUCGGAUGAACGUUUACAAAGAGAGCAUGAAACCUCUGCCGCCUAAACGUAAGAAAUCGUUGAUGAUCAUAAGUUUGAUGAGAAAGAAGGAAGAUACGCAAGAUGAUCAAAAUAAUGUUACUGUUGUCGAAAAGGAAAAGGAGGAGAAAGAGAAAGGCACGGUGCAGAACAUCAGGGAAAAUGCGGAAAUGCUCUCAUCAAAAUGUGUUGAGGAGUGGCCGCACAUGUUAACAUAUGAAGAGGAAUGGACGUGGUUUGCGUUUGCGUUUGGGUGGGGAUGGUGGCAGCGUUAUGACGCGGUGAUGAGCGGUAAGAGUUGGUUUAACUAAAUAUUAAAGAUUAAGGUGUUUGUUACAAAUCAUUUUGGGUUGGUGAAACUAUAUACAUAGAUGAUAGUUGAUACUUGAUAGGAUUUCUUAAGAUAAAAGAAGAUAUUGAGAAAUCAGUGUAUGUAUAUCGACCGAAACGAAAAUAUAUCUUUAAAGGGUUCACUUUCGUUUAUGUUUAUAUACAGAGAUUUCUCAUAAUAGAUUUUCAGUAUUUUUUUUUGUUUUAUUUGGUGUUUCAAUAUUUCGAACAAAAUCCAAAAGCGUAUAUACAGACUUAGACGCUGGUGAAACAUGCAUGACUUGCAUUAUUAGAGCAUCCACAACGGUGGGAUCCAAAAAUCAAGAUUAUAGUUUGUUUUUUUCUAUUCCGCAAGAUUCAAACUAAUUGGAUUUUCGGUAGAUCUACCAACACAUAAACUACCUAUAUUGGGUUAACCAUUUUAGAAUCAAUUUUAGGAGAUAAACCCUAAUUUAAAUACAUUUUAGUUAAUAUUAAAGUUUAAACUACACGCAUGUAAGUCUACACAAAUUAUAUAAAAAACACUUCAAAGAACUUUCCGUUCACACAUUUGAUGAUUUCUUGUAGUUUCAUUAAGUCAAUGAACACACAAGUUUCAAAUUGAUAUUUCAGGUCAUUAAGACAAUGUUGACACACAAGUUUCAGAUUGAUAUGUGAGAUCAUUAAGAAAAGGGUCUUAAUCAUAAAUUUAAAAGUGGACUCUUAUCCGCAAGCCUAUCUUAUGUAUAUGGCACUGGCACCGUCCACAAAUGUGUCUAUCAUCCUUUCAAGUGGACCAUCCUUUUCCUUUAAGGUAAUAACUCUGUGUGACUGAGAUCUACAAACACAUGUUACACACUUCACAGUCCUUAUAAAGUAAAUUUACUUAUUAUUAAGAAAAUAAGAUUUUGUAACUUUUUUCCUCUUAAAACAAUGGACAAAUAUGAAUACAAAUCCAUAUGUCACUAUUAUCUAUAUUUACACAAUUUAUUCGAUUUUUUGUAUGUUGUCUUAUCUCAUCGGAAAUUUUCAAACUAGUUAACCAUCGGAAAAAAUCAAGACGCACGGAUAUAUAAAUUACAUAUUCAUAAAUCAGACAUUUGACAAUCCGAUAGAAAUUGUCUCAUAAAGAGAAAAAGAACACAGACAAUAGGAAAUGAAAUGAGCAGAGAUAAUUCAUAAGAAUGUUUUAGAAAAGAAAUUAAGCUUCGGUGAAGCUUGGGGGCUUGUAGGCAAUGAAACUGAUGCAUUGGACUUGACGGGUGUUGUCGAAUCCGAUGAUCCUAAUGAAGGCGCCCGGGUACUCCUUCUUGCAUUCUUCAACUUCCUUCAACACUUGAGCGGAGUCGGUGCAUCCGAACAAUGGAAGCUUCCACAUUGUCCAGUACCGUCCAUCGUAGUAUCCGGGAGUGUUUCCGUGCUCACGGUACACAAAUCCGUGCUAUAAACACAUAAGAAAACCAUUCAAUACAAUUGAUAUUGGAGGAUAUGCACAAGGUGAUAUAGUCUAUUUCGGUUCUACAAAAUCCGGUUAUAGGCUAAUAUUUCUAGCAAUGAAAACGAAUAAAUAAUAAUGAUUAGUAGACAAAAGAAAACUUUUGUGUUUAUUACCUCUAACUCGAAUUCAACACAAGGAAUCCACUUGUUGCGGAGAAGGUAGUCAACUUCCUUAGCCAAUUCGACGUCACUAAGGUCAGGGAGGUAAGAUAGAGUCUCAAACUUCUUCUUUCCAAUUGGUGGCCACACCUAUAAUCCCCAAAUCCAAUUCCAAAUUAAUAUAUCCUAUGUUUUGUUUUAUUGCACAUGACAAAAGACAGUUUUUAUUGAUGAUAUUACCUUCAUGCAGCUAACUCUUCCCCCGUUGCUUGCGAUGGAAGUGAUGUCCUUGUUGGUCUUGCGGGUGACCGGGAAUGCAGCGGAUGACUUCAAGCCGGUGAAUGGAGCGACCAUGGUGGCCUGAGCCGGGGAUGUAACCACAGCGGCGGAGGAGAGCAUAGAGGAAGCCAUUACUACUUCUUGUUGUUUCUCUUCUUCUUUUGCUCGUUUACUUACUGACUUGUUUUCCUACUGGUGUUGUCAUCUUUAUAUAAUGAGAACCCCCUAAAGGCGAAAAGCCCUCAUGAUCAAAGGGUCCAUGAUUCAUGAUAACGUCGUUUACUGCCACAGGAUUAAGGAAAGGUGUUGACACCCUUAUCGGUACGCACCACUAGGAUAAGGCCACGUGGCAGAAAACUCCAUUAUCUUAUCUUUUCUCUUGUGGGGGAAAUGAAGUGAAUGUGCGGUUACUGGUCUCCACUUGAUCGGUUGCUUUUGGCUCCUUUCGUUUGGGAGAAAAGAAACCAGACGCAUUACCUUAAAUUUAAUGCUUUUGGUCUUUUGGACCUCUUAUUUACCAUGUAUGAUUUAAUUUGGCUUAACACUUUCUUUGGAAAUAAGGUCGCAUUAAAAAAUAGUUAUAACAAAAUUAUUUAAAUUUGAUAUUUACAUAAAUAUAUUGUAUGAUAUUUAUCCGGACAAAAAAAAAAGCUUUAACCAUCUCCAAUAUUUGUUUCUAUUAUUUUCUUUCUGAAUAUAGAGGAAAAAAUAUAAUAGAGAUUUAUAUUUUAACUUCAAUGGUUCCUCAAAAAUUCGUUAGAAAAAAUAAAUAAGAGAAAAAAUAAAAAUCUCUAUUUUUUGCUUUAGAAAAAAAAUUAGAAAUUUCUAUUUUACAAAUGAAAAUAGAGAUGAGUUAGAGUUAAAUAAAUACAAAAAUAGAGUAUAUAAAUAAAAAUAGAGAUAGAUUCGAGAUGCUCUUAAAAAUAUUCAUUACUCUUUCCGUUUUAUUAAUAUCAAUUGUUAAGAUUUUUCAGGCAGACUUAUAAAUAAGAUUCCAUUUCAGACUAAUGGAAGUAAACCUAUCAAAAGAAUUCUAACGUGCUGUAGAGAGACUCCUUCGUCAUCGUCCCUUUUGUGAAAGAGUAAAUUAAAGAAUCCAUAAUGAGCAUAGUGUAAGAAGAACCAUUUAUCUAUUAGAUAUAUUCUAGUACUGGUAGACUGUCGAUUCUGGAUACAUCCUGAAAAUCAUUUACCACAAUAAAUUGUCGAUAAUCUUUUUGUUGGAAAAGUUAUAUAUUAUCUUCAAAUGAUAAUAUAUUAGUCGACAAAAGAAAAGCGAGACAAAAUUUGAAUACAUUGAUUUCGGUUAAUUCAAUACUUUCACUUCAUUUUUAGCAAAUAGUACUUUUAUUUCUGAUUUUUAUGUGGCUAGGAUAAAAGCAAAACCUUACUGGUUGGAGAGAGUAAAUAUUUGAGUCGAUACUAACAACAACUACAUCAUGCAAGAUAUGUUUGUGGGACAAAGAGACCGAGCGAACAAACGAAACGGCAAAACCAUCAUCUACAUGUAUCAAGUGCGCGGUAAACCCCUCAUGGAAGAAUUUCCAAGAAAACCUCCCAAAGUCCAUGGUAUCUUCUAUAUGAGGUAAUGCACGCUGCCUCUAGAUCAACAAGUAAUAUCAGCUCACGAUUAUCUUGCGACUCUGAUCACAUCACAAUAACAAUGGGGAACCCACAUACGCAACCGUUCUCCUUGGAGUACCAUGCCAUUGCACUUACGGCCCCCUCAAGCACAAAUAUGGCACCUCAAGCUGAUUUCCACCAUGCAAACUUGAGUAUGUAAUCAAAGGUGUAGAACGGAGUCAAGAACUCAUCUUAAAGUCACAUAAAACUAUGGUCAUGCACUCAUGGAUCACGACUACUACCUUCAGGCUCACAAAUUAAUGCCCCCUUUUCAAUCAUAUAUAUGAGAAGAAACGUGUACAAAGUACACAUUAACUGGUCACGAAAAAACUUUCGUGUAGGGAAAAGGAUCACAAGGUCCACUCCACUCCGCACCUCAGCUAAAUAAAUCAUUUUUCGAAAGUGAGAUAGUCUUAACUCUUAAGUCUUAACCCAUCCAUCUAAGUUACUAGUUUCUGUCUUUUAUAAGUCAUUUUGUUUCUUUUUCUUGGAUUUUAAUUGAAGCCAAAAUGUGUGAAUUAAAUCCGGGAGAUGGAAAAAAUGUUCGAUAAUUUGAAUUAUUAUUUUUAUAUGUAUUUUGUAUUUGAAUCAUGAAUUUUUUAUAUUUCGUUUGCAUAGAAGAAUCCAAAAACAUAUGAUUUUUUGUCAAAACAAAAACUUAAAACCAAACAUAUAGUAGAUGCGACGUUUUCAUUAUCAUUUGGAAUCUAGUUUUAUUUAGAACUUUUUGGGAACGUUAACUACUUUUCCUUCUAAAUAACUGUUUCAGCUUUUAAUGCAUAACCAAUGAUCAAAUUUAACGUAAACAAAAUUUCCAAAAUUUAGUAACUUCAUGCUUGACAAAUUUCAGUCUUUGUCGAUCCUUGCUUUAUGUAAUGCUAUUUCUUGACUUAAUAUCCCACUUAGGGGUUUGGAAUACAUGUUUUAUGUUUAUAAUUUUAAAAGAUGCAUUUGAAUUUUCUGUAUAUACUACCUUUUCCAAAUCUCCAAUGGCUAUGUCAUCUGAAAAAUGGUUACACUCCCUUACAUAAACUUUUCUCUAAAUAUCGAGGUUUGAUUGAUUGCUUUCAUGUGCAAAAUUUCUUAAAACAAUGUAGCAAGUUUUUCUUUUUUUAUUAGAGUUUAUUGGUUAGUCUAGGGAGUCAAAAGCAAGAAUUAUGAGGAUAAUUUAAAGGAGCCACAAUGUUGUUUAAAGGAGCUAAACGAAAAAUAAGAUUUCAAAGAUUUAAGGGCAAAAAUGAAAUGAAAUGAUAACUAUAAUUAUAGAGAAACUGAUAGGAAUAACAUUUUCACUUUCAAACAAUAGUUCCUCAACUGUUAAGUCGGCAAAUAAUUUCUUAAAUUUGCAUUGACCACAUAGAAAUGGGUUCCAGAAUAAUCAACGCUGAAUAUUCCAGAAAGGGGAUUAAGCUUCGGUGAAGCUUGGGGGCUUGUAGGCAAUGAAACUGAUGCAUUGGACUUGACGGGUGUUGUCGAAUCCGAUGAUCCUAAUGAAGGCGCCAGGGUACUCCUUCUUGCAUUCUUCAACUUCCUUCAACACUUGAGCGGAGUCGGUGCAUCCGAACAAUGGAAGCUUCCACAUUGUCCAGUAUCGUCCAUCAUAGUAUCCGGGAGUGUUUCCGUGCUCACGGUACACAAAUCCGUGCUAUAUAUAAAGAAAACCAUUCAAUACAAUUGAUAUAUAUAUUGGUGAUAGUCUAUUUCGGUUAUCCACUUAAGUUUCUAGCAAUGAAGAAGAAGAAUAAAGGAUGCUUAGAGACAAAGGAAAAGUUCAGUGUAUAUUACCUCCAACUCGAAUUCAACACAAGGAAUCCACUUGUUGCGGAGAAGGUAGUCAACUUCCUUAGCCAAUUCAACGUCACUAAGGUCAGGGAGGUAAGAUAGAGUCUCAAACUUCUUCUUUCCGAUUGGUGGCCACACCUAUAAAUUCGAAUUCCCAAUUAUUCUAAAGUAUUGUUCAGUUGCACUAAUUGCACAUGACAAAAGACAGUUUUCAUUAAUGACAUUUACCUUCAUGCAGCUAACUCUUCCUCCGUUGCUUGUGAUGGAAGUAAUGUCGUUGUUGGCCUUGCGGGUGACCGGGAAAGAAGCGGAUGACUUCAAGCCGGUGAAUGGAGCGACCAUGGUGGCUUGAGCCGGGGAGGUAACCACAGCGGUGGAGGAGAACAUAGAGGAAGCCAUUACUUCUUCUUGUUGUUUCUCUUCUUCUUUUGGUUUUUCUCUUACUUACUUGUUUGUCUGUUGGUUUUGUCAUCUUUAUAUAGUGGGAACCGCUAGAGGCAACUAGCCCUAAUGAUCAAAGGGGCCAUAAUUCAUGAUAACGUCGUUAAUUGCCACAGGAUUAAGGAAAGGUGUUGACACCCUUAUCGAUUUGGACCACUAGGAUAAGAUCACGUGGCAGAAAACUCCAUAAUCUUAUCUUUCUCAUGUAAGGGUAGGAGUGAAUGUGUAUGGCUACUGGUCUCCACUUGAUCGGUUGCUUUUGGCUCCUUUCAAUUGGGAGGCGUCAAAUUGUAGAUAUCGGUUAAAUACUUUUUACAUAUAGAUUAAAAAAAUGAUUAAAUUUCUAUUACCUUAUAUUAACACAUUCAUAUUUUUAUUUUUCCACUUGAUAAUCUUAAAUAAUAAGAAUAUAAGUAUAAUCUUUGAAUUCAUCCCACAUUUUAAAAGUAUAAUUAAAUCAGACAGAGUUCAUUCAAAAUGGUUUUUAAUUGGGAAAUGUAAACUAGUAUUUUGUGUUAUUAUUUUCUAUGUAGUAUGUACGAUCACUAGAACUUUUAGUCACAUAAUGGAUAUUAAAUUAGAAAACAAUCCAAAUGCUUGUGAAUUUUCAGGUUUUACGGCUAAUUAAUAUAUUUCUGAUGAACAAGAGGAACCCACGGCACCGUUCCUUUUGGAGCACAACGCAAUUGCACUUACGGCCCACUUAAGCACGAAUGUGGCACCUCAAGAUAAUUCCCACCAUGACAACUUAAGCACAAAAGCCAUGACGGAUCAUGGGGAAAUUUUAUAACACACUUCAAUGGAUGGUGUGGAUCCGAGGGAAGAAUCCACACUCUAAGGCCACAUGAAGAAGCUCAUAUGGUCAUGGGUCCACGAAUACCACGUAAAAGCUCAUAUAUGCCCCGGUCCAACCAUAUGAGAAGAAGUAGCCAAACCCAUUCAAGAAACAUUGAUUACUUUUCAUUGUAAAUAAGUGUUUUAGCUUUGAAUGUAUCGUAAACUAUCUAAUUUAAUGUAAAACAGUUUCCAAAUUAUAAAUAUUCAUGCUUUGUUAUCUCCAUUAUAAAUUUCAUUAAUUCUUGCGUGUCCUUGCUUGCUAUGAUGUCAUCUCUAAAUUUUUGGACUUGCGGCUCUAGAAUUCAUGUUUAUGGAUUUAAAAUAUACAGUUGGAUUUUUCUAUGUCAUUUUAAAAAAGAAAAUUUUUAGAUUAGAUUUUAAAAAGAGAAAUAAACGUGUUUACAACUUAAUGCAUACUUUUUUGAAAAACAAAUCUAAAACAGAGGAUUUGGUCUUAAGCUUGUCUUGUACCAAACCAAACUUGAAGACCUCCUUCAUACUUCAAAGCUCCCCCCACUCCGUAUUGUGCUCAGCCGGUUCCAAACAUUUUUGUCAAUUAACUUGACAAGUUUCUCCAUUGGUGAUGGUUGUUCACCAUGCUUUCAAGCAUUUCUUUCUCCCCAAAUCGAAUGAACCGUGUUUUGGAAGACAUACCGUAGAAUGAAGAUUUUUGUUUUGUCAUAGUUUUUGUCACAAAUGGUUUUAAAGACUUCCCUCCAAUAUGUCGAGUACUUAUCAAGUAGUAUUCCCCUUAUCAGCUUCUCCCAUACCUUCUGCGAGUAAGAGCACCCAAAAAAAAGAUGGUGUCUUGUUUCCAUAGGUUCGUGACAGAACAUGCAGUUUGUGUUCACUUGUUGAUUCCAUUUAAACAUUCUGUCUCCCGUGGCAACUCUGUUUUUUGAAGCUAGCCAACUGAGAAAGGAGUAGUUAGGGUAAAGUAAAAGAAACAGAUCCCUUUGUAUCCGUCCAUCGUAGGCUUAGUGUUGCGAAUUUUUGAGCAUGUAUCUCUUGUGACAAACUUUUGACGGUAGUGAUCAUUUUUUCCUUUCCAAAGGGCUAUGUAACUUUCAUCUUCUCUGAGACGACAUCUCUAUUUUCUACGUAUUUUUACUACCUUUACUGGCUGUUUUUCAUCUUUAAAUUAAAAUGUUCUAAAUCAACCCUCAAAAUUUGAUUGAUGGACGCAUCUUUGCUAUGCUUUCAAGUGCGAAAUGUACCUAAAAAGGGUACUCUUUCAUUAGAGAACCAAAGGCAAGAAUUAGGAGAGAAAUUUAAAGGAACUAAAAUGUUAGUUAAAAGAGAUAAAACGAAUAAAAAGAGUUAAAAGUGAUAAGAGCAGAAAUGAAGUGAUAUGAAUAGAGAUUUUUAUAGAGGAAACGAUAGAAAAACAAACCUUCAGUUUUUUCACUUUGGCAAAAUAAUUACUUAAAUUUACAUUGACCAUACAAAAUUGGGUUCCGGAUAGUCAACAUUGAAUAUUCCAGAAAAGGAUUUAAGCAUCAGUGAAGCUUGGGGGCUUGUAGGCAAUGAAACUGAUGCAUUGGACUUGACGGGUGUUGUCGAAUCCGAUGAUCCUAAUGAAGGCGCCCGGGUACUCCUUCUUGCAUUCUUCAACUUCCUUCAACACUUGAGCGGAGUCGGUGCAUCCGAACAAUGGAAGCUUCCACAUUGUCCAGUACCGUCCAUCGUAGUAUCCGGGAGUGUUUCCGUGCUCACGGUACACAAAUCCGUGCUAUAAACACAUAAGAAAACCAUUCAAUACAAUUGAUAUUGGAGGAUAUGCACAAGGUGAUAUAGUCUAUUUCGGUUCUAAAAAAUCCGGUUAUAGGCUAAUAUUUCUAGCAAUGAAAACGAAAAAAAUAAUAAUGAUUAGUAGACAAAGGAAAAGUUUUGUGUAUAUUACCUCCAACUCGAAUUCAACACAAGGAAUCCAUUUGUUGCGGAGAAGGUAGUCAACUUCCUUAGCCAAUUCGACGUCAGUAAGGUCAGGGAGGUAAGAUAGAGUCUCAAACUUCUUCUUUCCGAUUGGUGGCCACACCUAUAAUUCCCAAUUCCCAAUUAUUCUUAAGUAUUGUUCAGUUGCACUAAUUGCACAUGACAAAAGACAGUUUUCAUUAAUGACAUUACCUUCAUGCAGCUAACUCUUCCCCCAUUGCUUGUGAUGGAAGUAAUGUCGUUGUUGGCCUUGCGGGUGACCGGGAAAGAAGCGGAUGACUUCAAACCAGUGAAUGGAGCGACCAUGGUGGCUUGAGCCGGGGAGGUAACCACAGCGGCAGAGGAGAGCAUAGAGGAAGCCAUUACUUCUUCUUCUUCUUCUUUUGCUUAAUUGUUUUUCUAUUGGUUUUGUCAUCUUUAUAUAGUGAGAACCGUAAGAGGCAAAAAGCCCUAAUGAUCAAAGGGUCCGGGAUUCAUGAUAACUCGUUCACUACCACAUGAUUAAGGAAAGGUGUUGACACCCUUAUCUUAUCUUUCUUUUGUGAGGAAAUGAGUGAUUGUGUAUGGUUUACUAGUCUCCACUUGAUCGGUUGCUUUGGCUCCUUCCUUUUGGAAGAAAAGAAAUCAGAUGCAUGACCGUAAAUAUAAUGUUUUGGACCUUUUAUUUAUCUUGUAUGUAUUUUUAAAAUUUGGUUUACAUUACUUCGGUUAAUAAAUACUAUAACAGGAAUAUCUAUAAACAGAGUCAUGACUCAUAAUGCAUUUCACAAUGUCAAAGCUGAACGUUGAGAUAAAUUUAUCAAUAGCACUAAAUAUUAAUCCGCGGUAUACCGCGGGUCUAUAUUUUCAUUAAAUAAAAAAUAAUUGAAUAUUUCUUAGGAUGACUUAAUAAAUUUCUGCUAUUGUUUGAUUUAAAUGUAUAAUUCACCGCGAGACAAAAUUUUAUAACUCAAAUUUUAAAGUUUUAAGUUGUAUUUGUUUAUUUUGUUAAAUGUUUAAUAUUGUAUAAUUGUAUUUUGAUUGUUGUUUCUCGGAUUUCACCCGUAGUACACCAUCCCAUAUUAAUAUCGAAUCAAACCCGUCAAUUCUAGGAUUUCACCUGUGGUAGUAUUUAAUUGUAUAAUAAUAACUUGAUUGUCAUUCUAGGAUUUCACUCCUAGUUCUAUCGCAAAUUAUUAUCAACUCAAACCAGUCAAUUCUAAAAUUUCACCCGUUGUACACCAUCCCAUAUUAAUAUCGAAUCAAGCCCGUCAAUUCUAGGAUUUCACCCGUGGUAGUAUUUAAUUGUAUAAUUAUAUUUUAAUUGUCAUUCUAGAAUUUUACUCCUAAUUCUAUCGCAAAUUAUUAUCAACCUAAACCAGUCAAUUCUAAAAUAUCACCCGUAGUACACCAUCCCAUAUUAAUAUCGAUUCAAACUCGUCAAUUCUAGGAUUUCACCCGUGGUAGUAUUGCGAGAGAAAUCUUAUAAAAGAAUCGAAAUGUGUUUUAAAAAAAUUAAAGUUUUAAGUAUUUUUUUUUAAUAUUGUUAAUUUUGUUUAGUGCUUAAUAUUAUAUAAUUAUAUUAUGAUUGUUAAUUAUAGGUUUUUUUCGUAGCAUAUCAUCCAAUGUUAUAAUUCACUCAAAGCCGUCACACCAUAUAACCCCGUCCCGUUAAAUUAAACACAAAUUUGUCAUUUUAUUAUAAAUUUCAAAUAUUUAUAAAAUUAGAAACUUCAAAAAAGAUUAAUAUUGACCCAAACUUCAUCAUUGAAUUUUGAGUGUUAUAUCUAAGAUUUCUCUCGCAGUAUAUCGUCCCGUAUUAAUAUCUUUUAUAUUGUUUAAAUUUCUUGUAAAAUUUGAUUUAUAAUUUUUUGAAACUUUUUAAAGUUUCAAUUCUUUAAAAUAAAUAACCCUAGUAAACAAACCAUUUUAAUUUUGGACACCUCAUAAAUCAAGUUUCAUGCUCAUUCGUAAUCGAAAUUAUUUUGGUCCUUUUUAUAGUAUGGCUCUGAACCAUUGUCCAAUUUUUUUAAGCGAUGUGGGACAUUGUACAAUCGUAAUUAUUAUCCACCCAAACCCGUCCUACCAUAUAACCCAGUCCCGUGAAAUUAAACAUAAUUUUGUCAUUUUCUUAUAAAUUUCAAUAUUAUAAAAUUUGAAACUUACAAAAAAUAAAAUAUCGACCUUGAUUAUAUUUAAGAUUUUUCCUGUAAUAUAUCGUCUUGUAUUAAUAUAUUUUAUAUAUAUAUUUAUAAUGUUUAAAUUUCUUGUAAAAUUCAAUUUAUAAUUUUUAAAACUUUAUCAGUUUUAAAAUUAUAAAUAUUUAAAGUAUUUUUUAAAGAUAAACUUUAUAAAAAGUUUUUAAAAUUAUAAUAUUUAACUUUUGAUAAAGUUAUAAUAUUUAUAAUUUCUUGAAACAUUUUAAAGUUUCAAUUCUUUAAAAUAAAAAACCCAAGUAAAUCGGAUAACUAUUUUAAUUUUGGACGACUGAUAAAUCAAGCUUCCUGCUCAUUCGUAAUCAGAAUCAUUUUGGUCCUUUUAUAAUAUGGGUCUGAAACAUUGUCCAAUUUUUCUAAGCGAUGUGAGACAUUGUAUACAUAUUAUUUCUUCAUACUUUGAAUAAUAUAUGUCCGUUUAAAAAAAUUUGAAUUACAUCAUAUGCAGAAAAAAAUAUAAUAUUUUAUUAACUAUAUAUAUUUUAUAUAAAUUCAAAAUAAAUAAAGUAUAAGAUCAAAUAAAAGUGAAAGAAGAAUUAUAUAUUUAUGUUUAAAUUAGGUAAAAAUAUUUUAGGAAAUUAGUUAAGGUAAAUAACAAAUAUGGUUCGUUUAGAGAUAUUGUUUAUAUUAAAUUUGGUAAUUAAAUCAUUAAUUUUUGUUUUUAAUUAUUAGUUUUUAGGUAACUUUUCCAAAAAUUAAUGUUAUCGAAGAUCAGAACAUAAUUAAACAUGUUAUCCAAGAUCCGAACAGAGUUAAACCGGGUUAUACCCACCCAUUUGAAUUAAUUGUUGAAUUAUGGCUCAAAUCUUCAAUAUUAUCUUCUAAAAACGUCUACAAAAAUGUAUAUAUAGAAGAUUACUCUUUUUAACUAAAUGCAAAAAAGGAAAACCGAUAAGAAUAAGAAAAAAAUAGCAAAAUUGAUAAAUGGAUUAGUCAAGAAAACCAUGUUUAAAUAUAGGAAAUACCAAAAAUGAAAGGAUAGCCAUGUGAUACGCUUGUAUAAAAAGAAAUUGUCCCUAUUGAUUACUUCAAAAAAAAAAAAAAAAAAUAAAUAAAUAAAUAAAUAAAGAGGCCAAUUCGACAAUAAAGGCAAUGCAUAGUCUCUCGUGGUUUCUCCUCGUCAUUGGAUUAUCCGUAGGGUUGAGUAGCGGAAAGUGGAAUGAGAAAAACUCUGUCAUCUUUACGAAUUCUCUUGGUCGGAACAAAGUCUUGAAAGUAAAUUGCAUAUCAAAUGAUGACAAUCUAGGCUUCCACUUUUUGCGCCAUGGACAAACCUACGAUUUUAGUUUCCACGAUAGUCUUUUCAAAUCAGAAUUCUAUUGUGACCUAUGGCAAGGCCCUAAUUUCAAGUUGCAUGCAGCAUUUACGGCAUAUGAAGGUGGUGGUUUGAUAGUUCAUUAUGGUAAAAAGAACUUUUGGGAUGUUAGAGAUGAUGGGAUCUAUUUCACCCAUGGCCAAAAAAUGCCCAAGUUAGAGUAUACGUGGAAGUAAUAAUUAAUCACUCAAAGGGAAAAGAUGGAAUUUAACUCAUCUUUUUGUUUUAAAGUUUGACAGAAACUUCAUUUUCUUGUGUAUUAUAGUGGACGUGAAACAUUGUAAUAAAUCAUCAAAUUAAGGCACCUUAAUAUGUAAAUGUAUCUUUAGUGUAUUAAAGAGAAACUUUAUAAGUAUGUGAGUUUUUCAAUACGCAAACAUAUCCAAGGCUUACGUCCUAACCAAAACUAAUAUUAAUUUGCACAUAUAUACAUGAUUAAUGAAUAAUGUAAGUAGACAGAGUGAGAGAUCACCCACCAGCUCUCCCUCUCCCCAAGUCAGCUUUCAUUUCAAAUCCUGAAAGGUAUCGUCGCUUGGUAGGGCGACUUAGCUACUUAAUUAGCUGACACCUGAGUUAGCCUAUUCAGUUCACAAAUUAGCACAGUUCAUGCAACAUCCACUUUAAGAACACUGGGAUGCUGUGAUAUGGGUGGUUCCGAUAUCUAAAAUCCAAUCCGCGCCAAGGCCUUUUGCUUCCCAGCUCAUCGACUUUGCAGCGUCAUGGUUGGUGUGAUAGUGAUUGGGCCGCCUGUCCUCUUACUAGACGCUCUCUCACAGGUUAUUUUGUACAACUUGGUGACACAAAAAUCUCAUGGAAAAUGAAGAAACAACUGACUAUCACUCGCUCUUCCGCAGAAGUCGAAUAUCGAGCCAUGACAUUUCUUACUCAAGAACUUAUUUGGCUUAAAAAGGUGAUGCAUGAUCUUGGUGUCUCUCAAGAUCGACCUAUGCGCAUAUUCUCUAACAAUAAGUCCGCUAUUGCUCUAAGUGCCAAUCCGGUUCAACAUAAACGUACAAAACAUAUUGAGGUGGAUGGUCACUAUAUCCAUGAUAUCCAUGCUGGUAUUAUGACUACUACCCAUGUGUCCUCUCAACAACAAUUAGCAGACAUUCUCACUAAGGCGUUGGGACAAAGAGAGAACUCCAUUUCUUUCUCUGCAAGCUGGGCAUUCUUGAUGUAUAUGCUCCAACUUGAGGGAGGGUGUUAAAUAUAUUUGCUACUUAUAUUCUUAUUAUUAGAGUGCAUCUUAGUCAAUAGCUACUAGUCAAGCUUAGUCAACUCUACUUUGCCCCUUUUGGUUUUUCCAUGGUAACCACAUUAUGUACUUUAGGUUAUAUCAUCUUUUUGUAUAAUUAUGGCUUUUAACGCCUAAUCAAGAUAACACAAAUUAAAACCAAUCUCUGUCUCUUGCCUUAAAUCUGACACUCUUUUGGAUAAGUUUCUUUUAAAAGCGUUUAAGAAAAAUUUCAACAUUGCUAAUUAUGAGAUAUAUGUCAACAAACUCAAGGCAUUGUUUUAUAAGAAUACUAGAUAUUUCGCCAAACCACUCAUGCUAUAAUGGGAGUGAAAGUCUUAAAUUGGAAUAUUAAGAAUAAGAUCUUUUAUCAUGACUCGUAAUUCAUAUCACAAAUGUCAAAGCUGAACGUUUCAAUAAAUCUAUCGAAAGCAUUAAUCCUUUAAAUAGAUGUGAAACAGCGAAAUAGAUAAGGGCACAAAGAAAACAGUAAAAGCGAUCAACAAGUUCGUAUGAGUCAAAACUCAAAAAAAAAAACAUGUUUAAAAAUAGGAAAGACCAAAAACUAACGACUAACCAUGUAAUACACUUGUAUAAAAAGACACUAUCCGUCUGUCCCUUUUCAUUAUCUACAGAUUAAUUACUUCUGAAUUUAAAAGAAGGAAGGCCAAUUCAAACAGUCAACAAUGAAUCGGCUCUCGUGUUUUCUGCUCGUUAUUGGAUUGUGCAUAGGAUUGAGUAACGCAAAUUUAAUAUGGAAUGAGAAAAACACUGUAUUCUUCAAGAGUUCCCUUGGUCGAAACAAUGUUUUGAAGAUUCAUUGCACAUCAGAAGACAAUCUAGGUUUCCAUUUUUUGCGUCCUGGAGAAACCUAUGAUUUUAGUUUCCAUGAUAGUAUUGUGAGAUCAGACUUUUACUGUGAAUUAUGGCAAGGGCCUAAUUUCAAGUUUCAUGCAUCAUUUAUGGCAUAUCAAGGUGGUGGUCUCAUAGUUCAUUAUGGUAAAAAGAACUUUUGGGAUGCUAGAGAAGAUGGAAUCUAUUUCACUCAUGGCAAAGAAACGCCCAAGUUAGAGUAUAAGUGGAAAUAAUAAUUAACCACUCAAUGUAUGAUGGAAUUGAGAUCAUCUUUUUUUACUUUUAACAAAAGCUUAUUGUUCUUGUGUACUAUUGUGGAAGGGAAACCUUUGAAAUAAAUUUAUCGAAAGUAUGUGAACUUUUGAAGACGAAAACUUUCAAUACUUAAGUCCUCAUCUAAACUAAUAUUUGUAGUUAAAUGAUUAAUGAAUAAUUAAUGUGAGAAAAUCCCUAAAAGAAUGGUGGAAAAAAAGGAAGAUGUGUCAAAUGAUUUUUGACUCAAAUUAGUUAAUCGGUAAACUAAAUACCUGAGUUAUGUAUGCUUUGGCAAAACACACUUAAUUGGGCUCACUAAUUGAAUUUACAGAUUAAGAUUUCGUCAAAGCCCAACAAAUAACGAUAUCCUAAUAUUUUUGUAGUAUAUGCAGCCCAUCACUUUAAAAAUUCCCGAACCAGAAUGCUACAUCAAAAUUAUAGCAUUCACAACAUGUUUCUUUUUGUCCAAGUGAGUUUGGAUGUAGAAAUUUGGAUACAAAACAAGUUGCAUAUUAUGAUGCAAUCGAAACUAGAGUUUAAAUGCAUCAAUUCCAUCUAUAACUAAUUAACGUAAACGACUAAAAAUCAACUAAUAUUGUCUAUGUCGACCCAAGUUAAUUCGGGUCCGCUUUUGCGAUACUUCCAGGGAUUUGUUCUAUUUUACCUUGCUUGUAGGACAUGUUCUAUGUUCUAAGCUUUUACAAUUCAGGUUGUAAGUGAAGCGUAUUUUUGUUUCAUUGCUUGUAAAUGAAACAACACAUAGUUUGUUAACGGAGUUGAUGGUUUCUAACCGCUAUAUCUCGUAGAAAAACUCUUGCUCCCAAGCUUCACUAUAUAAGGAAGAGGUUGCACACAUGACAUCACUACUAACUUUCGAUGUUGUCUUUUAAUUUUACGUUCACUCCAGAAACACAAGGAUAAAAACAACACACACACACACAAACAAAACAAAACAAAACAAAACUUGCUUGGAAAAUCUUAGUUUUUCACUUUCUCUAAAACUCUUUUUUCUUUUUUCGUCUUGUAUCACUUAUUACAUUUAUAUCUGAGCCUUUGUUAUGUAUAUAUAGCUGUAUGCAUUUGGGGCAAAGCCCUUCCGAGAACAUGUCUCCCUUCUAUGUCAAACUUCGUCUUGUGACUCUUGACCAUGAAAGCCCAUUUUUUGGGUGUGUUAGAGCAUCUCCAACAAGCCUUCUAACCUUCAAUUUAUUUUGAACCCUCUAACCCUUAUAUUUUUAGGAUGUAAAUAGUGCACCUCGAAUUUUAUGGUGCAUUUUUUACACCCUCAGGCCUCAACAACCAAAACUGAUUAUUGUUAAUAUUGCACAUAACAAGAGAACGGAAAAAUACCUUGGUAGUUUCAUAUCUGUAACAUAGUCAGACGUAUCAUUAGUUUAUUUAAAACAGUUGUACCACGAUUGUCUACGAAUACAGAAAAGGAAAAAAAAAACGAAUAUGAAAUUUUUUCCAAGGAAAAAUAACUAGUACUACGAUUUAAUGUACAAAGAUAUAACUUAAAAACCUCUGUCAAAAAUAUCAUAUAAUAAAUAUUUCUUAUAUUAAAUAUAGGAAACACAAUUCAAUAUGUAUAAGAAAAACAAUAGUAUUUUCACAUUUCCACCAAAUCUUCUAUGAUUUCAAAGAUUUUUAAUCUUUUGAUAGUGGAAGGAUCUUUGUUUAUAAUCGUCAAAGAAGAUACAGUAUCACAAUUAGAUUUAGAUACACAUGCGUGUGCAUGUAUUUUCUAAAAACAAGAAAAAUUAUACUCUCAUAUAAUAUGCAUUCUCACUUACGAAUAACUAAUUUGCAUAGGGUGUUGAUUGCGAUACUGAAUUGAUCAAAAGAUUAUUUCUUUGCUAUGUUCUUUAUUGGGGCGUAUCUAAAAUUAUGACGAUAUGUUUUUGACUUGUCAAUUCAGAAGAUUGUACCACUGAAUUAUUCUAUACAUAUUAUAAAAAUUAUACAUUUCAAAUAUGUUUUUUUCCACAUUUUGUACGAUUUUCAGACUUGAACUUUCAGAAGAAAAAAAAAACAUUUGCCUUUAAAAAUACAAACUAUAUUCAAAAUCUAAUUGAAAACAAAGAAUGACAGAAGACAACACAAAUGCGCAAAAAAAAAUAAAAAAAUCAUGAUCGUACAUAUGAAAGAGUUUCUUUUAAAUUUAUCAAAAAAAAAAAAUCGUGAAGGAUUUUCUUUUAAAACUUUUUUUAACUUUCUGCAAUGUGGUAUUUUUAUACAUAUGCCACAUAACACAAAUGUUUUUUUUUCUUUUCCAUUUAAUCCGACUAAGACCUAAUAAUUAAAAGAUAUACCUAUCAUAAGUUACCAGUUUUAUUUAUUUCUGAUCAAUUUCAAAGGUUACUGACCACAUAUCAAAAAAUAUUAUAAGAUAUAAAGAAGCAAGAAUCAACCUUAGUCAUUGUAAGUGCAAAGGCUGCCACCAAACUUAACCAAGAAAAAUUAAAUAUGAACUCCUUUUCCCCCAUCACUAAUCAUUCUUUUUGUUUCUUUGAUUAUUAAAUUUCAUGUUUUAUGUUUGUUUAUUAUUUUAAGGCUUAUCUAGAUUGAACCCAUCUUAAUAUUACAUUAUGACUUAUUAUUAUUGAAUUUCAACUCACUUUCUAAGCCAAUAAAGGUGAUCGAUGGACAUAUGCUUUUGGCCUUAUGCCAGAGAGUUAUUGAUUUAUACCAGUUGCAGUCUCAAAGCACAUAAUAUGACCUUACACAUAGACAACAGUCACAACUUUUCAUAUCUUUGUGUCUUUAAAUUAGAACUAAGAAGAUUUAUUUAUAUAUGUACAACUAGUCUUUUUUGAAUAAACUAAAACAAAAGCUUUAAUUUGGCCUAAAGAAAACACAAUCAUUUGGAAGAUGUGGUAAUUAUAUAAUACAUUUAUUCGAAAUCUCCUUCUCAGCCUUCUUACUUCGAAUAACAUAUCUACUAUAUUUUUGGCAUAUCAAUAGUUUUUUUGGAGUUUUAAAAGUAUGUGUAUAAAAGAAGUUUAAGAAUAACAAUUCAAAGAUAUAUGUCAUCCAUAAACAUAUUUCUUCUACUACCAUAGAUCAUAUUAAAUUCAUUUACUACACAAGUUUAUGUUUCAAAUACUAUAUUUUAAAACAUGUUACAUAAACCAAUCAUGCGGGUUUUUGAGUUUGUUCUCGUCACACUUUACACAAAACAAUAGAAAAUGUCUUUUUGAGGAAAAAGAAUUAACAUAAUUUGAUGUCAUAGUAACAUUUAUUCCGAUUUGUAUCCCUCAUGAAAUUCAAAAUCUCCCUCAAUCUCAAAAUCUUCCUUCUAGCCGUGCUUUACCAAGGCAUUCCAAAUCAAACUAUUUAAACCGCGAAAAUCCUCAUGAAACCAAUGGCUUCAAUAUCACUUGAACUCCAUACUUAGGUUUUAUAGUAAGCACAACGAUUGGGGCAUGCCUAUAAUUCUUUGAUAUUGUGAAGUUAAACUUUGAAAUUAACGUGGCUAAUAUUAUUUUAGCUUCCAUCAACGCAAACUGUUGUCCGAUGCAGUUCCGUGGACCGGCUGCAAAUGGGAUGAAAUGGCGACCAGACGCGAAUGGUCUGCCUCCAAAACGUUCGGGAUUGAAUUGGUUCGCGUCUUUACCCCAUAAUUCUUCACUGUGAUGGAUAGCAAGAACCGGUAUCCAUAUUGAUAAACCUUUAGGAAUGGUUAGAUCACCUAGUUUUAGAUCUUCAAAUGCCAUCCUUGGUAGAAGAGUAGCUGGAGGGUAAAGUCUUAGUGACUCGUUAAUCACUUUGCUUAACUGUUCCAAAGACAAAGAAAAAGAAGUUAGAAGACUAUUCUAUUAAUUCAUUUUGGAAUCAUAUCUUUGUGAUCAUGCGAAGUGCUUCUUGACUCUUUCUCAAACAUCUUUUAGUUUGGGAAUUGACUUUUCCUUUUGAAAAAAAUAUCAAUGAAGCUGUCAAGAUCUAAUCAUUAGUUAAUACAUGUUUAGAUUUCUUAGAUAAUAUUUUAUGCAAAGCAUGCCUUAGUGCUAAUCACUAAACAAAUGGAAGAUGUCUUAUUUAACCAUUUAUUUAUGCCUGAAAGAUCUAUUUACCAAUAUCUAUAUCGUAUCAAAUUUCAAACCUGGCUUAACCAAUGCUAAUCAUAUCUAAAUAGUAUCACUAUAAAACUAAUCAGAAAGUAUGAUUCUAUGUAAAUCGGUUAUAAUAAACAUGUAACGAUUUAACCCAAUAUGAAUAUAUCUUUAAAGCUCAAUAAACAUACACAUUGUUAAAAAACAAUAUUUGUGUUCUAACUAGGAUUGAAGAUAAAGGAAUAAAGACAAAAUUAAAUGAUAUCUACUCAUUAGGGUUCUUCUGUGCCGACUAUGACUAUGUUAUAAGCUUAGUUAUGGAAGAAGCACUACGAUGCUAGUGGCAUUGUCUAUACUGUGUUAAAUGUUAAUACCCCACACGCACCCAUCCAUCCAUCAUAAAGCUAAUUCUACUAGUCAAAUAAAUUAAUAGGUUACUAUAAUAUAUAGUUAUAUGAUUAUUAUUUGGAGCAAACAACAAAUAUUAUCUUUUUAUAUCUAUGAGUUAAUGGAGUUCGAGUCACUGAUGCGUGGUCAGACAAAAACUUAAGGUUGAAAAGUUGAAACGGUCACUGAUGGAUUAGUACUAAACCGUAUUUUCAUGAUUUUUUAACAACACCAAACUCAUGAAUGGUGAGCCGACGUAACCGCAAGUAGACUAAUAUGUCUCGUCUGCUAGCUAUUUACGUUCCAAACUUAGGUAAAACUUAAUUCCUAUGUUAACAAUCUCACCAAAAGAUAAGACUUUGCAAGAGAAGGACUAAUUUUAUGUCUAGAUUUUAGAAGUUAUUGUAUAAUAUGUAUUGAAAAGUGAAUGUACGUACCGAGGUUAGCUUAGAUAGUUGAUCGACUGAGGGAAGGCCAUUGCGGCCAAAGACCUCCCUGACCUCCUCACGGACUUUUUCCUGCCAUGUGGGAUUAUCGGCGAGGAGCAUUGUUGUCCAUGUGAGGAGCAAAGCCGUGGUUUCAUGGCCAGCAAAGAAGAAUGUCUUGCAUUCAUCCAUUAUCAACUGAAGAUUGUUGUUGUUAUUGUUAUUGUUCUUGUCAAUAUCCAUUUCGUUCAAGAGAAGCCCGAGAAGGUCGUCACCGUGAGUGCUACUCCUACCCAUUUCAGCGCAGUCUCGCCUGCUUUGUAUGAUCUCAAUCAACAAACGCUCAACUUCUUUUUUCAGAGACUUGAUCUCUCUGUUGUAUUUGCUUGGAAGAAACCUACAUAUACAAAAGAUUUGUUAUUAAGUCAAUGUUAGACCACAGUUAAAGUUUAAUCCUAAAACAAUAUACGUUUUAAAGCUUCACCGAGGAUCACAACAAAUAAAUAGAAAAACUAAAUUUUGUUAUGUAUAACUUAAUGUUUAAGAAUUUGUAUGGUGGCAGCCGCGGUCUGUCUGCUGCCACCAUUACUGAAAAUAUAGAGAUUAAUUACGAUUUCUAGGGUGAGGAAGAAAACCAACCGGCUGCCGGGAAAGCAGAGGUGGCGGGUGGCUUGAGCGCAACGGCGCUGGAGGACAGUGAGGUGGUUGAAAAGCUCUUUGCCUUUCUCAAAGCUGCUUCCGAACUUUGUCCUCGAUAUAAUAUCAGCCGUGAGUUUAUGCAUCUCCUCUCCUAUCUCCACCUCAUUUGCUCCUUCCCCAACUUCCUUCCUCAACCUCUCAACUAGCUUGCUUGUGCACUCCACCAUAUGCCUUGCGUAUCCCUACAUCAUAAGGGUACUUCAGUCAUUCAACGUCAAGUAACUAAGCAUUGUUUUUUGCAUGAGGCUAGUUUAUUGACGUGCCUUGAGUCUUUCUCCGGUAAAUGCCGGUGCAGCAAGGUGGCGUUGGUGGUGCCAAUCUUGGCCAUUAGCCAUUAGGAGACCGCGACCGAUAAAAUUCUUAGUCCCUUGUUGUUGUAGCCACGAUCUUCCACUAACACCGUUGUGUUUCAUCAGCAACUCCUUUAUCAAUUCCGUUUCCGUUAAGCAAAGCCGAGGAUCCGUCCCGUUCCACACAAUAAACCUCUUCCCUGUUUCAUCAAAACGUAAAUUUAUCUAAGGAUUACUCAUUUUAUUACAUGUAACCCUCCUUUAAUCAAAGGCCAAACAUUCUUCAGUAUGUUUUACGGAGAAAAAACAAAAAAUACAUGGAGGGUAUUUCCGUCAUUUUAUCUGGCUCCAUUGAUAGAUGUCACUUACAAUUAACAGACCAACUUAAUAACGAAAUCUAUGUAUAGACUUCACGACCAAGAAAACACAAACUUGUUACAAUUCAAGACCAUACCGUAUUGUUUGGACCAAGCAACGUAAUGCGGGAGAAGGCGGCCGACGAUGUCAUGGUGAAUAGAGUCACAAUCCUUGGAAGCGGAUUGCGAAACCAUGGCCGAGAUUUCAAGGAUAUUUCCGGUUAACGGACGCGGUUUAGGACCCGUUACGCCUUGCUGUUCCAUGAUCUUCUUGAUUCGUCUAGGUGUUAGCCAGUAGCACGAUAUGGUGUCGUAUAAAACUCUCAAUAUCGUAGUCACGAAUAUCACGAGGAGUGAUUUUAAUAUAGUAAGCAACAUUUUUGGGUUUUUUCUUUUCUUCUUCCAGCAACAAAGAUUCGAAAAGAAAAACAAGAGAUAUUAAGAGGGUGAGAUAAAGAGUAAUGGUGUAUUUAUAGUGUCGAGAUACAAUAUAAAUUCAUGUAGGGUACUAAAUCUGGGAGAACUAAUUAUGGUAUAACUUUGUUGCAUAUUCUCACUUAAAGAAAUGGAAGAUAUUGAGACUAAUUAAAUUAGUAAAUCUCGUUAUUUUUUACCUUGCUUGGCUAAACGUUUCCAUUUAAUUCUUAUACUUUUAAGAGAGACACUCCAAAUUAUUAUUACAGAAACAAGUUGUGACAUUUCACAAAUGCCAACUUUGGGAAGUUUCCAGAACUACAAAAAAAAAAACAUUUAUGUUCACGAAGGGUUCCUAAAAGUUUAAGAAAUAAAGUAUCCCUAAAUUUUUAAGAACUCUUCUUAAAUUAUAAGAAAUGUUUCAAUCAUUUAGUAUUACUUCCUGAAUUUUUAAAACAUUUUAUAAGAUUAAAAUUUGUGGCCUUUUCUUAGAAAAUGUUGUAUACCAAAUAUGAUUAAAAAAAAAAAAAAAAAAACUCAUUUCCUGAGAAUCAAAAGAGAACAUCUCAGCUCAAUUAUGAUCGAAUCUUGACCAUAAUUAUGUACUAAAACUUAUAUAGCGUAUUACUGAGAGGGUCGAGAGAGAAAAGGACUUGAAAAUAAAAUUAAGUCUCCUGAAACAGUAAGAACUACCAAGAAUUGUUCUCGUAUUUGUCCCAGUCCCAGUCCCAGUCCCACACAAAGCUGGAUCACAUAAACCAUUCAAAAUCACUGCUUAGGUAUAAGUGUUUGAUUUCUCUUUUAAUUCGCCUAUGAUCCAAUCUUAACCAUAAUUAAUCUAUGAGAUGUAAAGUUUCAAGAAUUUGUUUCUAAAGACAACACAAAAAAAAAAGGUCGUGUUAAAUACAAUGUGCUUGAUAUAUAAAAAGUUCGAUCCUGGCCGUCUCAUUAAGGGGACAACAUAUUAAUCUGAUAGCUAUGACCUGUGUCGCUGUAACAUUCGGGACAUGAUUGCACAACACAAAAUUUCAUUAAAACCUUACGUUUCCUUUCAUAAAGGUAAAAUCUCUACCCCAAUUUUUGAAACCACCCCAAAUUUUGAAACCUACGUCAUCAACAAUUUAUACGCAUUGGAAUAUAGACCAACAUUUAGUAAAACCUGGACCAAAUACAACAAGUCUGAUGUUAAACCACCGUUUCUGUCUAGCUCGAUUCUACUGUGAUGAUCGGAGUUGGUUCGGUAAAGACCCUAAGCUACAUUAAAUCUAUAGGCAAAAAGACAGAGAAAACAAAAAUGGAACCGAGUUAAACAACCUUGCUCUUCAGAUUUGCUUCUUUUCUUUAUCAGAGGAUCCGAAAUGACUUGACAAAGUCCACUGCGUAUAGUUGGUGUAAAAGGCAAACAUUAUAAAGUAUGAGAAACAGAGAAUCAUGAUCAGUGCUUCGAAUAGGAAAGGGUACUUCUGAGGAGGUUUAAUGGUAAGAUAGAGGACAUGAAGAACUACGGAGAUGAAGAAAUGGGUUCGUAGUAAGAAAACAUAACCCGGGAAGUUUUUAAAGGAGAAAAAUGAAACGUCGGUUUUCUGUAUCGCAUGGUGAUUCCCGGGUGAAUGAUAGAUGACGGUGAAGAGAAAAGAUAGUGUUAAGUAAGGGAUCAAGAGUUUGUCACGGCAAAGAAGAGGGAACAUCGAGAAGAGAGCGUAAUAGGUUAAAUGACUGAAAUGGUCAGGUAGUUUGAGAGCUAAUAGUGUUGCGGAGAGAAAAGGCAUCAGGAUUGAUUUCUCAUGCACUGCAGAUUCAAACACAAUGAAAGAAAAAAAGGGACUGUUAGAUAUUAAUUGAUGGCAACCGUGAUCGAAGAUCAAAGUGAAAUAUUUAUACCUUGGAAGGAAAACAAGUAGAAAGCCAUUGAACUGUUGAGCAAGCCAUAUAGGAAACCUUCAUUGCUUGGUGACAAGAUUUGCUGAACCAUUGAAGGAAGAGAAGCCAAUAUAGUUGCAGCUAAGCUGAUAGACUUGAGGGAUUGUGUUGUGAACAGAUUUUUCCAUUUUAUGAGUAUGGAAGUAGUGCACCAGAAAUUUGCCACGUAAUCCUCGUAUAUUCCCCUCUCAAAUGGAGCAAGACGGGAGAGAACCUGCAUCAUCAGCCAUUUACUUCAUAUUAAUGAGCACGAAAACGAAUGAGACCUAUUGGGUGUAUGCAAUUUACAUCAGAGGAGGAAGCAAAGAGUACAAUCUCUUAGUUCUACCAGAGACAAACAAUUAGUUUUCUCGAGAAAUUAUCAAAUACGUAUUUACCAUUAAGAAGUCGUCCAAAGAAUGCACAUAUGGCCACCAAAAAAUAACAAAUGUCACUAUGACUGCAAUUCCAAGCUUAAUCACAGAAAGUAUAGGGCUCUUCCGUCUUAGGCAUUUACCCAGUAGAUGGCUGAAAAAGGCAGGAGCAAAGUAUGCACUCAUCUGCAACAUCGACACAAUGGAAAAAGUGUGACCAGCAUGUUAUAAACGGGAACAGAACAGAAAUGAGGUACAUACAUAAACAAAGGGGUAUAUCAAGCACCACAUAAGAUUAACAAUAUUGUAUGUAUAGAACAUUUUACAUAAAUGCAACGAUGUGAAAUAUGUAUGGCCAUAAACACUACACUACAGUCUCAACAAAUUAGACAUUUUGACAUAACGGUAGUAACUACUCAUAUUUUCCAGGGAACUAAAACCAUCUAGUUUUUCAGUCUAUGAGAUUGAUAAAAGCCAUUACGUGUCAGAUCAUCUACAAGUAUACCAACUUUCUACAAGGGAAACAUAAGAAUACAGAAAUGAAAUCCCAAAGUCACCUGUUUAUGGCUGAGGGCUAGACUGAACAAGACACAAGUGAGAACCUCGCUCUCACAUAGUACCGCAGCAAUAGCACCAACUGUAAGUCCCAAGCUGAUACAAUUGUACUAUAACAAAUAAAAAUUCUAAUGAGAAUCAUCUUACAACCAUAGAAAAAGGAUACAUAAUCACAACACCAAUAGAGGUAACGGUCAAUACAAACCUGAAAAUGACCGUGAUCAAUGAGGAUCAAGCAAGGGUUUAAGAGAAUCAUAGCAAUAUGCCAAGCCACUUCACUCUUACCACCCCUAGUUCGAUUCCUAUGGUACACCAACACGAAAAACAGAGCAGCUGGGAAAAAUAUGAAAGCAUCAGACGAUAAAACUGUCCAUCUCAUCAACAAUUUUCUGCAUAACAAAACUCGAAUUAGUAAACCCUAAUUACACAACAAGCAACCAAUUGAAGAAUCAGAUCAUUUACCCAAGAUAAGAUUCGUGACCACGAGAGCUUAGAAGAGCAACAGAUUCAGGAUUGAAGAAUCGGAGGAAGAUUCCAUGGAUGUAACUUUGAUAAGCAGUUAAAGGAGGAUAAUCUAAUCCCCAGUAAGUGAGAUCGUUGUAAGUGCCAUUUCUAUACCAAUCGAUAACUGGAAGAUUUGUGGUUAUCUCCAUCCAAUGUCUCUGAGCUUCGAAAUCGCCGAAUUUAGGAGGAAUUCCGGCGCCGGAGUAUGGAUACAUUGUUACAGCAGAUCGGAUCAGUAAUGCGAAGAGGGAGAUGCAGAGAAAUGAAGUUGUGGUUCCUUUAUGUGUUAGCCACCACCAAGUAUCAAUCGAAGAUCCGGUUUGUGGUGAUACCGGAAUGGUGAUGUCAUCUUCGCCGGAAUGUUUCGCCGGCUUCUUCUUCGGCAUCCUUUGUUUUGUUUGUCUUCUCCGUUUAGUUUUUUUCUCACCUAAGCUAAGCUGAUGCAAAAUCGAUUUACGGGGAUCGGUCUCAGUUUGGGUUUAGGAAAUAUUAAUAAAAGGCCCUUGUAUUUUUAUGUUUCUAUAAAUUUAUCCUUGAAAAAUACAAAAACACCAUUCGACUCACUUUUUAUUUUAUGUUAACAACUUGGCUAAAGACACAUCACUAACACCAUUCGACUCACUAAAACUAUGAAAUAUAACUUUCACAUUAUAGGUUAUAGACUCGUUUUGAAUAUUUUUAAAAAGACUAUAUGAAUAUUUUUAAAAAGACUAUAAUACAAUAUAUAUUAAAUUUUUGAGAUGAAAAUAGUAAAGAUGGUUGGUUUGAGAUGAAAAUAAUAAGGAUGGUUGCUAUGAGAAAAUGUUAUUCUUCAAAGGGAAAUAUUUUUUCUUAAAACAGGGAUUAGCGAUUCGCAUCCUCUUCUGUCUUUCUUAGUACGUUUGUGUUAUAGCUUCAUUUCGAAUGACUGGAUUGUCCGAAUUACUCAUGUGUAUAGGGAAGCUAAUCGUCUCGCAGAUGAAUUAGCGAAUCAUGCUUUUUUGUUACUUUUGGGGUUUCAUAGUAUUCUUCUUAGGCUUGAUUUUGCUACUUCGAUUAUUUUUGAGGAUGAUAGUGUUGUUACGCGCCCACGGAAUAUUCGUGUGUAAUUUUUUUUUUUUAUUUUUUUUUAAUAAUAUGGGAGACUAAUCUCCCUCAUUCUACCAAAAAAUUAAGGGAAAUAUUUUUUCUUAAAUUUGUUGAUAUGAUAAUUAUGGUCUACAUAAUAUCGUGUUUUAAAUCAAUAUAUAAUAAAUGUUGGUUAAAACAAGAGCAAUAACAUAAUUUUGGUGAAAUUUCUUGGGAAGGUAAGAGGAAAACUUCCUUGAUAGCAUGGAAGUAUGUAAAUUAGGAAAUUUCAACAAAGCCUUACUUGUGAAACAAUUCGGCCGGAUCGUACAUUUAUCGAAGCUAGUUACUUCCUUGUAAAAAGUUUUUUAUGUAGUGAUGGUGGUUGUAGACCUUUGUAUACUUGGAAUAGUGUUCUCUAUUGAUGAGAUCUCUUGAAAAGUGGCAUAAUAAGCAAUAUUGGACAAAUCUACUAGGGUUUGGCUUGAUAAAUGGCUUAUGGAUGAACAACCAAGGAGACCCACUAAGAAAUAAAUUUUAUUUAUUAUUAAACUUAAGGUUGCUAAUUUGUUGAAUGAGAGAGGUGUUAAUUUCUCCCAAAUGAUGUUAAUCAAGUCUUAUUGAUUUAUCUUAAUUCAAACAAGAAAGAUUUUUCGUUUUGGCGAUUCAAUAAAACUGGAGCUGAAAUCAAAAUUCUUUCUAGGGAUAUAAAGAGUUUGUUGGAUUCAUCUCUUGAAAAAUUCUUUAAAAGCAAAUCAGGGAACUAGACGAAGAUUUUAGCGGAAGUAGCUCAAAAAGCAAAAGCAUCCAUGAAAAUUGCUAUGGUAGAUGAAUCACGAAAAGCUGAAAAAGCUCUGAUCGCUAGUAAAUAGUAAUAAUAGAUUGAGUCUAGUUGAUCAGAAGAAACUUGCACAAGUUAUCAAGGUGGUGGUCGAAAUGGAGGAUGAACUCGAGGAGAAGGUUCAAAAAGUCGAGAAGAUAAACAGAAAGGUAGAUGAGAAGAUGAAGAAGAAGGCAAAGAAGAGACAUUUUUCGUUUUUGGUUUGUUGAAUGUUGAUUCGUCUUCAGCUAUCAUAUCAUGUCGGUGUUAGACUUAAAAUAAGUGUUUACCAAUAACUUAUACAAGAGAGGUUCUACACCGUUUACCAAGAGAAUCAAAGAAUGCAAAGUUUGUAACUUUUGUUUGUGGUUUAAAAGAACACCACAAUCAUUGUUGAAUGCAUAACAUAUUUCAACCAGAUAAGGAGUUAAAGAACUUUUAUAUGGAUCUAAUACUUAACCACUAAUACUAAAAAUUGAUCUUGAAGCAACAUAGGAGAUUUGAGUAGUUAGAACAUAUCUAGCAAAUUCUGAUCUAUUGUGAAAAGAAUAACUAGAGACGGAUGACUUAAUUUCUAUAUAGCAUUUGGAGGGUCAUAAUGACUUGUUUUUAUUUACGUGUUUUACGUUAUUUUGUUUUUGUCAAAAGGCUUUCAUAAAUUAGUAAUACUCUAUAAAUAAAUAAACACAAUAAAAUACUCUUUCUUAUCGAUUUAGGUAUGGCCAAUGUAAAAAACUAAAAAUUAACAAAAUUUUGAAACUUCUAUACAUUUUUAUGGUUCUAGUAAUAUUAUAAAUUUAUACAUAUAUAGCUAAGAUAAUAUUCUAAAUAUGACUAUAAUAUUGUUUGUAAUUUGAAUUAUUGUUAGCGUUAUUCUCUAAUGUUACUUAUUAUUCAAAAACUCUUCGGUGUUUUCGAUUUGUAUCCAAAUUUUAUGAUAAAUUCUAAACACGAUAAUUAAUUUACAAAAAUAAAGUACUUAUUUGAGUACCCUUAAAUUUAUGUUUACUUGACUUCCCAGUUCCCAGCCAGUAUAAAUCUUUUUCUUAUAUUUAAAUUAAUUAAUUAACUUUGGAUAUAGAAUUGAAUUAUUAGGAAAAUAUAUACAUAUCAAUCAAAAAUAUAAUAUUUAUAAGCUUAAUACAAACAUAGAAAUAUCUAUAUCUAUAUAUAUCUAGCUUAAUUAAUUGGAUAGUAAAAGCUUAUCUUUGCAUUUUUAUUAUUUUAAUUAAUUACUUGUAUAUAUAUAUUAUUUUAAAUACUUAUUAGCAUAUUGACAUUUAAGAUACAAGGUUUAAAUUUCUUUUGUUAUUUUGAACAGAAGUUUUGUUAAUCAGUAAAAUAAAAUUAUUGUAAAUAAAAGAAAAGAUUUUGUGCAAAACAAACUCCAAAGUCGUUUAUUUUUGUAACUUUAUCUUUCACGUUUAAAAAUACAAAACAAAAUUAUGAAGUAAAAAUAAUACGUAAUGUAGUCGAUUUUACAACUUUACAUCUAUUGUAAACGUUUUCACGAUCACAUAUAUUUGUUUUUAAAAGUUUUAAAGAUAUAGUUGAACUCCUCAUCUCAAGGGCUUUGAUUUGAUAAAUUAUCUAUCUAAAUUUUAAAAUUAUUUAUCAAAAUUUUAAAAUUUGACAAUAGCAAAAAAUUUGACAUAUGUAUAAUUUUUGAUUUAGUAUUAUUAUUCUGCAUUGUUAAGAUGUAAAAUGUAAAGUUGUAAAAAGUAAAUGAUUCCGAGGAUUUUGUGUAAAAAACCUUAAAAUGUUUUAGAGUUUCUUGCACUAAAAGGAUAACUUUUACUUUUUUUCCAAACCCCAAAGUCUGAUUUACCUGUGAGUUAACAACAAUUACUACUCUCUUUGAGUAAAAAUCGCAUGCCAAAAAGAUUAUAGAAAAUAUAAUACCGAAGAAAAUUCCAAAUAUACAAGCAGUAAAUUAAGUUGAUUUUGGGAAUAGUCUACAAUCCCAUGUACACAUCUCCACUACAUUCCAUACACCUUUUUUAAUCUAACGGCUCACAAACAAUAAAACUCUCCGAAUAAGUAAUCACCACGUGAUUUAUCUUGACACACCAAAGUUUGUAUAGACGUGCAUGUAUGUAAUUAAUUAACCUUUUAUGUACUAUGAAUUAACUGUGUUGAUAUAUAAAGGGUGACUCAAUACCCCAAAAGCGGUCUCUCUCUAUACUUUGCUUCUCUCUCUAAACUUCUCUCUUUCUUUUUUUCUCAAAGCUUUUUUCCUUCUCCCUAAACGAUGAAGAUUUUCGUGAAGACUCUCAGUGGUUCGAACUUCGAGAUCGAAGUAAAACCUGCAGAUAAGGUAUAGUGAUUUCUUGAAUUCGAAUCGUCUUCUCUGUUUCUUUAACUGUUUAUUAGGUCUGAUUUGGUUCCGUAAUUCGAUUUUGCCUUGGGGAAAAAUUCCGGUGAAUUAGCGAAUCUCGUAGUAUCUGAUUUAAAAUUCUAGGUUUCGUUUGCAUCGUACUCUUGUUUCGGGUUGGGAAUUGUUUGUGACGAUGCGUGUUUCUGUUUCUGUGAUUGGAUUCGAAUUCGAAUUAGGGUUUUUCGUGAGUAUGUAAGUAUAGUGAUUGUAUGUGUUGGGAAUUUAAUUAUAUACUGUGUAAAUUGUAUAUAGUUAUGGCUUCUUGUUUUCCCAUCAACAUUCGUUGCUUUAGUGAUCAUGCUGGAAUCUGAUUUUGCUUCUUUAAGAUUAUGUUAGAGCUAAUCAUACUUAGAUUCACAAUAUUAGUCAUUAUAUUUGCUAAACCUUGAGGCACCUAUGGAUUAUCAUACGUAAUGAUAUAGUAUUUGUGAAGUUUUCUUUGGUGUGACUUAUUUGUUUCAUUGCUAGUCUUAUAUCUUCUUGAUAGCCUUUAGCUUAAUGAUGUCUGUAUGAUUUGGUAUCUGAGUUUAUUUUUGGCUUUUUCUAGGCUAAGUUAUAUGUGUGAUUGAGAUGCUUAUUAACAUUGUUGUUGAUCGCAGGUUUCUGAUGUUAAAACGGCUAUAGAAACUGUUAAAGGUGCAGAAUACCCUGCUGCUAAGCAGAUGCUGAUCCACCAAGGAAAGGUUCUAAAGGAUGAGACCACAUUGGAAGAGAACAAUGUUGUUGAGAACAGUUUCAUUGUUAUCAUGUUGUCCAAGGUGAUGUACUAGGUCCACAGUUUCGCAUUAGUAUUAGUAACAGGAUUUUAGUAGUUAGUGGAUGCUAACAAGUUUUAACGUUUGUAUAUAGACCAAGGCUUCUCCAAGUGGGGCAUCAACCGCAUCUGCACCAGCACCUAGUGCUACACAGGUGAAUAAAAGUUCUUAUGUAAUAUGGUUAUGGUUUCUAUUUGUAAGUGACAACAAAAUAGUAUAUCUAGAUAACAGUUUUGUCUAAUAGAAUUGCUUGGAUUUUCUGUAACAGCCACAGACAGUAGCUACACCUCAGGUUUCUGCUCCUACUGCCUCAGUGUAAGUUGCCUUCCUCUGGCAUUGAUUUACCUCCUUUUGAAAGAGAAAUUGUCAGCUUCUUAUGUAGUUGCCGGUUUGCUGAUUCUCUGUUCUUUUUACUUGCGUUCUCAGUCCAGUUCCUACAAGUGGAACUGCAACCGCUGCAGCUCCAGCUACUGCUGCUUCGUAAGAACUUUUCAGAAGUAUACUAUAUUCAUUUUCGAAUAUCUGUUCAUUGAUUGUGUAAAUGUUGCCCACUUUCUUGGUUGAAACAGGGUUCAGACAGAUGUGUAUGGUCAAGCAGCAUCAAACCUUGUUGCUGGAACUACUUUAGAGUCCACUGUUCAGCAAAUUCUUGAUAUGGGUGGAGGUAGUUGGGACCGUGACACUGUUGUUCGUGCUCUGAGAGCUGCGUUCAACAAUCCUGAAAGAGCUGUUGAAUACCUGUACUCGGUAUGAUUCAUUCCACUUCUUGAUUUUACGUUUUUCUUUGAUAUAUUGUAUCUACCUUUGAUUUGCGGUUUGCCAGAAUUUAAGCAACAUUUGCUCUUGAACUUUUGGUUGAUACAUUUCAGGGUAUCCCUGCUCAAGCUGAAAUCCCACCAGUUGCUCAAGCCCCAGCUACUGGGGAACAGGCAGCCAAUCCUCUAGCACAGCCCCAACAAGCAGCAGCUCCAGCAGCUGCAACUGGUGGUCCAAACGCAAAUCCAUUAAACCUGUUCCCCCAGGUAGGGUUUUUAAACUGGUGAACCGAUUUCAUUUGCUCGUUUUCCCUUGUGAAUUUGUUUUAUUGACAUCCACUCUUAUCUGUCUCUAUCCAGGGCAUGCCCGCUGCAGAUGCUGGUGCUGGAGCUGGUAAUCUUGAUUUCCUGCGUAACAGUCAACAGGUAUUUUCAAUUUCUUUUCCAUUCGAGAACGGAAAUCUUCAUUUCUCUCCUCUUAUGUCAUUUGCAAUUCUUUUGCCUUUUCAUAGUUCCAAGCCUUGCGAGCUAUGGUACAAGCAAACCCACAAAUUCUACAGGUAAAAUUUUUAACCUCUUAUUCUUUAUUUGGUAGGUUAUAUGAUAUUGAUUUCCCACUUAUACUGUUUCGUUUUGCAGCCUAUGCUUCAGGAGCUCGGUAAACAAAACCCCCAGCUUGUGCGACUAAUUCAAGAGCACCAGGCUGACUUCCUACGCUUGAUAAACGAACCUGUCGAGGGAGAAGAGUGGGUUUAAUAUCAUGAUUCUCCUUUACGUUUUCAUUUUAUUCUUUUUUCUCAAUAAAGCAUGUAAUCUGACAUUUCAUUCGAUGCCACCAGGAAUGUUAUGGAACAGUUGGAAGCAGCAAUGCCACAAGCUGUUACCGUUACACCUGAAGAGCGUGAAGCCAUUGAACGGGUUUGUUCCUAUGAUCUUUACAUUUGUACCUUUACUAGAUGCUCUGGUUCCUCAAAAUAUAUGGCUUGUAUUGAAAUUUGAUUUUGCUGUUGUUUGUUUUGGUUUAGCUUGAAGGGAUGGGGUUUGAUCGUGCGAUGGUCUUGGAAGUGUUCUUUGCGUGUAACAAGAAUGAAGAACUUGCAGCUAAUUACCUUCUAGAUCACAUGCAUGAGUUUGAAGAUCAAUAAACAGAGCAAAUCCAUUCCUCCCUCUAAACUCAGACCAUCUUUCUGUUUCUUUUUCUUCUUCUUUUUAAUAUGAUAAUCUCUUCUCCAAUGCCAUUUGACAGUUUCAUGUUUAUGUUCAUGGGAGUUGAUGUGUUUAUGUUACUAUUAAAACUAUCAUAGUUUAUCUGGUUUGAAGAUGCUCCUCUUUUAUCAUAUUAUUAGCCUUUGAAUCCUUCCUCUCUUUAGGUCUCAGAUGCACCAAUAUUAGCUAAGAUUAAAAGUGGAUAUUUUGGUUCUAUAUGACUCAUCUCGAGUUAGGAAUGGUAUGUCGAAUCUGGUUUAACAGAUCUGGCCUAAAACGAAACCGCUAUUCAGAUCCAAUUAUUGGCGCUUACAUUGUUUUCUCAUAGCCUCAAGCUAUGCAAUAUCAAUUAUUGCACAUUUGAAUUAACACAAACCCAUCAAUUAAUAUAUCAACAAAAACCCAUCAUCAAUUAACACAUCAACACAAACAUAAAGACAUAUAAGUUGCUCAUGAAGAACUUAUAAUGGUGGAACCAGUGAGCCUUUGAGAUCUGUCAUAAUCGUCUCUGAAAUUGUCUCAAAUCGAGAGAGAAAUGAGAAAUCUUAAAAUUUUACCCUAAAUAAUUAAACCCUAGCUUUUAAUUAUUACUGCACAAAUUAUGUCUAAAUAAUUUUGCCCAUUUACUAGCGAGCUUAUAUGGUUUGUAAUCCAUUUUAAACACUUUAAUUUUGGGCUUCACCAAAACCCAACCAUUAUUAUUUGGACGUGGACAUCCCAUGGUCAGAAAACUCAUUCGAUAACCCUACAUUUGAUGAUCAAAGUGGCACGGAAGCUCGUUCGAUCUACAAGUUUUGUGGUGAGGAGACUUCUCAGUUUUUCUUCUAGUGUGGUUGUACUUCAGGUAAAUUCUUUUCAAUACUUAGUGGAAUUUUUCGCUAACUGUUUUGUGUAAAUAAGGACGAGGCCUCCAUAGCGUUCAGUGCUUUAACAAUGCCGUAUCCACUCUGCUAAUCUUGGAUUUCAAGAGGUAUGACAGUUUGUGUUGUGAUAGGAGCCUUCAUUAAAUUAAAUAAUUUCAACAAUUUAUUUAUUUUUAGAACCAAAAGAUUUUUCAAAAAUUUUGAUUAUCAAAAAAAAAUCCAACAGAUUUUCUGUUAAAAUGAAAAUAUAUAUUAGAUUGUUUUUAAAAAAAAUCAUCUGCCGGAAUUUGAAUCUGGACAUGCUUAUUUUCAAAAAAACAUUUUAGCUAAUGUGCUAGUGCAUAUGUUUUUGCUAAGGUAUGAAUUUAAAUUGGAUAUAUAGAUCAAUUUAUUUAUUUUAAAACCAAAAAAAAUUUAAAAAGAAACUUAGCGGGAUAUAAAAUAAAUAUAUAUUAAAUUUAAAAAAAAAAGAUUUUCCGCUACGGGAAUUUGAACCUGAAAAUGCUGAUUUUUAAAGAAAAUUUAGCUAAUGUGCUACAUGAGAUGUUUUUUUUGCUAAAGUAUGAGUUUAAAUUGGAUAUAUACAUCAUUCAAUUUAUUUUUCUAAUCUAGAAUUUGCUUUCCUAGGACAAAUAUAGGUACUGAAUUAUUAAAGAACAUAUUUUUUGGUAAGAUAUAAGUGAGUUUUUAUAUAAUUUUGAUGAUUUUAGGUAAGUUGAUGUGAUUUACUGUAAAGUCUUUUCAAAUUCUAUCUAAAACUAUGAGAUUUAGAUUUCUGUAUUUUUAACUAAAGAAGUCUUUUCAAAUCCUUUCAAAUCCUUCAAAAUUAAUAAGAAUCAAAUCCACUAACUAUUUUCAGUAACAGUAAAAAGGUUGAUUUUUAAAUUUUUAAUUUAAUAACACUCAAUUUCAUUUAAAAAUUUAAAAUCCAUAAUUAAAUAACAUAAAAUUUAUAAAUUUUACAUAAAUUAUUAGAUUGAAUACACCGCUCUAAAUAUACACAAUGUAAAAAGUCUGUUUAAGAUCAAUUAUAGAUUUAACUUAAAUCUAAAGGCCCAUAAUACCGUCCUGUACAUCAUAUAGUUAUCUCAAGUUGUAAUACUGUAAUACCCGUUGGGCCCAGUGGCCCAUUUAUCAGAUUUCAAAUAACAGAUCUCAACACUAGCAUGGCUACACACGUGUCAGAUUCAAUGCAUCAGUCAUAUCUUCAGCAUCCAACACUUGUCAACCUUCCAUUGGAUCUCUUAACUCUACGCCUCGAAAACAGUUUUUAUUUAUUUAUCAUUCCAUUUCUCAUUGUAUCUUCAUCAGUCUCUUCUUAUUCCAUUUUUUCAAACCACUUGCAAAAUUCGAAUCAGAUCUUCUCUUCAAUCGAAAAAAAAGAAAGGUAAAUCUCUCUCUCUCUAAUCAUCGUUCGUUUCGUAGUUUCUUCUUCUACGUGUAGAUCUGAUCUUUGAUUGUAUGUUUCUGGAGAUCUCGAUCUCAUCGAUUCUCUGUUCUUAUCACUGAUUCAGUGUGUUUGAUAUCUAAAUCCGAUUUGUGUGUAGGAUGUUAAAAUUUAGGUUUCGGUUUUGUUUCUGCUUUUGAACGAUUUUGCUCUAGAUUCGUUAUCCGUGAAGAACAUAGACGAGUAUGUAGAUCUUACUUCGGAUUCGCGUUGAAGAAUUUUCUCUAGAUUCGUCACCUAUGAAGAAGAUUCAUUGUGUUCUUAAUCUAGAUGAUUAGGUUAUUGUUUCGACUCAUUUGUUUAUGCCUAUUUUCUCUAUGUUCUUAAUCGGUGAAGAAAUGUAUCAAUGUGUGUAUGUUUUGGGUUCUGAUUUUGUAGGAUUUGCUCUAGAUUGUUGAAUCGAAGAUGUCGACAAGGGAAGAGAAUGUUUACAUGGCGAAAUUAGCCGAACAAGCUGAACGUUACGAAGAAAUGGUUGAAUUCAUGGAGAAAGUUGCGAAAACUGUUGAUGUUGAGGAACUUUCAGUUGAAGAGAGGAAUCUUCUCUCUGUUGCUUACAAGAACGUGAUUGGAGCGAGAAGAGCUUCGUGGAGAAUCAUUUCUUCGAUUGAGCAGAAAGAAGAGAGCAAAGGGAACGAAGAUCAUGUUGCUAUUAUCAAGGAUUACAGAGGAAAGAUUGAAUCCGAGCUUAGCAAAAUCUGUGAUGGGAUUUUGAAUGUUCUUGAAGCUCAUCUUAUUCCUUCUGCUUCACCAGCUGAAUCUAAAGUGUUUUAUCUUAAGAUGAAGGGUGAUUAUCAUAGGUAUCUUGCUGAGUUUAAGGCUGGUGCUGAAAGGAAAGAAGCUGCUGAAAGCACUUUGGUUGCUUACAAGUCUGCUUCCGUAAGUCAUUCUUUACAACGUUUUUGAAUGUUGUUUUCUUUUGUGGGUAUGAUUGAUUUUGUUGUUGUGAUAAUGCAGGACAUUGCCACUGCUGAGUUAGCUCCUACUCACCCGAUAAGGCUUGGUCUUGCACUCAACUUCUCUGUGUUUUACUAUGAAAUCCUCAACUCGCCUGAUCGUGCUUGCAGCCUCGCAAAGCAGGUUUGUGUAGUACACCUGAUUUUCACUUUUUGCUUCGUGUGUUAUUAUUAUCUCAGUGAAUGAAACAGCUAUUUUGGGUUUGUGCAGGCGUUUGAUGAUGCAAUCGCUGAGUUAGAUACAUUGGGUGAGGAAUCAUACAAGGACAGUACACUGAUUAUGCAGCUUCUUAGAGACAAUCUCACUCUCUGGACUUCAGAUAUGACUGUAAGUAUUAACAACACAAUAUACGUUGAUCACUAAGUUAUGUUGUUGACAUGAUGGUUUCUUUUUUGGUGAAUAGGACGAAGCAGGAGAUGAGAUUAAGGAGGCAUCAAAGCCCGAUGGUGCCGAGUAAACCCGAAGAAGAGGAAGAGUCAUUUUAUAAUGGUAGAAAACUUUCAUGUGAUAAUCUGAGUGAGGGAUAGCUCAGGAUUCUUAUAAGAGACACAGUUUUAUUGUUGUUUGUUUGUUUUGAAACUACUUGCGAUUUAUCAUUCCUCCUUUAGCUUCCUCAAUAUUUCCUAUUCUCCUUUCUAAUGAAAUCAAAACUUGGUUAUUUCUGAUAUGGUAGUUGUCUUUAUUUUCUAUUUUUUUGGUUAUUGAUUUGAUCAACUAAAAAAGUGUGAUAACUUUCUCAAAUUGAUUAAUUAAUGUACGAAAACACUUGCUGCAAAUGGAUCACUUCCAUGACAUUAUACUUUGAUAUAAUAUAUUACAAGAAAUAAAAGGUAACUAAAGUAGAGAAAACAAGAAACCAUAUUUAUAACAAAAUAUUUCAUUUCAAACAAUGGUAAAAGAUCUCAGAUAACAUAGGAGACAGACAAGUUACUACUAAUAAAGGAGAGAACCACACCAAAAUCCUAAUCUUGUUAAUUAACACUUCCAAUAAGUUACUGAAACUCAAAAUCACUGAAUAAGCUAGUGAACAAGUGAAGAGCUACUCUGUGUCAAGUGCAAAGCAGAGGACUCCACGGCACCUGAAAGUCCAAAGGCUGAUCUUGUCGCCGACUUUUAAGCUGCUACUUUUGACGACAUCAUUCCAACCCCAAUUCAAAGUGUAAUUCAAUGUUCCAUGUCCAGAGUCCUUCUCCAUCGCCCAUAUCUUGAAACGCAAACCCCACUUUUGAAAUCUUUGGUUCACAAGAACCGUUCCCACACCAAUAUUCUCGUCGUCUUCUUCAUCAUUGUCUUCGUCUUUCUGCAUAGCUCUACACUCCGCAGGAGUCAGGAAAUCGUUUCUGAUUAGCUUCUGGAAAGGCAUUAAGAGACGACUAAGGUUUGAGUUGACAUCACUCUUAAACAGAGUCCUCUCAAAUAUCAGCCUCGGGGUUUCAGCAUCAGCGUUCAUGUAUCUCAUCACUUGGAAAAUCCACUCAGGCAUCUCUGUACACAACCUUGGCAAAGGAGAAACCUUAACUUUCUUGACUUUACCACUCUUCCUCUGCUCCACGGCACGCCUCUUGCGGUUUGUCUUCCCUGUUAGGCAUGAAGACGGAGACGAAGAUUGGUAAUUAGGGUUUGGUACGUCUUUUGUCUCUGUCGAAGGUUCAAGACAAGGAAGGUUCAGGAGCGAUGAAGAAGAAGUAGAAGCUCCAUUAAGAUUAUCAAAGAGUUUCUUUUCACUCUCGUCAUCAUAAUCUUCAUCGUAGACAAUCUUGGAUUUACCUUUCUUUAAACGUUGUUCUUCAUCACACACCAUAGGUUCAUCAAAACAAGGGUUUUGUAGGUUGUCUGUCUCAAAAUCAGUAGGGAUUAGGUUAAGAUCGGGAAGCGAUGACGAACAAGUAGAAGCCCCAUUAGGGUUUUGUUGUGUGUAUCUUCUCUUCGCCAAAGACGAUUUGAUUUUCCUCGGGAAAAGAUAGAAGAAACUCAUCUUGCACUUGGAUUCUUCUCGUUUCUCUGCAAGAAGACGACUACGUUGUUCUUCUUCCUCCGCAACCAUAACCGUCACAUACGCCAGUAAACUUAAACCCGACGACAUAUUCUUCCCCGAAUCCGUGAGAUGAUUAUCGUGAUACAUAAUACUACUCAUCGUGAUUGAAUCGAAAGACUGGAAAGUUUCUGAGAGCGACGACGUGAGGAACAAGAAACUUGUAUAUAGAGAGACGAGAAACUGAUCGACGAUUAGAAAAGAAGUACCUUCUCUUGCCUUAUAUAUACUUUACAAUAGGGUUUCAGGUUUCUUUGUUUUCCUAUUUCUCCAUUGAGUUUAGUUGUUUAAUUACUGUCAUUAGUAACUAAUUAUAGCCGUUGUGAUCAAGUGUUUCCUUUUUCACAAGUGUGAGAGAUAGUGAAUUUUUAGGAAGUUUCCUUUCCUUUCAAAUUUCAAUAGCUUUGCUUCACUUUUUUGUAUUUGAUGUAUUAUUAUAUUUUUUGGGCACUUGCCGACUUUGAUAUAAAUUAAAUAAAAUGCAGAAAACAGUGGAGUCUCAAAAAAAUUCAGAUCUUUAGAAAAACAAAACCAAUAUUGUUGUCGAUUGAAUCGAAAAUAGUUUCGAGUAUCCAUUUAUCAUCAAAAAAAAAAAAAAAACAAUUCCUUGAAUAAUUUUUAUGUUUUUUGAAUUUUAUUGGAUGUACGUACAUAAUCAUUUCAACAAAAUUGCAUAAAAAUAGUUGAUGCAAAACCAAAUAUGGGGAGAAAAUUCAAAUAGUUUUCUCAAUUUGAGGUAACUACGAAAUUGCCCCACAUCCUUUAGUAAUUACGAAUUGGACCUAAAACUAUAGAUAAUUACGAUUUUUUCCCUCGAAUAAUAACGAAAUUGCCUCAGUUAUUUCGUUAUUUGUUAAUGCACCCCACAUCUCUCGGUAAUUACAAAAUUUCUGCAAAUCUUCCAAAAUGAAAUUUCUGGUAAUUUCUUAUUUGGUAAACUACGAAUGAACAACAAAGAACAAUGAAUUGGUAAAAUACACAUUUUGGAAUACUCAAUCUCUCAUAUUAUUGCUUAUCCACAAUCAAAUCACACAAUUGUAACAAUGAACAACAAAGAACAAUGAAUCAACAAGAACAAAUGAAAUUAGAAUCUUCGCUCACAUCCCUCAGAUUAUAAUCGCACCCUUCACAGUCUCAUAGCGAAUGAAUCAACAUGCCUUGCUCUGUAACCGCUCCUCAUAUUUAUAGAUGCCUCUGAUACUUGCUUAUUUCACAAGCUUCCCUCUGUUUCCUCACGUGCCUUGCACACACACUCUUAUCAUGCAUUCGCAGUCAUUAAACAGUGUCAUAGUUAUUCUUUAUGGUUACAAGUGUGGGGUUGGUGACUGAUGAAGACAACUGAUCUUAUUCAUCUACUUCUUGGAGCUGGAGUUGGAGAAAUUCGAGAAGAAUGAACAAAUUACGACAAGGUACAUUGAGAAAAUCUCCGGUGAAGCAUAAAAGCACAACUUAUACGUAAUAUUUCUAUAUUUGCUUUUGGAGACAGAACAUGUGUCAGUAAUCGUUGGUUUAGACUUCUAGGUCUGGUUUGGGGUUUGGUACAGAUGGUUUUAUGGCUGCAAAUGUCUUAUGUUGUUGAACGCCCACAAGAUGCUCGAUGAAAUGCCGAAGAGAGUGGCUUGUUUGUAAAAUUGCAGUUUUUUGGUGGUAUAUGGAUGAGAAGCAGAUGAUAGUGAGUAGAGUUUUGUUACUUGGGGGUAGAAAAUUCUCUUCGCCAUGAGAUAGACUAUUAGAGUUAAGCGGGUAAAAACCCGGACUCGUUUUGUGAGACAAAAGAACCUGAAAAAGUUCUCACUUUGACUAUUCUUGCUUCUAUCAAGCCAUUGCAAUUGUUCUUGGAAAAGUGAAACACACACUCUCGUUGUCUCAUCUUGCUGUGAAUUAUCAUUCUUAUCUGCUGAGUUCAAGACUGGAUUAAGCAUGAUUCUUGAAGAUAGGAGUGUGACUGAGAUAAUAUGCAUUCACUGGAAACCAUGGUCUACUUUUCAAAGGUAAUGUCUCUGUUCUUUCAAUUUGAGACAGAACAAAAGGAAAGAAGUAGAUAUUAAGUUAAGUGUGGUAGCUUGAGAAAUGGGAACAAAUGGUUAGAUUUGUAGGACUGGAAAUCUUUAUGCUAGAAAGAAAUAGGGGUAGUAUUGGACAUAACUCUCAAAAGGAAAGGAGAAGGGACAUUGUGUUUGAUUCAAAGCUAAGACAAGGCUGCAUUUGUGUCACUCAAAGGAGAAUAGGAAUUACCUCUGACAGAGUUUGAAAGAAAAACUCUACAAGUAUCAGAAUGUUUAAGAUCGUUCCUGGAGUACAUUCAGUCAUUCAGAUGAAAAGACGGAGAAACGGAGCUGUGGCGGGAAUGUAACUAGUAAAGUACUUUCUUGAGGAUUCGGCAGUGCUCAAGAAGUUUAUGCUGCGUUUGGGUUGUGAGAGAAUGAACAAAGAGUCUAUCAUUUUAAUGGAACUAUUGAGGUUAAGGAGAUAUACUAUGCUUAUUGUAUAGUCAUUGUUGAACUUGCUGAGACUGAUAAUGAUACAUAGGUGUUUCUACACUUAAAUGUGCAAUUUCCAUUUAGGAAAGUUUAGUAUUGGGAUUUGAUGUAUAUAUUCUUACCAGAACCAGUUCUCCAACUUAGGAAAUUUAUUUGUAAUAAUCUGAGUGACGCUCAGUAUUCUUCCAAGGACAAUUUGACAACUACUUGCUAUGGAUUCCUCCUUUAGGUUCCUCAAAAGUUCAUGUUCUCCAUGUAAUGAAAUCAAAACUUGCUUUUUCUCUGACAUUUUUGAUUGUUUUGGUUCUAAAUUUGAUCAAACUGACUGCAUCGAGCAUUUCGGAGGAAUAGUACACAAAACAUUAGCAGGAAUAGAUCAUUUCCAUCAUUACAACAGGUUUAGAGGAGAGAUCUGAGACAACACAAAGGUAUAUUGAACAAUGCAGUAAGUAAAGUAGACAAAACAAGAAACCAUAUUUAUGACCAAAUGUGUUCAUUUCAAACAAUGGUAAAGGUCUGAAACAACAGAGGAGACGGACAAGUUAAUACUACUACUACUAAUCCUAACAAUAGAGGAGAGAACCAGUUACUAUACUAAAAAGCCAAAAACCUCAAGAAUCACUUGAAAUUUGUUAAAUGAGACCUCAAGAGACAAAUGAAACAUAUCAGAGAGCUACCUACCAUGUGUCAAGAGCAAAGCAGAGGACUCCACGGCACCUGAAAGUCCAAAGACCGAUAUUGUCGCCGGCUUUUAAGCUGUUACCUUUGACGACAUCAUUCCAGUCCCAAUUCAAAAUGUAAUUCAAGGUUCCAUGUCCAGAGUCCUUCUCCAUCCCCCAUAUCUUGAAACGCAAACCCCACAUUUUAAAUCUUUGGUUCACAAGAAUCGUUCCCGCACCAAUAUCUUCGUCGUCUUUGUCUUCGUCUUCCUGCUUGGCUUGACACACAAGAAUCGUUCCCACACUAAUAUCUUCGUCGUCUUUGUCUUUGUCUUCCUGCAUGGCUCGACACUCCUCUGGCGUCAAGAAGUCGUUUCUGAUUAGCUUCUGGAAUGGGAUUAAGAGACGGCUGAGGUUAGAGUUGACAUCACUCUUGAACAGAGUCCUUUCAAAGAUCAGCUUCGGGGUUUCAGCAUCAGCGUUCAUGUGUCCCAUCGCUUGGAAAACCCACUCAGGCGUCUCUGUAGACAACCUUGGCAAAGGAGAAACCUUUACUUUCUUGACUUUACCACUCUUCCUCUGUUCCACGGCACGCCUCUUGCGACUUGUGUCGUUCUCCGUUAGGCAUGAAGACGGAGAAGAAGAUUGGUAAUUAGGGUUUGGUAGAACUUUCGUCUCUGUCUUCUCUGACUCAACCGUGUUGUAAUCCAAGAAUAACGAAGCCUCAUAACAACGAAGGUUUAAGAACGAUGA